rnacentral:lncRNA from 1 species
CCUCCAAAGCCAGUGACCCCAUGACAUCACUGACAGUGGGACCCGGAACGCCACUGACACAUUAUUGAAGCCAACUGAGAACGACACACAUACGACUGCUAGCUAGACCAUGUACGCAGCUACGUGACGUACAUUGCGCACCCACGCGACGACGAUCAACCACUCACGAAAUACGCCCACACAUACGGAUCCAAUAAUAAACGAACUAAGGUACCGUGCCAUGGCAAUGCCACGGCACGCGCACGGCGAAGCCAGGCAAAGGCUAGCUCAGGAGCACGAUCGCACCCGCGCGCAUCAACUCACUCGGCGGCCUUGUCGGCGGCGGCGGCAGCCUGAGCAGCUGGUGCCUCUGCCGGCACCGCCUCGGCNNNNNNNNNNNNNNNNNNNNNNNNNNNNNNNNNNNNNNNNNNNNNNNNNNNNNNNNNNNNNNNNNNNNNNNNNNNNNNNNNNNNNNNNNNNNNNNNNNNNNNNNNNNNNNNNNNNNNNNNNNNNNNNNNNNNNNNNNNNNNNNNNNNNNNNNNNNNNNNNNNNNNNNNNNNNNNNNNNNNNNNNNNNNNNNNNNNNNNNNNNNNNNNNNNNNNNNNNNNNNNNNNNNNNNNNNNNNNNNNNNNNNNNNNNNNNNNNNNNNNNNNNNNNNNNNNNNNNNNNNNNNNNNNNNNNNNNNNNNNNNNNNNNNNNNNNNNNNNNNNNNNNNNNNNNNNNNNNNNNNNNNNNNNNNNNNNNNNNNNNNNNNNNNNNNNNNNNNNNNNNNNNNNNNNNNNNNNNNNNNNNNNNNNNNNNNNNNNNNNNNNNNNNNNNNNNNNNNNNNNNNNNNNNNNNNNNNNNNNNNNNNNNNNNNNNNNNNNNNNNNNNNNNNNNNNNNNNNNNNNNNNNNNNNNNNNNNNNNNNNNNNNNNNNNNNNNNNNNNNNNNNNNNNNNNNNNNNNNNNNNNNNNNNNNNNNNNNNNNNNNNNNNNNNNNNNNNNNNNNNNNNNNNNNNNNNNNNNNNNNNNNNNNNNNNNNNNNNNNNNNNNNNNNNNNNNNNNNNNNNNNNNNNNNNNNNNNNNNNNNNNNNNNNNNNNNNNNNNNNNNNNNNNNNNNNNNNNNNNNNNNNNNNNNNNNNNNNNNNNNNNNNNNNNNNNNNNNNNNNNNNNNNNNNNNNNNNNNNNNNNNNNNNNNNNNNNNNNNNNNNNNNNNNNNNNNNNNNNNNNNNNNNNNNNNNNNNNNNNNNNNNNNNNNNNNNNNNNNNNNNNNNNNNNNNNNNNNNNNNNNNNNNNNNNNNNNNNNNNNNNNNNNNNNNNNNNNNNNNNNNNNNNNNNNNNNNNNNNNNNNNNNNNNNNNNNNNNNNNNNNNNNNNNNNNNNNNNNNNNNNNNNNNNNNNNNNNNNNNNNNNNNNNNNNNNNNNNNNNNNNNNNNNNNNNNNNNNNNNNNNNNNNNNNNNNNNNNNNNNNNNNNNNNNNNNNNNNNNNNNNNNNNNNNNNNNNNNNNNNNNNNNNNNNNNNNNNNNNNNNNNNNNNNNNNNNNNNNNNNNNNNNNNNNNNNNNNNNNNNNNNNNNNNNNNNNNNNNNNNNNNNNNNNNNNNNNNNNNNNNNNNNNNNNNNNNNNNNNNNNNNNNNNNNNNNNNNNNNNNNNNNNNNNNNNNNNNNNNNNNNCCGGCGCUUUGGCCUCGACGUCGGCAGCAGCAGCUGGUGCUUCUGUCUCUUCCACGGCUGCUUCGGCUGCCACGGCAGCCUCCACAGGUGCCUCCGUAGUUGCUGCUUCCUCCUGCACUGCCACAGCGGCCUCCUCCUUGGCCGGUGUCUCCUCUGCCACCGGCUCUUUGGCCUCGGCCUCGGCAGCGGCUGGCUCUGCCUCUUUGGUCUCGGUCUCGGCCGGAGCAGCUUCUUGCUCUGGUUCCUUGGUCUCGGUCUCGGCCGGAGCAGCUUCUUUCUCUGGUUCCUUGGUCUCGGCCUCAGCCGGUGCUGCCUCACGCUCCACCACUUCGGUCUCUGUUCCCUCGGCAGGGGCAGCUUCCGGCUCUUUGGUCUCGGUCACUGUCGGCGUGACAGGGGCCUCCUCAGCGGCGGCGGCCGGCUGGACAACCUCUGUCUCGGCCUCCUUGGUCUCCGCUGGAGCUGCCUCGGGCUCUUUCGCCAGCUCGGUCACGGCCGGCGCAGCAACUUCCUCCUUCACGGCCUCCUCGGCAGCGACAACGGCCGGCUCGACAGCCUCAGCCGUUGCCACCUCGACUGUGUCGACGGCCGGCUCGACAAUCUCCACUGCUGCCACCGUAGCCUCCUCGACCGCGACGACGGCCGGCUCGACGACCUCCACCGCCACGGUAGUAUCCUCGACAACGACGACGGCCGGCUCGACAGCCUCCACCACCGCCGGCGCCGGAGCCUCCUCGACGGGCAUGGCGUGGGUUGCGGCGUGGACCUGCGUUUACAUUGAUGCACGCCUUCAUGUCAGAGAAGUACCAGUACGCAGCGUACGUGUGAUCAGGUUGCUCGUGCCAGAAGAGAUCGAGGUGGCAUGGCACCGUGGCAGCAGGUCAAAAGCUACAUGAUCGAAACGCAACGAAGCAGUAUUGAGCAGUCUACCUGGACGGCGGCCAUUGAUGACGAGUUCCGAGUCGACCGGUCCGAACUCCGACGAGCUGAUGCUAUAGCUCGGUUUGGUGCGACUGAUCAGAUCAGAGUAUGCGAUCGGCUGUGUUGUGUGAAGCAAAUGUGCUGCGGUAGAGGGGCUUAUAUAGUGGCUCUGGAGGGCAAAACGGUCACAAGAUUCACAGCUAGGACGCAAAAGCGAGCAGCCCUUUUGCGUCACGCAGGAAAAUAAAAUGAAAUCGAGGAAUCAAAACACUGAUCUGCAUCAUUCUGAUCUUGGUUGGGAAUAUACUAUUGCAAAACUAUAGUACUGGUACGUACUGUAGAUGCAAGCAAGUUGCGUACGGUGAUCGCUGUAUCGAAAUUAGGGUGGUGGCCACGCAUGCACGGAGGCUAAGGUCCAAACUGCUAUGUUUACGGGUUUGGUUUUCUUUGAUAUGUUUGGGGAAAAGGGCCAAGGGAGAGGGCUGGCAAGGCCACGAGGGCAAGCGUACCUUUGGCGUUGUAAAGAGGGGGCCAUCGCGCUGAGUCACACGCAUGCAUGCACCGACCUGAUCAGUACAUGUGUACAUCGCGUCACGUCCAUGCACGUUCUAUAGUGCCAGCCUUGUAUCCUAGUACCACUAUCCUGCUGUCUGCCCUUGGUCCAGAUCGGUGCAAAAAUAAAUGCUGGGCUAGAAUCUAUUAGUACUGUUAUUUUAUUUCCCCCCCCCCCCCCCCCCCAUUUUAGUUUGGUUCUUGGAAUGGCUAGAGACAUGACCAAACAUUUUAUCUAAUAAAACCUGUUGGAAAAAUCAUCAUUCGAUUUGCCUCUUGAUUAAUCUCAUCAUUUCUCAGCUGAUCACAUCUCUUAUUCUUCUACGCAAAUUAAACUACUCCCUUUAAUUCAUUUUACUUGCCGUCAUGGUCUGAGCUCUCCAGUCUGUGAAUUAUAGCUAACCCUAGUCCCACUGAUAGUGCUGUUUUCUUUCUUUCUUUUCACUGAUGGCGAGGCCUUCUAAUGAUAAUACACACCAUUUCUUUUUCUUUUCUCAUUUGUUCUUGUUUUUAUUUGUAUGCUUAAUUUUUUUUUCAUUUUCCUCUUCUUGCCCGUAAAAUACUGGAAAUCUAAACCGUGAUCAAUGUGUCUUCUAAACCGUAACGGAGGUAGUAUUGUUAAUUCAUCUCAUGUGUGCCCUUUUUCCAAUUGAGACACUGAUAGUCACAACAUCGUCCCCGUCUCCAACGAGGUCCUCAUCCGGAGUCAACGCUUGUCACUGCGGCGUUGUGUGGUUGUGUUGUCCUCACCUUCAGACUUAGAGGAAGUAGAAUUGAUUAUACUCCAUUUACUUUCACCGUUUCUAAAUAUAAGUCUUUUAAGCGAUUUCACUAAAGGUCUACAUACAGAGCAAAAUGAUUCAAUGUACACUCUAAAGUAUGUCUAUAUACAUCCGUAUAUACUCUAUUAGUGAAAUCUUUAAAAAAACUUAUAUUUAAGAACGAAGGGAGUAUAUCAUAAUAAUUAUUGUUAAGGAAAAACAUAAUAAUUAUAGUUGAAAGAACUAGUUUACUAGUUUUCUUGCACUAUAAUUAUUAUGAUAUGCAGGAAGUAAAAAUUGCAGGCACUUCAUCAUUCGCAAACAUGAAUUAUUAUUUAUUUAUGGGGAUUGCAAAAGCGGAGAUAUCAGGGAGAUCGCUAUAUCUCGGUUUUCUACGGCGCACUCGAUGGUGGCGUAGAGACAAUGCAACUUGAGCCGAAGAAUGUGCGCUCGAAUGCCGCCAUUGAAGGCCGUGACAUGAUCCCUAUAGAUCGAGUGGUGCAUAUCUUCUUGGUAGAUGAUCGAUAUGCAGUAGAAAGGGGCGCAGCCACCUAGAGCUAUGUGUAAAAAAGGCCGUGCGUGUUUGUCAAAGUGUGAUGGCACGGCAGUAUAUUUGGAAUUUAGUUAACAUUUUCUUCCUCAUCUGAAGUAGUACCACUAGCUACUUAGGUGUAUUCUCUGCCUUAGAGCAUCUCCGGACUCCUCAAAUCCGAUCUUUCAAACGUCCGCAGACGAACUACUACGUCGACGCACACACAUUGUCCAGUUACUCCAUCAUUGUUAAACAUGUCAUCGGACUAUCAAAAUUUUACAUGUUUGGCUAUGGUGAAGAUCAUCUACGGCUGCCUCUGUUCUUCCCGACACCCUUGCCGUCUUGUCGUGGAAGUACCGGUUGAAGACGCAGUACGGAUCGAGCCGGAUCUUCUCGUCGCCACAACUGUCCUCAUCGCCGCUCACCUCUUUCUCCACCUUUGGUGGUAGUCCGGCCAUUCCCCAAAGGAGCCGAGCACCCUUUGUGCAGAUGCUACAGAGUCGCGGCGGACAAAUCCUUCUGUCGGUCAGGCGCUGUCCUCGCGCGAGCGGCGGAGUGCAACGCGAACCGCUAUUGCCUCCUCCACUCUGCACGGGACGACCCCCCAGUCGACGGAUCCGGACUGGUGAAGACAUUGUUGGGAUUGACUGGAAGCAAAGAAACCACUCAAGAUGAGGCUCGUCAUAGUAGAAAAUAACUUGCAUUAGUAGCAUCCAUAUGUUAUUAGUCCAUAUUAAUAACUUCAUAUUAAAUAAUAUUAUAUGUAUGAUAUUAUGCAAGUAUUUUUUUUGACCGGCUACUGUAGGGAANNNNNNNNNNNNNNNNNNNNNNNNNNNNNNNNNNNNNNNNNNNNNNNNNNNNNNNNNNNNNNNNNNNNNNNNNNNNNNNNNNNNNNNNNNNNNNNNNNNNGCAAGUAACAUACCGAAGGACAAAGGGAAUGACAUACGGGAUUAUACGAAUCCUUGGUACUGAGGUUCAAACAAUAAGAUCUUCGUAGAAUAUGUAGGAUCCAAUAUGGGCAUCCAGGUCCCGCUAUUGGAUAUUGACCGAGGAGUCUCUCGGGUCAUGUCUACAUAGUUCUCGAACCCGCAGGGUCUGCACACUUAAGGUUCGACGUUGUUUUAUGCGUAUAUGAGUUAUAUGGUUGGUUACCGAAUGUUGUUCGGAGUCCCGGAUGAGAUCACGGACAUCACGAGGGUUUCCGGAAUGGUCCGGAAACGAAGAUUGAUAUAUAGGAUGACCUCAUUUGAUUACCGGAAGGUUUUCGGAGUUACCGGGAAUGUACCGGGAAUGACGAAUGGGUUCCGGGGGUUCACCGGGGGGGGGGGCAACCCACCCCGGGGAAGCCCAUAGGACAUAAGGGUGGCGCACCAGCCCUUAGUGGGCUGGUGGGACAGCCCAAAAGGGCUCUAUGCGCCAAGGAUAAGAAAUCAAAGGNNNNNNNNNNNNNNNNNNNNNNNNNNNNNNNNNNNNNNNNNNNNNNNNNNNNNNNNNNNNNNNNNNNNNNNNNNNNNNNNNNNNNNNNNNNNNNNNNNNNGACGUUGUUGGGCCUCCAAGUGCAGAGGGUUGUAGGACAGUAGCAAUUUUCCCUCAAGUGGGUGACCUAAGGUUUAUCAAUCCGUGGGAGGCGUAGGAUGAAGAUGGUCUCUCUCAAGCAACCCUGCAACCAAAUAACAAAGAGUCUCUUGUGUCCCCAACACACCCAAUACAAUGGUAAGUUGUAUAGGUGCACUAGUUCGGUGAAGAGAUGGUGAUACAAGUGCAAUAUGGAUGGUAGAUAUAGCUUUUUGUAAUCUGAAAUUACAAAAACAGCAACGUAACAAAUGGUAAAAGUGAGCACGAACGGUAUUGCAAUGCGUGGAAACAAGGCCUAGGGUUCAUACUUUCACUAGUGAAGUUCUCUCAACAAUGAUAACAUAAUUGGAUCAUAUAACUAGCCCUCAACAUGCAACAAAGAGUCACUCCAAAGUCACUAAUAGCGGGGAACAAACGAAGAGAUUAUUGUCGGUUACGAAACCACCACAAAGUUAUUCUUUCUGAUCUAUCUAUUCAAGAGUCCGUAGUAAAAUAACACGAAGCUAUUCUUUCUGUUCGAUCCAUCAUAGAGUUCGUACUAGAAUAACACCUUAAGAUCCAUAUCAACUAAGACCCUAAUGUCACCUAGAUACUCCAUUGUCACCUCAAGUAUCCAUGGGCAUGAUUAUACGAUAUGCAUCACAUAAUCUCAGAAUCAUCUAUUCAACCAACACAUAGUACUUCAAAGAGUGCCCCAAAGUUUCUACCAGAGAGUCAAAACGUGUGCCAACCCCUGUGCAUAGGUUCCCAAUGUCACGAACCCGCAAGUUGGUCACCAAAAAAUACAUCAAGUACUCACAUGAAUCCACGUGUGCCAACCCAUAUGCAUAGGUUCCCAAUUGUCACAAACCCGCAAGUUGAUCACAGCAGAUAGACACGUGCAAGACAUACAUCAAGUGUUCUCAAAGACUCAAUCCGAUAAGAUAACUCCAAAGGAUAAACUCAAUUCAUUACAAGAAGGAGAGGGGGAAGAACAUCAUAAGAUCCAACUAUAGUAGCAAAGCCCAUGGUACAUUGAGACCAAGACAUCUCAAGAACACGAGAGAGAGAGAUCAAACACAUAGCUACUGGUACAUACCCUCAGCCCCGAGGGAGAACUACUCCCUCCUCGUCAUGGAGAUCGCCGAGAUGAUGAAGAUGGCCACCGAAGAUGGAUUGCCCCUCCGACAGGGUGCCAGAACAGGCUCCAGAUUGGUUUUUGGUGGCUACAGAGGCUUGCGGCGGCGCAACUCCUGAUCUAGGUUUCUUUUGGGGGGUUUCUGAAUUUAUAGGAAUUUAUGGCGGUGGAAUUACGUCGGUUGGGCCCACGAGGAGGUUACAAGCCUGGUCGGCACCACCUAGGGGGGUGGUGGCGGCGUCAGGGCUUGUGACUCCCUCGUGGCUCUUCUGGCCUUCUUCCAAAGCUUCGGGGGUCUCUUUCGGUCCAAAAAAAAGCAUCGUAAAGUUUCAUUCCAUUUGGAGUUCGUCUGAAAAUGGGCCAAAAACACGGAAACAACAGAAACUGGCACUCUGCAUUGAGUUAAUAGGUUAGUCCCAAAAAAGAUAUAAAAUAGCAUAUUCAUGCAUAUAAAACAUCCAAAGUUGACAAGAUAAUAGCAUGGAACCAUCAAAAAUUGUAGAUACGUUGGAGACGUAUCAGCCAUCACCUGUUCCCAGACGCUGCCGACGCCCUGAUAAUCCCCAAGUGCAAGGAAUCAUCGUAGCAAUUUCAAAAGGUGGAAAUGAUAAGUAUGGAGCGUCGAACCCACAAGGAGCUAAAGGUAAGAGCAAUAUUCUCUCAAGUUCUAUCUGCCACUGAUAUAACUCUACGUACGCCGAACGUUUGCUUCCAACUUGGAACGAGAAAUAAAACUACAUUGUGGGUAUGAAGAGAAUAGCUUUGCAUGACAUCGGAGAAAUAAAAUAUAAAAAUAGGUGUUGUUAUCAUAAAGUUAGAAUAUAUUACAAAUAGCGAGUGUGGAAUAGUGAUGGGUCGGUGUGCGGAAUUGUCCUAGGCAAUUGUUAACAAGAUCAGUAAUCAUUAUUGCAAUUUUAUAUGAGGGAGAGUUAUAAGCUAACAUACCUUCUCUACUUCGAUCAUAUGCACUUAUGAUUGGAACUCUAGCAAGCAUCCGCAACUACUAAAGAUCAUUAAGGUAAAACCGAACCAUAGCAUUAAAGCAUCAAGUCCCCUUUAUCGCAUUCGCAACAACCCACCUACUCGGGUUUAUGCUUCUGUCACUCAAACAACCCACUAUAAGCGAAUCAUGAACGUAUUACAACACCCUACAAAGGGAAUCCCUCAUGCUUGCUAGACACGGAGAGAACCAUAGGACAACACCAAUAAUAAAGCAUGCAAGUCAAACCAAUCUAGAUCAUCAAUCAACCCAUAAGACAAAGGGAAUCUACUCAAAACAUCAUAGGAUGGCAACACAUCAUUGGAUCAUAAUAUGUGGCAUAGAGAACCGUGUUCAAGUAGGUGAUUACAGCGGGGCGCGGGGGAGUGGAACGCUAAAAGAAGAUGGGGUUGGUGAUGAAGAAGGUGAUGUUGAUGAAUACGAUCACCGCGGCGAUGGUUCCCCCGGUGGCACUCCGGCACCACCGGGAGAGAGGGGGAGAGGGUCUCCGCCUUGUUCCUCCUCCUCCAUGGCCUCCCCCAAGGUGGGGAGAGGUUCUUCCUCUAGUCCUUGGCCUCCAUGGUGAUGAUGGCCCCUCCAUCUUCCUCCUCAAUGGUCUCCGGUGAUGGUGACCCUCUCCGACAGGGUGCCGAAGAGGGCCAAGACUGGGUUUUCAUGGCUCUGGAGGCUUGCGGCAGAGGAACUCCCGAUCUAAGUUUCUUUUCGGGGGUUUCUGUUUUUAUAAGAAUAUUUGGCGUUCGAACCACGUCAGGGGAGUGCUUGAGGGGCCCACAAGCCAAGGAGCGCACCCUAGGGGGGUGCCCUGGUGGCUUGUGGUUGCCUCGGGACUCCUCUCUGGUAUCCUUUUGCUCCAGUAUUUUUCAUAUUUACCAACAAUAUUCUCCGUAAUUUUUCAGCCCAUUCCGAGAACUUUUAUUUGGGCACAAAAACAACAACACGGUAGUUGUGCUGAAAAAAGCAUCAGUCCGGGUUAGUUAUAAUAAAAUCAUACAAAAACCAUAUAGAAUUAUUGUAAACAUGGCAUGAAUACUUCAUAAAUUAUAGAUACGUUGGAUACGUAUCAGCAUCCCCGACCUUUAUUCCUGCUCGUCCUCGAGUAGGUAAAUAAUAAAAGAAAUCAUUUAUGAAGUGUGAAUGCUAGCAUAGUGCAUAAAUUUGAUCAAUGAUAUAUCCAAACACUUUUUCUAGCAUCAUUACAUAUCAUACACAGUAGCUCAUCUCAUAAAACUUCUCAUGAUGAAGUAACAAGCUAUUCACGUGUUAAAAUGUAGACCAUAAAGUUUCUUGAAAACUAACAAAUUAUGCUUUCAGUCACCAAACAAUUGCAAUUCAUCUUAUUUUUGGGAAGGGUCUAUGUAAGAGAUUUUAUUUAGAAAAUUCCACAUACUCAACUAUCAUAUAGUCUUCCAUGAUUGUUGACGACACUCAAAGCAUAUUUUUAGAACAAAUAGCAUCCAUCGAACACAAAGAAAGACAGGGGCUUAAAGUUUUGCCUCCUAAUUUAUUUACCAUAUAGAUAAUUGUCAACAAUAAUAAUUCAUGAUCAAAUAUAUUUGUAUGGAUAUAUAUGUUUGCAUCUUUCCCCACCACAUGAUGCUUGCCAACUAAUACUUUGAGGUUGGAAUAAGAAGUUAACUCAACAAGAAUAGUAAAUAACAUGAAAGUAAAUAGAUUGGCCCUUGAUAACCCACAAGUGUAGGGGAUCGCAACAGUUUUCGAGGGUAGAGUAUUCAAUCCAAAUUUAUUGAUUCGACACAAGGGGAAGCAAAAGAAUAUUCUCAAGUAUUAGCAGCUGAGUUUGCCAAUUUCAACCACACCUGAAAGAUUAGUGUUUGCAAGCAAAGUAUAAGUAGCAAAGUGGUAUGAUAGCAACGGUGUCAGAAAAAGAUGUGUUGACGGCAGACUAUUCCUAACUUGUUGUAUCAAUGGCGCCAGUAAAUACCACGUGGAAGGGGGACUAUUCUUCCCCGGCAACGGCUCCAGAAAAGUCUUGCAACAAGUAGCAGCAAAGUAACAGCAGUAGUGACAGCAGUAGCAAGCAACAUCAACAACAUCAGUAGCAAGUAACAACAGAGUAACAGCAGUAGCGACAACAGUAGCAGCAAAGUAACGUAGCAAGGACAAGUAGUAAAAGAAUCGUAGGCAAUGGAUCGGUGAUGGAUGAUUAUACCGGAUGUGAUUCAUCAUGUAAUAGCUAUAACACGGAGAGAUAAGUAACUAGCUCCCGUUCGUCAAUCUAAUGUAGGAAUGUAUUCCGUAUGAAGUCAUACGUGCUUAGGGAAAAGAACUUGCAUGACAUCUAUUGUCCAUCCCUACCGUGGCAGUGGGGUCCUAAUGGAAACUACGGGAUAUUAAGGUUCUCCUUUUAGUAAAGAACCGGACCAACGCAUUAAAACUCGGUGAAUACAUGAACUCCUCAUACUAUGGUCAUCUCCGGGAGUGGUUCCGGCUAUUGUCACUCCAGGGUUGCCGGGUCAUAACACAUAGUAGGUGACUACAACAUGCUAGAUAGGAUCUAAAACACACAUAUAUUGGCGACAACAUAAUAGGUUCAGAUCUGAAAUCAUGGCACUCGGGCCCUAGUGACAAGCAUUAAGCAUGGCAAAGUAGUAGCAACAUCAAUCUCAGAACAUAGUGGAUACNAUCUCAGAACAUAGUGGAUACUAGGGAUCAAUCCCCGUCAAAACUAACUCGAUUACAUGAUAUAUCUCAUCCAACUCAUCACCGUCCAGCAAGCCUACGAUGAGAUUACUCACGAAUGGUGAAGAACAUCAUGGAAUUGUCGAUGGAGGAAGGUUGAUGAUGACGAUGGCGAUGAUUUCCCCUCUUUGGAGCCCCGAACGUACUCCAGAUCUGUCAUCUGGAUGAAGAACAGGAGGUGGCGGCGCCUCCGUAUCGUAGAACGCGAUGAAUCCUUCUCUCUGAUUUUUUCCGAGCGAGACGGAAUAAAUAGAGCUGAGUUUGGGGGCGGUGGUGCCACGUGGGUUCCACAAGGCCUCACGGCGCGGCCUAGGGGGGGGGGGGGGUCGCAGCCCACGGGCUUGUGGCCCACUGGCACACCCCCUCCGUUGGAUCUUUGCGCAGGUAUUUUUCAUUUAUUUUAGAAAAAUUCUCCGUAAAUUUUCAGGACAUUCCGAGAACUUUUAUUUCUGCACAAAAACAACACCAUGGCAAUUUUGUUGAAAACAACGUUAGUCCGGGUUAGUUCCAUUCAAAUCAUGCAAAUUAGAGUCCAAAACAAGGGCAAAAGAGUUCAGAAAAGUAUAUACAACGGAGACGUAUCAACUCCCCCAAGCUUAAAGCCUUGCUUGUCCUCAAGCAAUUCAGUUGACAAACUGAAAGAGACAAAAGAAAAACUUUGACGAACUCUGUUUGAUCUUGUUGUUGCAACUAUGUCUAACUCAUAACCAGAAUUUCAGCAAGAUCACAAGCAAACCACAUAAGCAAAUGACAUCUAGGUCUCACGAUAAACUCAUAUCAAUGGCAUAAUCAGCUAGGGAGCAAAUAAUAAUAAGCCUCAAAUGUCAACACUUCAAUCAAAACAACAUGAAGCAGUACGAAUAGAUGGUAUCUCGCUAGCUCUUUCGGAGACCGCAAAACAUAAAUGCAGAGCACCUUCAAAGACCAAGGGCUGACUAAACAUUGUAAUUCUAGCCAAUGAAGAUCGAGUCACAGUCAUACUCAACACAGUUAAAAGCAAAGCAUAAAAAUGACAAAGGUGCUCUCUAAUUGGGUCUUGUUGUAAGAGGAGGAUGACUCAACAGGAACAUAAAUAGACAUGCCCUUCGCAGAGGGAAGCAUUAAUUUGCACAGGUGCCAGAGCUCAAGCUUUUAAAACAGAGAUAAUAAUUUUGGGUGGCAUGCUUUCAUUGUCAACGCAAUGACUAAGAGUUCUCAACAUCUUCCACGCUACACAUGCUAUAGGCGGUCCCCAAACAGAAAAGUAAAGUUUUGACUCCCCCACCACCAAUCAAUCACACUCCACGGCUAGCCGAAUCCUCGAGUACUGUCCAUACCAACAUCAAUCCUGGGGGAGGUUUGUUUGCAAUUAUCUUUUCGAUUUGAGCAUGGACCUGGGAGUUCCAAUUACCGCCCCCUUUCUCGUGAAUGAUAGUGAAUAAACACAUAUCGAGGAUAACACGCCUAGCAUGGAAGAUACCAAUAGCCCCCUAUCACCACAUGAGCGGUUCGGGCAUGCAAAACAGAUUAUUUCUUGAAGGUUUAGAGAGUGGCACAUGCAAAUUUACUUGGAACAGCAGGUAGAUACCGCACAUAGGUAGGUAUGGUGGACUCAUAUGGAACAACGUUGGGUUUAUGGGGGUGGAUGCACAAGCAGUAUUCCCGCUCAGUACAAGUGAAGGCUAGCAAAAGACUGGGAAGCGACCAACUAGAGAGCGACAACAGUCAUCAAAAUGCAUUGAGAUUAACUAACAUUGAAUGCAAGCAUGAGUAGGACAUAAAUCACCAUGAACAUGAACAUCAUAGAGGCUAUGUUGAUUUUGUUUCAACUACAUGCGUGAACAUGCGCCAAGUCAAGCCACUUGAAACAUUCAAAGGAGGAUACCAUCCUAUCAUACUACAGCACAGUCAUCUCAACAUUCAUGUGGGCAUCCAAGACAAACCAUUAUAAGCUCCUAGCUAAGUAAGCAUGGCAUAAGCAACUAUGAUCUCUAAGUUGUCAUUGCAAACAUGUUUCUCUCACAACAAAGCUGAAUCAGGCAUGAUGGGCUAGUCAUAUUUACAAAAACAAAAUAGAUCGAGUUCAUACCAUCUUUUCCAGGCUCAGUCACUUCAUAUAUCGUCAUUUUUGACUUUCACUUGCACGACCGAAUGUUGUGAACAAUAAUAAGCGUGCUCGUGUAGUGGACUAAAGAUGGAAUCUGCAGGAAAACACAAAUGAGAAACACCUACUCCCCCAAGCUUAGGCUUUUGGCCUAAGUUGGUCUACUCCCAAGGAGGGAAAUAACCAGCUCCGGGGUACUCCGGAGUGGACUGAGGAUGCCACUGCUGUGUGAGCUCCUCUGGCUCCCACUGAUAAACUGGCGUCUGGUACUCGACUGCUAGCUCGGGCACGGGCACCUGUGGUUGGGCUAUGCCCCAAUAUGUGUAGAUGUCCAAGGGCAUAAUAAUGUACCUACCUGCAUGAAGAUUGAACAAAGAAGGAGCAAGCAAAGUAAUAGUCUCACGAGUACCCUGACUAAAUACCAGGUUAUAAAUCAUCCUUCUAUUUAUAUCUCUAUCAAAAAAGUCAUGGCGAACCAUGCUAUUGUAAUAUAGAUAUCUCUCAGGAAGAAGAAUCUCUUCUUCCUCGUCCAGUCUAAUAGGUAUCUCAAAAUGUAUAGCAAGACGAGUAGCAUAGAUACCUCCAUAGAUAACGCCUUUAGAACGGUUCGUGUUCAACCGUUGAGCUACUAUAGCGCCCAAGCUAUAAGUUUUAUCGUUAUAAAGGGCUUCGCGCAAGACCGCAAGAUCUGGGGAACUAAGUGACCCAGCUUUCCCACGGCCAAUCAAACAUUUUCCCACAAAUAAUGAGAAGUACCGAAGCACGGGAAAAUUAAUGCUAGUAGCUCUAGCGCAAGACACUCCUCUCUCCUCUCCUACAACAAUAGUAUCGAUGAAAGCUUCCAAGUCCCGUGGACGAGGUUCAUGAAUAUCCCCAACAUAAGGUAAUUUGCAAACAUUGCAAAAAUCUUGGUGUGACAUGCGCUGGGGGAUAUCAUAAAUUUUGAACUCAACCAUAGGAGGAUUCUUCCUCGGAUAGAAGUUAAAACUUUGUAUGAAGAUAUUAGUGAGGAGGAGGUAUUGCGGACACUUAUCUUCAACGAAGGCGGUAAGGCCUGCGUUAUCCACCAAGUGAUAAAAGUCCUCAUAAAUUCCAGCGGUGCGUAAGAACACAUCGCUUGGCCACUUGCACGCUCGAACUUCUGCGACUCGAGGGACCAGAUACUUGGGCUUCUUCUCACUCCCAUCAUCCUUGGGGUCACGGCUUGAAGAGCCUCUUAAGAACCUCCUCAUCUUUUCCCUUUUCUAUCUUUGAAAUUUUCUGAAAAUUUUAGUGAUUCUAAGGAAAAGUGAACAAGGCUCAAUGAAACUCAUAGCAACUACUCCAACAAAUGCCUAGAGGCCAUAUUACGCAUCAAAACUACUUGGGACCAGCUAGAAUUAGCAUGCAAAGCUCAAGAACAUGGUCACCAAGGCAGAAAAAAUACGCGGAGUAUAAGGCACUAGAGCAAAAAAUAAUUGGACCAAUGGAGGAGUCACUUACCAAGGAGUAAUUUCCCCAAAACAGUUCGGAGAACGGUGAUUUGAGCAAAGAGAUCGAAAAUCCCAACAAGAGGAGCGAGAACACGGGUUUGAGCUGCGGAACAAUUUUUUCUGGAGGUAGGAGAACCAGAUAAGAGCAAGAAUGAGUGGAGGGGGUGCCUGUGGGCCCCACAAGCCUGGGUGGUGCGCUCAGGGGGGGUGCCCGCGCCCCAAGCGCUUGUGGCCCACUCGUGCAGCCCCCCGACAAGCUCUUUGUCUCAGAAUUUUUCAAAAAUUCCAAAAAAAAUCAUACUUGAUUUUCAGGACGUUCGGAGUACUUUUAUUUUCAGGGUACUUUUCCACCGAGCGCUAAAACAGAAAACAGGGAAAACUAAACUAAAUCUAUCAUUUUUCUUCUAAGCAAUAGAAGGUGAAAGCUUGGAACAGAGGUUUGUGACUCCUCGAUUCAUCCAUCUCAUUGUCAUCAAAAGAAAUCUGUCAGUGAGGUUGAUCAAGCCUCUUUGACAAACUUUUUCGAAUCACAAAAGAUAAUGGAGAAUUUCCGAAUAAUCACUAGGUCACCUCAAUGGGGAUGUGUAUCUCCCCAACAAGCAAAUCAUACUUCAUCUUGACACGAGGUAUAGGGCAUUCAAAGAUCCCAAUAAAAAUUGAUGAAGUUUUUUCGAUAGCAUUGAUGCAAUGUACUCGAUAUUGUUUCUUCGGAAAGUGCACUGUAUGGUCAUUACCGUUGACAUGGGAAGUGACAUUGCCUUUGUUGCAAUCUAUAACAGCCCCUGCAUUGUUUAAAAACGGUCUUCCGAGGAUGACCGCCAUGGCAUCGUCCUCAGGAAUAUCCAAGAUAACAAAGUCUGUUAAGAUAGUGACGUUAGCAACCACAACAGGCAGAUCCUCGCAAAUGCCGAUAGGGAAAGCAGUUGAUUUGUCGGCCAUUUUGCAGAGAUUUCAGUGGGUGUCAACUUGUCCAGUUCAAGUCUACGAUAAAGAGAGAGAGGCAUAACACUAAUACCGGCUCCAAGGUCGCAUAACACUGGUCUAACGUACCUGCCUUUAAUGGAGCAAGGUAUAGUGGGCACACCGGGAUCACCUAGUUUCUUAGGAGUUCCACCCUUGAAGGUAUAAUUAACAAGCAUGGUGGAAAUCUCAACCUCAGGUAUCCUCCUCUUAUUAGUUACAAUAUCUUUCAUGUACUUAGAAUACGGAGACAUUUUGAGCAUAUCUGUCAAACGCAUUUGCAGAAAGUCAGGUCUGAUCAUUUCAACGAAUCACUCAAAAUCCUCAUCAUCCUUUUUCUUGGAUGGUUUUGGAGGAAAGGGCAUGGGUUUCUGAACCCAUGGCUCCCUUUCUUUACCAUGCUUCCUAGCAGCAAAGUCAUUCUUAUCAUAUCUUCUAUUCUUAGGCCGAGGGUUAUCAAGAUCAAUAGGUUCAAUCUCCACAUCCUUAUCAUUGCUAGGUUGAGCAUCUUCAUGAACAUCACUAUUGAUAUUAUCAUUAGGCUCAUGUUCAUCACCAGAUUGUGUUUCAGUGUCACAGACAGAGGCAUCGUUUGGACUCUCAGGUGUAGCAGCAACAGGGUUGCUAGCGUGCAGGUUCCUAUCAUCUUUCUUCUUCUUUCUAGGAUGACUAGGUGCAUCAGUGCUAACUCCUUGAGAAUCUUGUUCAAUUCUCUUCGGAUGACCCUCGGGAUACAAAGGUUACUGGGUCAUUCUACCGCCUCUAGUAACAACUCUAACGGAAUUUUCAUUCAACUCAUCGAGCAAGUCAUUUUGAGCUUUAAGUACUUGUUCUACUUGAGUAGUAACCAUACAGGCAUGUUUACUCAAAAGCUUAAGAUCAUUGACAUUUCUGUCCACACAAGCACUUAAAUGACUAAGCAUAUGAGCAUUCUGUUCCAAUUGUCUGCUAACAUAAUCAUUNNNNNNNNNNNNNNNNNNNNNNNNNNNNNNNNNNNNNNNNNNNNNNNNNNNNNNNNNNNNNNNNNNNNNNNNNNNNNNNNNNNNNNNNNNNNNNNNNNNNUAGGGCGAAUUCAAUAUCUUUCUUCAUAAAGGAACCAGCACAAGAAGUGUCGAGCAUGGAUUCAUCAUUACGAGAGAGCUGAGCAUAAAAAUUUUGAAUAAUAAUUUCUGUCGAGAGCUCGUAAUUGGGGAAUGAAUAUAAAAUUGGCUUAAGCCUCCCCCAAGNNNNNNNNNNNNNNNNNNNNNNNNNNNNNNNNNNNNNNNNNNNNNNNNNNNNNNNNNNNNNNNNNNNNNNNNNNNNNNNNNNNNNNNNNNNNNNNNNNNNNNNNNNNNNNNNNNNNNNNNNNNNNNNNNNNNNNNNNNNNNNNNNNNNNNNNNNNNNNNNNNNNNNNNNNNNNNNNNNNNNNNNNNNNNNNNNNNNNNCUCCCCCAAGCUUGAGAGAUUCUGUCUCCUUCACGAGGCCAAAAAUUAUAAAUAUAAUUUCGAUCAUCAUGAACCAGAUGCAUAGGAUAAAACUUCUGAUGAAAUUCCAAUUUCAAUCGGUGGUAAUUCCAUGAUCCAAUAUCAUCACAUAGCCUAUACCAUGUCAACACCCUUUCCUUAAAAAAUAAAGGAAAGACCUUCUUCUUGACGUCAUCCUCGGGCGGACCUGCAAGCUUUAAUAAUCCACAAACUUCAUCCACGUAGGUUAGAUGCAAAUCAGGAUGUAGUGUUCCAUCUCAUGCAUAAGGAUUAGCUAGUAUUUUUUCUAUCAUACCCGAAGGAAUUUCAUAAUAAAUAUGUUCAAUAUGUGCAGCAGGUUGAGGAGCAUCUCUUUUUGCUUCCGGUCGGGGUGAAGAUACCCCAAACAAGCCCCUCAAAGGAUUAUUUUCCAUAGCGACAAGUGAUAGUAAAUUUCAGCAGAAUAUAUAAUUUUUUCCUUACCAAGUUCCACUUACCAAAGGCGCUUCACUCCCCGGCAACGGCGCUAGAAAAGAGUCUUGAUGACCUACAAGUGUAGGGGAUCUAUCGUAAUCCUUUCUAUAAGUAAGAGUGUCGAACCCAACGAGGAGCAGAAGGAAAUGAAAAACAGUUUUCAGUAAGGUAUUCCCUGCAAGCAUUGAAAUUAUCGGUAAAAGAUAGUUUUGUGAUAAGGUAAUUCGUAAUGGGUAGCAAGUAAAAAAUGUAACAAUGGUGCAGCAAGGUGGUCCACUCCUUUUUGUAGCAAAGGACAAGCCUGAACAAACUCUUAUAUAAAGAAAACCGCUCCCGAGGACACAUGGGCAUUUAUGUCAAGCUAGUUUUCAUCAUGCUCAUAUGAUUCGCGUUCAUUACUUUUAUAAUUUGAUAUGUGGGUGGACCGGUGCUUGGAUGCUACAGCCCACUUUUGAUUAACCUCUCUCACAAGCAUACGCAACUACGAAAGAAGAAUUAAGAUAAAUCUAACCAUAAAAUGAAACAUAUGGAUCCAAAUCAGCCUCUUACGAAGCAGCACAUAAACUAGGGUUUAAGCUUCUGUCACUCUAGCAACCCAUCAUCUACUUUUUACUUCCCAAUGCCUUUACCUAGGCCCAAAUAAUGGUGAAGUGUCAUGUAGUCGAAGUUCACAUGACACCACUAGAGGAGAUACAAUAUACAUCUUAUCAAAAUAUCAAACGAAUACCAAAUUCACAUGAUUACUUAUAACAAGACUUAUCCCAUGUCCUCAGGAACAAAUGUAACUACUCACAAAGAAUAUUCAUGUUCAUAAUCAGAGGAGUAUUAAUAAUAAUUAAGGAUAUGAACAUAUAAUCUUCCACCAAAUAAGGCAACUGGCAUCAACUACAAAGAGUAAUCAACACUAUUAGCAACCCACAGGUACCAACCUGAGGUUUUGAGACAAAGAUCGAAUACAAGAGAUGAACUAGGGUUUGGAGAGGAGAUGGUGCUCAUGAAGAUGUUGAUGUACAUUGACCCUCUCUCGAUGAGAGGAUCGUUGGUGAUGACGCUGGCUUCGAUUUCCCCCUCCGUGAGGGAAGUUUUCUCGGUGGAAUAGCUCGGCUGGAGCUCUAGAUUGGUUCUAUUGCAAUUCUGCCUCGAGAUGGUGGCGCCUCGUCCCAAAAGCUCUGAUAUGAUUUUUUUUUCAUGUCAAAACCCUUCAUAUAGCAUAAGAUGGGCACAGGAGGUCUGCCAGGGGGGCCACAAGCCUGCAGGGCGCGACGAGGGGGUGCUAGGCUACGCCCCCUGGUUUGUGACCUCCUACUGGGUCCCCUCUGGUAUUUCUUUCGCCCAACAUUUUUAUAUCUUCCAAAACAAUUGUCCGUGACUUUUCAUGACUUUUGGAGGUGUGCAGAAUAGGUCUCUUAGAUUUGCUCCUUUUCCAGUCUGGAAUUCCAUCUGCCGGCAUUCUCCCUCUUCAUGUAAACCUUGUAAAAUAAGAGAGAAAAGGCAUAAGUAUUGUACCAUAAUGUGUAUUAACAGCCCAUAAUGCAAUAAAUAUUGAUAUAAACAUGAUGCAAAAUGGACGUUGAUACGUCUCAAACAUAUUGACAUUUCCAAACACUUUUGCUAUUGUUUUGGCCUCAUUCUUGCAUGAUUUGAAUGAAACUAACCCGGACUGACGUUGUUUUCAACAGAGCUGCUUGUACGGUUUUCUUGUGCGCAGGAAAAUGGAUAUUUAGACGUCAUGGAAAAUUCCUAUAAAAAUAGAGAAAAUCCACACACCGGGAAGAACCAUGGGCCGGAAGAUGGGCCAGAGGGGAGAUACACGCCCCCCAGGCGACUUGUGGGCGCGACCUGCCCCCUCGCCGCACCGGAAGGCCGGCUGGGUGGGGCCCACCCCCUCUGGUGCCCUACUUUGGCUCCUAUUUUUACCCAUGAUGCAGAUAUCCCAGAACAGAAGUCAUCUCGUAAGUUCUCGACGCGGAGCCGCCGCCACCCUCGGUCUUCUUCGGGAGAGCUAAUCUGGAGGUUGUUUUGGCCUUCGGAGAGGGGAAAUCGUCGCCAUCGUCAUCACCAUCACCACUCCCUCAUCCUCCCAUGGCUUCCCCCAUCAUGUGCGAGUAAUUCUCUGCUGUAGGUGAAGGGGAUGGUACGGAUUGGAUGAGUUAUAUCAUGUAAUAGUUCGCCGGAUUGUUGGGGGCAUGUUGCCUAUCAUCUACUAUGGUGUUUAUCAUCUUUUCUACUACUUGUUACUCUUAAUGCUUGUCACUUUGGGACCGAGUGCCAUGAUUUCAUAUCUUAAUUCAUUAUGUUUUCAUGAAUAUAUUUGUGUUCUAGAUCCUAUCUAUGAGUAGUAUGCACCUAUUAUAGUCCGGAAUCGGCGAUCCCAAUGGUGACAGCUUGGGACACCAAAGGGGAUAGACUAUAGUAUGAGGAUUCAAUGUAUUCACUGAUUGUUAAUGCUUUGUUCCGGUGCUCUUUGACAGGAGCACCUUAAUCUCCAUAAGUUCCUUUUGGCCCCGUUGAUAGCGGGAUGGUAGGACAAAAUAUGUUCUGCAAGUUCUUAUUGCAAGCACACACGACUACCUAAGGAUACAUGCCUAAUGUUUGAUAUAUGCCUAGAUGAUCAUUACUUUUCUAUGUGCCUUGCCCCCAAGUUAAAUACAUGAUAUCUCUCAUCCAUGACCAACCAUCCAUCUCCCUAUCCUACAGUGUUUUAAUCCCGCUGGUCACAAGUCACUUUACUUUCCCUGUUUUACUUUCGUUGCUUUAUCACUAUUAUUUCCGUUGCCACCAUCACUUCCAUAUCACCGUUGCUAUUAAUAUUUCAUUGUCAAGCGAGUAUCUUUCAGGUGCGGUUGAAUUGACAACUCAACUAUUAAAGCUUAUAAAUAUUUUUGGCUCCCCUUGUGUCAAAUCAAUAAAUUUGCUUAUCUUACCCGUGAAGACUGUUGUGAUCCCCUACACUUGUGGGUUAUCAAGACCAUUUUCUGGCGUCGUUGCCAGGGAGCAUAGCUUUAUUUACAAGUCUACUUCGAGUUAUUUUGCUUGCUGCGAUUUAUUCACUAUGGGUAAGAAACGAGACCCCAAGGUUCCAAUUUUACCAUCCACUACGAGAAAAGGUAUUGUUCUUAGCACUAGCGCUACGAUUGAUUCACCUUCCGUUAUGAGUAAGUUUGCUUCACCACCACCACAUGUUGCUUCUACCGAGUCUGUCACUAUGCCUGGUACAUUUGACGAUGCUGCUACUACUAUUGAUGAGCCUAGUUUACUUGGUUAUUUUAUUGAGUCUCAGAUUGCUAAGGCUGCAAAGCAGUCUGGAAUUGAACUUCCUGUUACACGCUACCCCAUUGGUAGAUCUUUAGGUUACCCACACUUGAGUGGUCUCAAGGAAAAAAUUCUUGAUCAUGAUUAUAUUGAACUUGAUGAUGAUUUAUGCAGGGAACUUACCGAGUGUGCUCACUCUGACCCUACUUCUGUUAAGAAGUUGCUUGAAAAGCAUUCUAUGAAGAACAAAUUUACUCCUGAUCCUAAAUUUUCGUCAUCUCCUAUUUGCAUUGAGGAUGCUGAUUUUGAUUUCUCUAUUGAUCUUUCACUUAUCUCCAGAGUUGAAGCUAACCCCUUCUAUGGCAGAGAAAAUGACGAUGCUAUUGCACACCUUACCAAACUCACUGAGUUGGGUGGCUUAUUCACUAUAGAGGACAAGAAGAGAAACUAUUAUGUUACUAAGCUACUUCCUUUCUCUUUGAAGGAAGAUGCUAAAGCAUGGUAUGAUUCACUACCAUGUGGGUCCAUUACGAGUCCUCAAGAUUUAGCUCAAUCUUUUGUUGCUAAAUAUUUUCCUGCCCAUAAGGAACAUGCUGCUUUACAAAGAAUAUAUAACUUUAAACAGUUGCAGGAUGAGCACCUCCCUAAAGCUUGGGGGAGGUACUGCACUUUACUCAAGGCUAGACCGGGACAUGGAGUCCCGAAGAAUGAAUUGCUUGAUAUAUUUUAUCCUGGUCUAACCGAUGAAUCUAGAACCUAUCUGGAUAGUUGUGCUGGUUGUGUUUUCAGGGAAAGAACACCUGAGAUGCUGAAGAAUUAAUGGGUAAGAUAGCUAAGAAUCAUGAUGAUUGGUACAUUAUUGAACCACCUCCAUCACCAAAGAAGAGGGGUAUGCUUUUCUCGAGCCCCGAAGUUAUGCAAGAAGCCAAGAAGUCUAUGAAUGAGAGAGGUAUUCAAACUGAAGAUGUGAAGAAUCUACCUCCUAUUAAGAAAUUAUGUGAGCCUACCACUCACCGACCUAUGGUAGAGGUACACUCUAUUUUAGAAUUCAAUGCAAGUGACAUCCCUCAUGGUAAGCCCCUUGAUCAAUGUUUAGAUGAGCUUGAUAAUUGUAUUGUCAAGCAAAAUCACUUUAAUGAGAGGAUUCAAAGCCAAUUUCAUGAUAAUUCCCUUGCUAUCAAAAGUUUGCUUGAUGUUUUAAGUAGAACUGUUAAUGAUGUUAAACGUCAUGUUAAGCAUUUUUCAUAUGGUUCAAACUCAGCUUGAACAAAUUUCUAAUGUGCAAAAAGAUUUGCUUGCUAACAAUAUCAAACAAGUUGAUGCGCAAGCAUAUGGUAUAAAGACCCGAGGUGGUACACACACCCAUGACCCCCUCUAUCCGGAGGGGCAUCCAAAGAGGAUCGAGCAAGAUUCUCAAUUGCAAGAAGAAGACAUUGUCAGCUCCCCGAAGAAGAAGAAGAAACACAAGGAAGCUGACAACUCCAAUGAUCCCAUAAUUGAUGAAGAACCUAUUAUUGACCCUAAUAGUAUAUCUAUUUCCGAUGCUAAAACUAAAGAUGGUGCUAAACCUGAUAAAGAUAAUGAGAAGAUUGAUCCUCCUGAGAUACGAGAAUAAGAAGCACCCGACAAGCGCAAGAGAUAUACUCGAGAAGAUUUUGGUGCAAGAAAACAUGGGAAGGAAAGAGAACCGUGGGUACAGAAAUCAAUGCCCUUCCCAGGUAAGUCUUUCAAAACCAAAAAGAAGAGCAUUACAAUAAAUUUUGUGAAUGGAUGAAACCUCUUUUUCUUCAAAUUCCUUUGACCGAUGCUAUUAAGUUGCCUCCGUACUCGAGGUAUAUGAAAGAUAUUGUUACUAACAAAACAAAAGUUCCUAAUGAGGCAAUAUCCACUAUGGUUGCUAAUUUCUUUCAGUGGCAAGAUUUCCGAGAAGCUUGGUGAUCCAGGUAUACCCACCAUUCCUUGCUCCAUAAAAAUAAUUAUGUCAGAAUUGCUUUAUGUGAUCUUGGUGCAGGAGUGAGUGUUAUGCCUUUCUCUCUUUACAAAAGGCUUUGUCUAGAUAAACUAAUCCCUAGAGAUAUCUCUCUUCAAAUGGCUGAUAAGUCAACAAACGUUCCCGUAGGUAUUUGUGAGGAUGUUCCCGUUGAAGUUGCUAAUUGCUUGAUCCUUACUAACUUUGUUGUGCUUGACAUGCCUGAGGAUGGGAGCAUGUCUAUUAUUCUUGGUAGACCUUUUCUUAACACCGCAGGUGCUAUUAUUGAUUGCAAUAAAGGAUAGGUGACCUUCAGUGUUAAUGAGAAGGAGCAUACGGUAUAUUUUCCGAAGAAGAUUGAUAAAAGGCAUGGCCUUAAUUCUAUUGAGAAUAUUGAGACCGUGAAGGUUGGAGAGUGGGAUUGUCCUCUACAUAUGCACCAAAAAUACAAAACCAUUAUGGUGGGGACAAUAUCCAUUGAAAUAAAGGUACCAUGAUUGCUUUAUAAGAAGUGAAACUUUUUGCUCAAAUAUAACACCUGUUUGGUAGUAAGACUUGAUCAACCUUACUAACAAAUAUGAUUUAUAUGAGUAAAAAGAGAAGCUUGUUAUGUUUUCAUUUCCUUUAUCUUUCAUCCUCUUUGUUGUACCAAAGCAUUAUGUUUUUGAAGCCUCAUAUGUUUAACCUUUGUUUUGAGCUUUCUGCAAAUUUUGCAGCUUUCGGUACUUCGAUUUUUUUUCAAAAGUGAAGUUUUCAGAAAAAUUCCAGAAAAAUUAAAUGAAAAAUUUCCAUGAAAAAAGAGACGCAGGGGCACCUGGAGACAGCCAGGGGGGCCACCCUUGGUCCAGGCGGCCAGCAGGCGCGACCUGCCCCCUGGUCGCGCCCACAAGUUGUCUGGGCCCACGUGGUCCCCUUUCCAGGUACUUCUUCUUCCCUUCUCUCUUUCUCACUCCUAAAAUCCCGAUUUUUCUCCUGGAGCUCGAGUUCUUGCUGCUCUUGGUGGCAAAUUUUGAUCUGUCUCUACAGCCCAUCAUUUGCAUUGAGAAUUUGGGCAUUUGAUCCUUGGUAUGUGACUCCUCCACUCCUCCAAUUAAAAUUUUGAUUGGUGGUCUUAUUUGUGAGUAUUUAGUAGUUCUUGGUGCUAUUCAUAUGAGCUUGCAUGCAUGUUUAGAAAUUUAUUUGUGAUGUUUUGAUACAAGUUUAUGCAUCAGGGAAGUGAGUAGAAUAGUUUGAUCCAACUCAUUUUUGCUUAAAUCUCCAUUUUUGUGAUGAACCAAAAAAAUUAGAAAUGAGUUUGUUUGGAAAAGCAAAAGGAUGGCUUGGGAAGAAGAGACCUGAGCCUACUGAUAGACUAACUAGAGCUGCAGCUUCAUCCUCUACUGUGAGGACAAGUUACAAUGACGAUAUCGUGCCACCAGAGUUGUUCCACGAGACGGACACGGCACGUGCCAUGGCAUACCCGUGUUCAGAUUUCCUGAUGGCGGCAGGUAUUAAAGAUGAGUUUGAUAACCUCUGUGCAGCUGUAGGUUUGACACAUCUCGUAACACGACGUGUGCAACAAUAUCCAAAACUCACAUAUUAUUUUGUCAACUGGUUUAGAUAUAAUGAUAAAAUUUCCAUGAUUGAAUUCAUAUUAUAUGAGGAUGUCUUUACCAUGUCUUUGGCAGAAUUUUUUGAUGUUAUAGGUGUGCGGAAUGUCGGGAUGAUGACCAAAAUGAAUGUUCAUCCCUACGAGCUGAAAUCCCUAUUCACUUCCCUUUUGCAGUAAGGACCCGCGAGUAAUUCACUUGGGGGAGAUCUCCAGCAUCUUGUUUCCCCACAUCAAGUAUUUCGCAUACUAUAUUGCUCGAGGGGUGCUAGUUCGUGACAACACGAGUAACAUUUCGGAUCCGUACCUUGCUAUCUUGGCAUCCUCCCUCUUAGGAGAUUACACGUAUAAUAUUGGUGCGUUCAUUGUUCAUUGCCUCAUUGCUAACAGCGACAAAGGGCCUCACUUUGGUGGCAUUUAUGCCAGGCUUAUCCUCGAGCACCUCAGGCGCAAUGUGCGGACGAAUGAUACGCCUUUUUCAUUCAUAAGCUUUGAUAUUACCGCUAUGAAGAGGCAUGAGUUUGUUACUAGGACUUCCGAGUUUGGUAACCUUAUUUAUAUUAUGAGGUUUGGCGAGCUUACUACUCGCGAGAUCCGUCUACAUGCACCACUUUUGUUUGAUUACACUAGAAGGAAUGGAUAGUCCUUCACCUCGAUUGAGCUAGACGAGUUCGUGAUCCAGCAGCAGUUCCACAACCCCAUGGAGGGGAUUGUUCCCGAGGUAGAAGAGCCUUCUAAUUGGGAGGCCAGACGGGCAUCAGUGUAUGCGCCCGAGGCCUCGUAUCAUUCUUGGAGCCACCCAUACCACUCCGGAGCCAGAGGAAGCUCCUGGAGCCCUCAAUAGCCGAGCUCAACUUAGGCGAAAAGCCUAAGCUUGGUGGAGUACGUAUCCUUCUCACCUUUCAUUGUAUCAUCCGUAGUUUCCUUUUUAAUCUUUUCGGAGUUUUUGCCCGUUCUUCUUUGUUCUUUCUUUGCAAAAACAACAAAAAGAUUUCUCUUUUCUUUUGCUUUCGCUUAACCUUUGGAAAACCCAAAAAGAUUUCUUUUCUCUCUUUAGUUUGCUUUGUUUGCAGAGUUCAGCUCACGUCCAUGGUUGCAAUUGCACUUGAUUAUAUCUUUCUACGUUCGAUCGUGCAAGUGACGAUGCAAUAAUGAAGAAGAUCGACAGAAGGAAUGCAACAAGGAAAGUCGGUAUGAACUCUAUUUGUUUCUACUUUUGUACAUAUGCAUGUACUUAUGAUCUAGAGACUAGCUUAUAGCGACAUAGUACUAUGAUUACAAUGAUUCCCAGUAGUUCAUGCUUUCUUUGUGACUAGUCUCAAAUAGUUGGAGUGCAUAAUGUGUUAUUGAAAUGAUUAGCAUGCAUUGCAUUGUUCAUGGUUUGGCAUAUUGGAGUGGUAUUUCCCUUCGGAGAAUUUCUGGAUUGACUUGGCACAUGCUUACACAUGUUUAUGACUAGAAGUCUAUCAAGCCUUGAUGAUCUUUUUAUUUCAGAAUAGUUAAAUCGCUUUCAUGCCCGAUUCAAAGUUGAUUUGUCGCUCUACAUGAUUAUGACCAUUAUUGCUCUCUAGUUGGGCGCUUCCCCAUCUUUCGCUAGCCUUCACCUGUACUAAGCAGAUUGACUGCUUGUGCAUCCAAAAUGCUUGAAACCAGUUGCGCCAUAUGACUCCGCCAUACCUACCUAUAUGCGGUACUUAUGUGUCGUCCUAAAUAAAUUUGCAUGUGUCAUAUUCUUAACUUUCAAAUAAAUAUUUUGUUUUGUAUGCCCGAAUCACUCAUGUAGUGACUAGGGGCUAUCAGUAUCUUCCAUGCUACGUAGGUUAUUCUCAAGAUAUGUGUUGAUUCACUAUCAUUCACGAGAAAGUGGCUGGUAACCAGGAUGCCCAUUUCCAUGCUCAAAAGUCAAAUCAAAUUUAAUGAAACAAAACUCCCCCAAGAUUGUUGUUUGUAUGGACGGUACCCGUCGAUUCGUCCCGCCGUGGAGUGUGAUUGAUUGGUGGAGGGGGUAAAAACUUUACCAUUCUGUUUGGGAACCGCCUAUAAUCUAUUUAGCAUGGAAGAUAUUGAGAUCUCUUAGUUGUUAUGUUGACAAUGAAAACAUACCACCCAAAAUUUUGAUUUAUGUUUGUUUUAAAGCUCAAGCUUUGACACCUCUGCAAAUCAAUGCUUCCCUCUGUGAAGGGCCUGUCUAUUUUACUUUAUUGUUGAGUCAUCCUCUUCUCAUAAAAGCACCAACUAAGAGAGCAUAAUUGUCAUUCUCAGUGUAAUGUGCAUUGUCCCAAAGUACCACAUUGUCUUCUGUAUGAUUGUGAUAUUACUUAUUCUGAAAUAUUUAUUUCUAGUCUCCUUUAAGACUCCGGAGGAGCGUUUGCAUUUAUGUUCUGCUUCACUCAUGGGAGCUAGCGAGAUACCACUCUAGUAUAUCCAAGUCAUGUGCAUUGUGAUCUCGUUAUGAUUUUCAGUUACAUAUUAUUCAUUCUUAGUUGUUUGAAACUCUUCACAUGAUCGAAGGAUUGCUUCGUGCAUUGUCUUUGUAGCAUUGCUUCAAUACUUGUUGGGCUUGUUCGUAGUGCAUGCUUAUAUACAUCUGAUGAAGCAAAAGAGUUUGUCAAAGUUUUCUUUGUCGCGUUCAGUUUGUUGAACUGAAUUGCUUGAGGACAAGAAAUAUGCUAAGCUUGGGGGAGUUGAUACGCCUCAAACGUAUCGACUUUUCCAAACACUUUUGCUAUUGUUUUGGUCUCAUUCUUGCUUGAUUUGAAUGAAACUAACCCGGACUGACGUUGUUUUCAGCAGAGCUGCUUGUAUGGUUUACUUGUGCGCGGGAAAAUGGAUAUUUAGACGUCCCGGGAAAUUCCUAUAAAAAAUAGAGAAAAUCCACGCACCAGGAGGAACCAUGGGCCAGAAUAUGGGCUAGAGGGGAGCCACAGGGCCCCCAUGCGACUAUGGGUGCGGCCUGCCCCCUGGCCGCGCGGGAGGCCGCCUGGGUGGGGCUCACCCCCUCUGGUGCCCUACUUUGGCACCUAUUUUUACCCGUGUUGCAGAAAUACGAGAACAGAAGUCAUUUUGCAAAUUCUCGACGCGGAGCCGCCGCCACCCUCAGUUCUUCUUCGGGGGAGCUAAUUUGGAGGCUGUUUCGGCCUCCGGAGAGGGGAAAUCGUCGCCAUCGUCAUCACCAUCACCACUUCAUCAUCCUCCCAUGGCUUCCCCCAUCAUGUGUGAGUAAUUCCCUGCUGUAGGUGAAGGGGGUGGUAGGAAUUGGAUGAGUUAGAUCAUGUAAUAAUUCGUCGGAUUGUUGGGGGCAUGUUGCCUAUCAUCUAUUAUGGUGUUUAUCAUCUUUUCUACUACUUGUUACUCUUAAUGCUUGUCACUUUGGACCCGAGUGCCAUGAUUUCUCAUCUGAAUUUAUUAUGUUUUCAUGAAUAUAUUUUUGUUCUAGAUCCUAUCUCUGAGUAGUAUACACCUAUUAUAGUCCCAAACCGGCGAUCCCAAUGGUGACAGCUUGGGACACCAAAGGGGAUAUACUAUAGUUUGAGGAUUCCAUGUAUCCAUUGAUUGUUAAUGCUUUGUUCCGGUGCUCUUUGACAGGAGCACCUUAAUCUCCAUAAGUUCCUUUUGGCCCCGUUGAUAGUGGGAUGGUAGGACAAAAGAUGUUGUGCAAGUUCGUAUUGCAAGCACGCACGACUACCUCGAGAAACAUGCCUAAUGUUUGAUAUAUCCCUAGAUGAUCAUUACUUUUCUAUGUGCCUUCCCCCAAGUUAAAUACAUGAUAUCUCUCAUCCAUGACCAACCAUCAAUCUCCCUAGCCUAUAGUGUUUUAAUCACGCUGGUCACAAGUCACUUUACUUUCGCUGUUUUACUUUCGUUGAUUUGCCACUAUUAUUUAUGUUGCCACCAUCACUUUAAUAUCACCAUUGCUACUAAUAUUUCGUUGCCAAGCAAGUAUCUUUCAGGUGCGGUUGAAUUGACAACUCAACUGUUAAAGCUUAUAAAUAUUCUUUGGCUCCCCUUGUGUCGAAUCAAUAAAUUGGGUUAUCUUACCUUCGAAGACUGUUGCGAUCCCCUACACUUGUGGGUUAUCAGACGUAUCAAGGGGGGAGUUGUAGGCGUCGGGGAGGCGACGGUGGCAGCCAACACCGCACCCAUGUUGGCUCGGGUGAGUAGGAGGAGGACGGUGGGGCUAGGUGGGCUAGGCCGACAGUGUAACGAGUAGGCUUUAGUGUAGAGUACCGCUUGGACCCUUCCAUUUCUUUUUUUUCUCUUUGUUUUUUAUUUAAUUCCAAUAGUAAAUUACUUUUGUAAAAUAUAGUGUUUGACCCAAUCAUUAACUUGCAUUUUUAGGUUCAGCCACAAAAAUUUUGGGGCGCAUUUGUAAGUUUGGGAAUUUUCAUAAUUCAAAAAGGUAUUUAAGUAAUUGUUCCGGCCUCUCCUAUAAUUAUUUUGAGGCACCAAAUCACUUGAUAAAAUGUUGGUUCAUAUUUUAUAAUUACUAGGUGAAUAUUUGCCAAGCAACCAUGAUUUUAGUUUCAGGUUUGUCAAAAUAUUUAAUCCAUUUAUUAUUUUAAUUUUGAAUUUCAAAAGGGAAUUUCAAAUAAGAUAUGAUUCUAAGAUUGAUCAAGCAGUGUUUAGCAAACGCAUUAGCUUAAUCUUGGCCAUAACUGUAGCCUAAUUAUAGUGAUCACUAUAGCUUAAUCCAGGGGUGUCACGUAUACUUUUUGGGUAUUUAUUUACCAAUUUAUAUUAUUUUAGAGCACUAACCUAUUAACCCAGUGCCCACUGUGAGUUGUUGUUUUUUGUGUGUUUUUGGCUUUUCAGGUUUACGGUAGCAAACGAAGUCCAAUUGCCAUGAAACUUUUUAGUGAUUUUUUCUGGACCCAUUGGGGCGGACGCGCCCACAACUUAAAUUGAUGUAUCUUAUAUUUUGCCAAACAACAAAAUAUACUCUUGUCGCUGGUAUUAACAUGGCAUGAAAUUUCAAUUUUUCUCGAUAUAUCUAUUUAUUUGUACUGCUUUUCUCUACUUCAAUACCUGCUCGAUUUAGAUUGGGAAAAUCGUACAGAUUUUAUGAAACCUUAUCAUUUUUUUACUGAAUAUUUUGCAAACUAUCUCAGUUCCUUAAAGUCUACAGGUGGUCACGUACUGUGACUGAAAGUUUACAAGUAGUCAAGUAAUUUGACCAGCCAAGCCAAAAGAGAUGUGUACCAACCUCAUGAGAAUAAAUAAGUAUGUCAAACGGUGAGCACAUCAUACACCCUCAUUAGAAUAAAAAAGUACUAUGUCAAAGGGCACUCACUAGCUGGCACCGCCCAGCUCGAGGAGGCACGUCAAGGUCGCGUCCCAACACCUAGUUACCAAUACUAGUCGUCGACCCCGUGUAAUUGCACGGUCUAAUUAUUUAGACAAUAGCUUAGUGGACUUUUGUAAAUAUUGGUUAUACUUACAAAAAUAUAAAUGGAGAGGCUUUAUGUUGAGCUCUUCAAAAUGUACUUUUUUUAUGAUGAGGGGCGUUUUGGUAACGAUACAUUCAUAUAUAACAUUUACAAGAAGUUCUUCAUUUGUUAACUCUUCGAAGUAUAUGGAAAUUACAAAUAAAAUCAUGGAACAAACAAUAUUCCAAUAAAACUAAUAAAGAAAACUGCUCUUUACUUUCUUAAAUUUGGUGCAUAAUGAUAGUGCUAGAUAGAGUACGUAGUUUGGUGUAUAUAAUCAUGCCAUCAUUCCAAACAACUAAAAAAACAUGAGCACAUGAUACAUUGAAAAACAUAUGAUUUCUUCAUGUGUACUGAUCAAAAUAAAUUUACUUUUAUACAUCGUAGUACCCUUGAAAGUGGUAACUAUGAUAAGAAAUCAGGAUCGCAAAACUGAUACAGUAUUGUACGAAACCUAAUUCAAUUAUGAAAAGCUUUAGUACAGAAUAAGAAAUGUAAACAAAUCUUCUUGACAUAUGUCCACAUAUAUUACCUCUUCUCUGAAUCCACCAGCCAAUUAAAUUAUUUCUCUUCACUUAGAGAUCAAGUGGACUGUCAGAAUAAUAUAAUUAUUUCUGUAUAAAGGGCAUCUAUAAUGAAGUGAAAUUAGACUAGUAAUUUGAGAAAGAAUUUUGUUUUUUUUUAACAUGCACACGAACACAUCUAAUAUUUUAUUAGGGAAAUAAAAGAAUAUUUGGAUGUACCCAAUAUGUCUGGUAAGGAUAAAUGUCACCUUGCUUUAUAAUUUCAAGAAAGAACCGUCUGAAGUAGAGAUAGAGAAAAAUGUACCCAGAAGCAACUCCUCGAGAGAUAAAACUUGUUAUAUCCAGUUCUAUCAAGUGACUCCUAGUCUAGAUUUGCACUUUCUGGUGUGAUAUUGAUGAUUCCUGCCAAGAAACGUAAUUAGUAUAGUUGUGGAGUAAUUAUGAAGAGUGGAAAAGGUAAUUAGUAUUUAUUGGCUAGGCAUAUAAUUUUAUAUAGUGACGGAGGUGUAGUAAGAUAUUUUUUCGGCGAAAAGAGGUAACAACACAAUCAUAUUAGAACAGAGGUGAGAAAUAGGUAAUGCUGAGAAUGUUGCGAAGAACUGAAAUGUUUUAAUUCUGACAAAAACAUAUACCUCUCUUUGCAUCAAGAAUUAUAUUGCUGAGAUAAUAUAGAACAAUCGAACAUAUGAGAUAAGACGAUUAUCUGGCACAUGCCAGUGUGUCCGUGAUUUGUUUUCCUUUGGUCGAACAUAGAUGGCAUACUUGAGUAGUGCUGAUGAUGGAGACCAAAAGGCCAUAACUUGCGAAUAUAGUUAUACCAAAGGUUAUAAUUAUUAUCAUAUAAACAUUAGAUAAUUUUUCUAGUCUAAAUGACAAUUCUAAUUUUCGAUCUUGAGGAAAUGUAAUACAUGUUGAAGACUACUAUUCCUCAAUUAAUCUACAUCGACACUGAUAAAAUAUUAUAUUUGACAGCCUUUAUAGAGUGGACUCUGGAGACCCCAAAAAGACACACUAGUAGAAAUAAGGGCUUUCGUCCCAGCUCGAAAACACAUUAGUCCCGGUUCCUUUACGAACCGGGACUAAUGUUAGUAUUAGUCCCGGUUCGAGCGGCAAAGGCGCCGGUCGGGCAUUAGUCCCGGUUCAAAUGGGACCUUUAGUUCCGAUUCGUGUCUCGAACCGGGACUAAAGGGUUUGGAGGAUUUAGUCCCGGUUCGUGUCUUGGACCUUUAGUCCCGGUUCGUAUCUCGAACCGGGAGUAAAGGGUUUGGAUGAUUUAGUCCCGGUUGGUGUCUUGAACCGGGACUAAAGGUGUUCAGAUUUUUUUUGUGUUUUUAAAUUCUUGUUUGUAGUUUCUGUUUUAAAUUGCUUAUAUCUUUUAGGAUAUUUGAUGUUUUUUAUUGAUUCUUUUUGCAUUAGAUUCAAAAUUUUGUCUAGUUUCUGUUUGUGCCAUUAGUUUUCAAAUUUGAAUGGUUUAAAUUUGAAUUUGUUUAAAUUUGCUUCAAACCCAGUUUUUGAUUAACUUGAGUUUACAAAUAGUUUUUAAUUUAAUUCUUUUUGCUCCCACUCAUGUGUUAGAUUGUUAUCACAAUAAGAUUUAUUUGGUUAUUUUUAGAAUAAUUUAAAUUAGGAUUUUAAUUAAACAAAUAUUGUUUUGCUUAUAUAGUUGUUUUAGUCAUCUAGUUGUUGUUUUUUAUUAUGUUUAGUUAGUUCUUUCUGUAGAUUUUAACAUGUUGUAGUAUGGUGCAUAUUUAAUGCACAAAAAAAUCUAUAGUUCAAUUAAUUUUAAAAAAAUGCCUUUGUAGCAGAUGGGUUUUCGUCUGAAACCUUGAUACUUUGAGUUUUGUACAAAAUAAACAAAAAUGAUAAAAUCUUCAAAAAAUAAACAAAAAUGAUAAAAUCUUCAAACAAUAAAAUCCUUUGAGAUGUUGUUAGGUUUUAGUGUCUAGUCGGUAUAGAAAUUUUGAGAUAUGAAUUUUGACCAUUUUGGCAAAAAAAGGAAAAAAAUAAACGGCCAUAACUUUUGCAUACGAUGUCAAAACAAAUAAUAUAUCAAAAAAAACUAGAAAAUAUUGGUACUCGAUUUCACCCGGGCUUGCCCGAUGAAGUUUUCUCACAUGCUCAAAAUUCCAAAUGGAAAAAAAGUUAUUUCAAAAAGAAGUUUUUCCAAAAAAAAAAGAAAAAUAGUUUUAUUUAAAAAUAUUAGGUUGUUUUCAUUGAAAUUCACUAUUAUUGUUACUUAUUAAGUGUAUUUUAGUAAUUGUUUUUAAUUCAAAAAAUUAAAUCAUGUGACAUGACAUCAAGACCCAAGUUGUUUAGGAUUGAUAGCUUACUAUUGUCAGGAAAACAACAAGUGCACACUUGGCAACUAGGGGCGAUAGAACCAGAAAGUUAAGGUGCUCGGGCUGAAGCAGUGAAAGUAUGGGUGAUCGGCCGGGAAGUUAGACGAUUUGAAAUGAGUGAUCCACGCUAGAGCAGUGAGGAUGGGUGAUUAGAGAUUAAAUUGUCAAAUAAUUCAAAGAUUAGAAAAUUGGAAUAAAACAUAAAAAAUAUUCAAAAAUAAAAUUUGAAAAAAAUUAAAAAAAACUACAUUUUCGGGUCAAAAAAAACAGACGGAUCCUUUAGUCCCGGUUCGUAAGUAGAACCGGGACUAAGGGUGUGUUUGAUCCUCCCGCGGCGGCCGCCGGCCGCGUCGGCCGCCCAGAGUGGUUGCCACGCCCGCCCAUUGUUGGCGAUUGGCCACAUCCCUUUGUUUGGAGAAUAUUCCCAGCAUCUUGUUGACUCUAUCCCUCCUCGCCCCAGAUCCAAACUCAUGGCAACCACAGAAAAAACUGGUUAUCCCUGUCCGUGGGAGGAUAUCCCUCCAACCAAAUACACCCUAAAGAUACUCCCUCCGAGGCGGCCACGUGGAGCACCUUUGGUCCCGGCUUGGAACAGGGCCGGAACUAAAGGUUAGGCCUUUAGUUCCGCCCCUUUAGUCCCGGUUGAUGAACCGGGACUAAAGCCCCUUACGGGCCGGGACUAAAGGCCCUGUCACCACUAAUGACACUUACUAAACUAUCAAUCUAGCCGUACUUGAUCAAAUAGAAAGGAGCUAUAACUUGCACAUGGAGACAUGGCUAAACAGCAAGAUAGCAAUACACAGUACCCCUCACAGUUUGUACAUCCAGAAGACCUGAUCAAUUUUAACACGUACAUAUGAACAGGAAAUUCUACUAGUCUUGUAUCACACGUGAUAAAAAUCCUUUACUGAUAAUCAAUUUCCCCAUGCGCCUCACACCCUAAUUUUCUGCAAGACCAAGAAACUCAAUUGAUGCGAUACUGAAUAUCCCAAGAUCUACUUUUUAAAUCUUAUUCACAUUGUGCUAGACUCAUCUUGAAGACAUCAAUAGUUUUUUUUUUGCAGUGAUGAAGGCUUGAACAGUUUACUUAUUUACAACAGAUAAAAUAGACGGGCAAGGCUAGCAUUAGCAACGAUCCUGCGUAGCAGUAGCUAUAUACAAUCAAACCUAAACUAACAGCAUGAGUCGACUAAAAAAGUGCCAGUGUCCUCACCUGAGAUUAUGUAUAUUUUGCGUCAUCUCUGAUAAAGAAUUAUGAAUUAUGAUAGACCCGGAGUGUAUGGGGAUGUAUCUGCCUUGCCGAGUAGAAGCCUUCCAUAGACUAUGUAGCUCCACACCUGUAUUUGUAGUACGUCUCAUGUCAUGGCUCAUGGGGCAUGGGCCAUGGGCCAUGGAAUUCGCUUUCUACUGAAAGAUGUCUCUGUCGCUUCUGUCCAAGGCAUCACGACAGCUAUGGGCUCUUGCAUCGUAGCACGGGCCACUGCAUCACCCGCACCUUGAGCAAUGCUACAUCUACGUAAAUGUUUACGUAAGUUUACGGGAUAGUCUUGAUAGAUCCCGUGGAUCUUAGGCCAGAUGUGUUCGGUAUGAUGUGGAGAUUUAUUACCUUUUAGUUUGCUCGAUGAGCUCCCUCCGGUCGUCCAUCGUGAGGUGGUGACGACGGUGGGGAAGGAGAGAGAUGUAGCAGCGGCGGCGGUGGACUUCCCAUCGCUUCAGUGCAUCCCUCUAGAUCGGAUUAGGGUUAGAGAGUGGGGAACCAGUGGCGGCGGCGAACCUCGUGUCUUGUGCCAUGGUCCUCACCUCCUCUUUAUAGCACUGCGCGACAGGGGCCCACCAGCCUUACUUGGGCUGGACGCCCCCGAUCAGGGUGUGAGUCAAGGUCCAAUGGGCCGUUGGGCCCAUUGGGGAAAGAGAUCAACCUAACAUUCUCCCCAUUGAUCUCAUCAUAUACUUUUAACUUUACCCGUUUCGUAACAGAUCAAUACAUAGGGCAUGUUUCAUGUCACGGCUCAAUUGCUGAUGGACUCAGACAGCCACAAUGUACCUCUCUAUUUUGAGACAGAUUCUUUAACCUUGGGCCCUUUAUUGUCCGGAAAUUUUAGACUAUACCAAAAAAAACCAUGUCGAUUGUGUGUUCUCCGAACGCACUGGGCGGUAAGCCUUUGAUAAGAAGAUCUGCAAACACUUGUUUGUCGCUUUUAUGCUUUCAAGCAUUUUUCCAUAAUUCCGGACUUUCUCCUUCACAACACAUAACUCUUUGUCAGUGUGUUUGGCAUCAACACUUGACUCGUUGUGACAGGAGCGAAAGAAUUUAAAAUGGUUAUCGUUGUUGUCAACCAUUAUCAACUCCGGGUACAGGUAGCCUUAACCAUGUUGCCCGUCCCUCAGCCUCAUAUCAAGCUAUGACAUAUCAUUGCAUCAAAUUGAUGACAAUCGUUUUUACUCAUUUGGAGAUUUUCCACACAAAACACCGAGUAUGAAAGUUAGCGACAAUUGUGGAUUUCGCUAUACAUUUCACAAGUCCUCUUUUGUACUCACAAUGUUUUGAGAGCACUUAUUUCUUUCAUCAUGAGGCCGAUAUCUUUGACUCCAUUCCAUUGAUUUAUCUAUGGACUGGACAUUUCCAAAACAACCUGGAUAUAUACGUGAACUGUGUCAGGGUAAUAUCUUGAGCUUCCAACAACUGAAGCAUAUGGUACCAUAUCCGUUUACAAUCUUUCUUAUUAACUUUUGGAACACCAUAGUUUCCACUUCCAUUACCCAUGACUAUAAGAACAGGCAUAGGUUUUCUCGUAUGCAUACUUUAGAGAUCUUUCUUAGCAUGUUCAUGCGACAUUCCUAAUACCCCCUUUUAUUCUUUUGAACUUUGAGGACAAGAACUUCUUUUCUCCUCCUGCAGUAGAUUGACAUCACCACUAGCAAGUAGGACAUCAUCCACAUGCAUAGGAAUUGGGAAACGAAUUUCCCAUUCUAUGACUUUGCAUGAAUGCAAUUGUCCUCUCAUUUUCUUUGCACAAAAUCUUUCGAUUUAAGUCAUGUUUCACACAUUUACAUAUUUCCUUUCGAGUCACAUUUGCCUUGUAGACCCUUCAUAAAGUCUAUGUUAGNNNNNNNNNNNNNNNNNNNNNNNNNNNNNNNNNNNNNNNNNNNNNNNNNNNNNNNNNNNNNNNNNNNNNNNNNNNNNNNNNNNNNNNNNNNNNNNNNNNNNNNNNNNNNNNNNNNNNNNNNNNNNNNNNNNNNNNNNNNNNNNNNNNNNNNNNNNNNNNNNNNNNNNNNNNNNNNNNNNNNNNNNNNNNNNNNNNNNNNNNCUAACAUAGACUUUAUAGUAGUCACAAGUAUCUGAUUUUCACAUACCUAGAGAACAUUAAAAUCUCAGGUACUGGCACUUCUUUCAUAUGGGGUUGUCGUUGCUCUGUCAUUGCCAAGAGGGAAUUAAUUCUAUAGUCACCCAUUUCCAAAAGGCAAUAGGUUUUACAGGAACCUGUAUCACAAGAUCCCUUGUAGAGCUAACAACAGGUGUUGUAUAGGUCAUACAACAUGCUCCCCCAGAAUACUCCAUCUUCACACAAGAAAUGGCGUAUCUUUAAACUUUCUUCUUUAUGGCACUUUAAGCACCACCGUUGUAUUCCUUAGUCUGCUUUCGGAACUAUAAAAGAUCCGAAAAUACAAUUGUUUCUUUUCUUUAGGGGUAUCAUAAUGACGGUACUCCGAUGACUGUCGUACUCCCCUUGACAAUCACAUUCUUCAUUAAUGGAUCACUUUAGAUGCAUAAUGUGCAUCACAUCAUCUGAAGUACAGAGGAGUCAUGAAAUACACUACAAUGUAUUUCAUGUCUCUAUCUCCCCCUCGAAAUGUGGAAAGAACUUUUCUGCCACAAUUUUGAAACCCAUUCAUAGCUCUUUUGAAAUGAGGAAACUUCGAUUAUCUAGCUCAUUCAUCUUAUCACUUCAUGUAAAAUGAAGUUAUAAGUUAACUAGUAUGGGAGUACUUUUUCCUCAUUUCAUUUCGGAAACUCAAUAGAGUUCUUUAUAGUUGUCACUUUUGCAAGUUACACUUGCAUAUCAUUCUUGUCUUUAGGUUCGUCUGUUACUUUUAUCCUUUCUGGAUUUAGUGAUUGCAUAAUGACCGUUACACAUAAAGUGUACGGUCGAUAAUAGGAAAGCUUAAUAGCUACUCCAUACUUUUCUCCCAUAGUGGGACACAUUAACCGCACAUGAGUCAUCAUAACUUUCUCCUGUCAUAUAGGAUAAGACCUUUGCCAAAAUUUCUCCCGCCAUACACGGAUUGUUAACCUAAUACAAUGUCAACUUUACCCGGUGACGCAGGCAUUCUUCCCAGACUUUUCCCACCAUGCAGGUAAUUCCCUUUAAGGGACAUCAUAAAUGCCAUAAUUGGCUCUUUUGACUGCAUCAAAUUCAGAAAUAAAUCUGAAUUAUCUUUGACACACAUGUUUGAUCCGACGUUGGUCAAAUUAAACAUGCAUGUUGCUUGUUUCAUUUCAAUCAUGUUGACUGAAAAAAGGAGACUCCAUCAUAGAGAGUACAUGAAAGACAUUCGUCAACCAAGACUCUCAAUGAUCUAUCUCUUUUCUUUUCUUGAAUUAAUAUCCAAGAGUUCUUUUCUUUUGAAGCCAUUCUUUAGAGAGAAUUUAUUCCCUCAAGUUAUGACCUUUCUUUUCCAUCUUUCAGGUCACUAGUGCCCAAACAUUCGCUUUCAUGAGUGAAAGCUUGAAUAACUUUUAGUCUGAGAAAACAUAGCCAAUAAACAACGGUAAUGAGCAUUAAAAAUAACCCUACGUUGGUCUGAUUAAAAUCAUGCACAUUAAACCUUUUAAAACUUUCUGGAAUAUUCUAAAACACCGUUGUGGCAGAAUUAGAAUAAAACAUCAUUCUUCUGCAUUAAUUCCAUAUCAUCGUUGGGCAGAAAUGGAAAUAAUGCAUAUAACUCAUAAACAAUGUGAUGAUAGUAUUUCUAUUGAACAACUUUGCUAAUAAAUAAUCAUCAUCAUCAUUAACCAUAUUGCAGCAGAAAUAGAAAUAUGCAUUUCUUUAUCUCUACUCCGAAAAAUUGAUCACUUUGAUACAAAAUUUAUCAGAGAUUUAAGCUUUAAACAUAAGAUGACUCAUACAAUUAUGGUAUUGUUAUCAUCAACGUUGGUCACAAAAUAACAAUACCAUAUUUAACUUUAAAACAAACAUCACUCUAUUGUCAUAGCGGAAACUGUUUGAAUCCUAUUUCACCCACAAGGGAAAAACUUUGCUAAUAACAGUUCUUCUAAUUAAAUUUUCCCAUUGGUUUCAAUUUAAUUGGAGGAUUAAACAUUUACCUUGCAGCGGAAAAACGUGAAUAUAAAAUUCAUGCACCUUUACAGAAAAAUAUUCUGUUAAAAUCAAAAUUCAUGAACUUUAUUUUCCUUAUAUAAAAUCCAUGAACUUUUCAUUUUCUGAAAAAACUCUAUUUAUUUCCAGAAACAUCUACUUUUCUUUGGAGAAAUUUUUUGUCUUUUAUUCUGCACACACCUUUUAUUUAAUUUGCAUAAGGAUGCCUUUCCCUUUUCUAUUUUCUAAACAUAAUUUUCCAAGAAAAUUAUGCAUAGAAAAGACUAUUUUUCUACUUUACAGAAACUUUUCUUUUUCUGAAAAUUAUCUUUAAUUUUUCAGAAACUUUUCUGUUUUUCUUAUCAAGAAAAACUGUCAAUACUUUCUGGGCCGAAACGGGCCCAGUUACCCAGCAGCCGAGCGUGCUCCCGUGCAGCUCCUGACCUGGUGGGCCGCCGGCCUCAGCCGCCUCCCUUUUGGCCCCUUUGGCCCGAAAACUGGCCUGGGAGCGUGUCAUGUACCGCUGGCGGCGCUGGCCCGCUCUUUGCGGCCUAGUUGGCCCGGCUGGGCUAGGGUUAGGCACAGGAGCCAUCCUGGCCGCCCAUCUUGAUCCGACGGUCCCCCGUGGAGAUCGGGGAGACCAAAAACGAGACCGAGCCGGCAGGGGGAACCCUAGCGGUUCAUUCCCUCCCCCCAGCGCCGCUCAUCUGUGUCUCCCGAGCGCACAACCCCUUCCUGCCGCCGCGCCGUUUCGUUCGCCGCCGGUGGCCAGGCCACCGCUUCGCGCGCUCGCCUUUUCGUUUCCCUCCUUAUCUUGUGGCACAUCAAGAGUGAGGGACGCACCAUGCCUCAUGUCUUCCCUCGCGCGUUCUGUUACCGAACGGUGACAGCUCGGCCGCUCCGGCCACCAGCAGCGGUUUCCACCGCGCCGAGCGAGCCCUUUUCCCCUUCCUCUAUUCUUUCCUCCGGCGAGCGAGAGUGAGGGCAGCGAGGCGCGGCUGCGCGCCCCCUCUGCCCCCCGUUCCUAUUUUAGAUCCAGUGAUCUUUCUUUCAGCCACCACCGCCCCAGCGAGAAAGAGACGCGAGCAGAGCCUUCGUCUGCUUCUCUUCGCGCCCGACGACGGUUUCCAGAUGUGGCAGUGGCUGCGCCCCUGCCGACCCCUUCGCCGGUCGUGCGUUCCCCUUGCGGUGAGCGCGCCGCCGUCGAAUGGAUCGGUGGUGGUGCUUGUACUUUGCCCCGAAGGGUGGAUUUCUUUGCAUGUUUUUUUUGUUUGCUUUUUUCGGAUCCAAUCUGAUUCCUUUGUUGGUUUUCCUUUUGGAUCUAAUCAGAUCCAUACUUUUCCUCCAAGGAGGUUGGUUCUUCUUCCCCACACCUCGGCUUGCCGAUGCGUGCGGGGAUCGAGAGGAACAGGCGCGGCCGAGGCGGCACUCUUUGCCGGAGAGGACUCCGGUGAAACCUUUCUUUUCUUUGAUCUUUGCCCUUCUCGGGUUCAUAUCGGGGAGGGGGAAACUUUUCUUGUACAUGUUUCAACCGAAACUCAUCUAAAGCCUCGUGGCUCAUGAUACCAUUGAUAGAUCCCGUGGAUCUUAGGCUAGAUGUGUUCGGUAUGAUGUGGAGAUUUAUUACCUUUUAGUGUGCUCGAUGAGCUCCCUCCAGUCGUCCAUCGUGAGGUGGUGACAACGGUGGGGAAGGAGAGAGAUGUAGCAGCGGCGGCGGUGGACUUCCCAUCGCUUCAGUGCAUCCCUCUAGAUCGGAUUAGGGUUAGAGAGUGGGGAACCAGUGGCGGCGGCGAACCUCGUGUCUUGUGCCAUGGUCCCCACCUCCUCUUUAUAGCACUGCGCGACAGGGGACCACCAGGCUUACUUGGGCUGGACGCCCCCGAUCAGGGCGUGAGUCAAGGUCCAAUGGACCGUUGGGCCCAUUGGGGAAAGAGAUCAACCUAACAAGUCUCACUUGACAAUCAUUGAUUGGAUUAUGAGGAGGAUGAGGCCCACCCACCCCUGAAAAUCAGGGGGGCAUAUUUAGAUUAGUUGAAAGGUUUAGUAAACGUAAGUAAGAUUUAGUAGGUCUAGCAUUUUCGCCCGCACCAUACGUGAAGCCAUGCAUAAUCCUGCUUUUGAUCUCAUCUACCGCCAGGGAGAGUGAGGACGUUUCAGGAGGAGAAGAACACACCAUCAGCCACAGUCGGGCUAGUGCAUCUCCUACUCGAGCGAUGCGGACUUCACAUGGGAGAUGUGCUCCGAGAGAAAUGCCCAAUCGUGGGUGUGUGUCCAUGCCGCAUGGCACCUGGAAGCUAGGGCGCUGCUCCUGUAUGACUGGAAGAUGAGGAGGCCGAUGGAUGGAGACAUGCUGAAUAGUAAUCUCGUCCGCACCAGAUCAAGAAGGAAUCAACAAAGAAGUGGUUUGCAUAUGUACCUUGCAUCUGCACAGCACAAACCAAUCAGAGGCAUGGCUAGCUGCUUGGCCGAAUAAUAGGAGAUCGUUUGUUUUCUAGAAGAAAAAGAAGAGAGAUGGGUUUUCUGUAGGGAGAGAAAGGAGAGAGAUGGACGAUAGGAAUCGUGCCGCACAUGGCUACCCAAAUGUACGCGUUCAUGUAUUCAAGAAAAAAUAAAAAAAGGUAUGCGUUUAUCAUACAACUUUAGAUAGAUCAAUGGUUCUGCUAAAAGAAGAUACAUUAUGGGUUAAAAGAAACUAAUCCUAUUGAAAUAUUUGCACCAUAAAAACUUGGUCCCACCCGAGGAAGGGAUCUCCGAUGAAAAACUUUUUUAACCCUGUCGAAAGAUCUCCACCGUAAUAACUUGGUCCCACAAAAUAAACGGCUCCUAAUUUCUGAUUAACAUGAGAAUUUCUAGAGAGUCCAUAAUUAGUAUAAGUAUAAAUAUAGAUUAUGCAUGCCAUAAACUGAUGCUCAAUAAUAAAACCAACUGAUCCUCUUGUAAAAUUUGAAAGAUUUGUAGGCCAAAUCAUAUUAAAUCAAAGCAUAUUUCCACUCACCAAUUUUGCUAUGAAUUGAUCUAUGCGACGUAUUUUGAAUGGCGACAGGCAUAAUGUCUCAACUCCAUGCAAGCAUAAUACAGCUAUACGUAUAAAUUUCCACUAACACAUACCUUGUCUCACUCUCCAGUUGAACUAAGGACAAUGCUAGAAUACUGCACCAUAUUUUUUGAUACAUUCUUAGGGCGAUUGAUAAACAUUGGUGAUUACCAUAAUGUCCAUGUAAACUUCAUCCACCAAAGCCCGUAUAGCCGAAAUAAACAAAUGAAGUGAUAAAUCAAGUAUUUCGGCCCUUUGGAUCAACAACGAACUUAUAGAUAAUCAAAUGUAUAGUGAUUUGGUAAUACCCCUUCAUGAUAUAAGAAAUUAUAUUGCAUCCAUCAAUCUAAAUAAGCCCAUACAGGGUAACCGAUCAUACAUCUGACGUAAUUGUUUUUGCUUCCAUCCUACUAUUUCUUUCCUUUUGUAACACUUGUUGGAAUAGAAGGUUGCACAUCAUUUUUAUUUUUCAAAACCCAAGUCAUGUUGUUGUGUCUCAGCUCUUGUGCACUAAGCUUUUAUAGUUCCUUCAUUUUCCAAUACGUUAAGCCGAGUGGACGCCUCGACUGUGGUUUUUUUUUUCAAGCAAUGGUAACUCUUUUUUGGCCUUGUAUACUCUCAACUUCUUCCCUUCAGAUUUUGCACUUUAAUUUUAACAAUUGAUUGCUUCACUUCUUUACCUUUUGUAGCCAAUACUAACUCUUUAAGUGGUUCCUUAUAUUUUUCGACCAAACCUGAAUUGGCACUCUUGAGACCAUCUUUUUUACUCGAUAUACUUGUUUGAUCACCUUUUCUUUUUUCUUGAGCUCCGAAUUAUUGAAAUGAUUUUGAACAUAUGACUACUCAUUGAAUGUUAGUAUUCUUGGAGCUGUAUAAUAUUGGUGAUAUGGUUAUAAGAAGAUGGAGAAUGUGCCCUUGAAUCAUACCUAUCCCAUGAUGGAUACAGAUUUACGCGAGCAUAGGGAGGCAUCCACGACACUGGCAUUGGCGGCCCAAAUUAAGGAUAUGAAUAUGUUGCAUUGAAAUUCUCGCUUUCUCAAACCGAUCCUUGGUUCUGCGCCUAGGGGGUGAUCUUGAUGCUUUUACAUUAUUUAGUCGAUAAGCCCUUUUUAGCACAUUCAAUUCUUAUAUUUAAAGUUUUGAUUUUUUUUAUCCUUUUGCUUAUUUUGACCUUUUUUCUCCUUUCUUGCAUCAACCUUUGGAUUUUCUUGCUUCCCCCAGAGCUUGACGUCUUCAUUCCAGCUUCGGUGGAAUUCUUGUCGUCAAUAAUAUCUUCAAUGUGAAGUUGAACAAUCUCUUUAGAAAGCUUGAUUCCAUCCCCUGAAGUUUUUGCCUUCUCUUUAAAUGGAUGGUUUGAAGAAACCCAAGAAAAAACUUUUUGCCAUCAUGACCCAUCGGAAUAGACUGGUCAUCCCAUGUUCUUUCAACAAAUUUCAAUUUUCCUUUUUCAAUGGCCGAUUUAGCUAUUUGACGAAACAUGUUGCAAUCCUCAAAACUAUGUUUGAAUGAAUCGUGCAACUUACAAUACAUUUGUCCUUAGAUAGAUGGCUUUACAUGGUGACCAAGAAUUCUAAUAUAAUCAUUUUUAGCAACAAAUCAAAGAUUUGAUCACACAUCCUUGAGUUAAAUGUAAAUCUCUUAUUUUGCCGAUCUUUCUAUGAGAAUGGCUUUGGAAGUAAGAAAAUGAAUGGUUUCGAUUUGGCAUCUCCCCAUUCGCCUAUGAAUUUCUUUCGCAUUCUUUUUCCGAUGUCAUUGUGUAAGAAAUUAUACUAGCAUCGGUUUUCUCAAAAGUAUUUAACCUUGGCUUCAAGUUACUGGAAAGAAAAUAGCUAGAACAUACAUGCCUCAAUUGAGGCCAAGUGUAAGCCAAGUAUGAAACAAGCAAAGCUACCCAUGUAGAUAUAAACUCUAAAUAAAACAAAAGGGAAAGCUUCAAUUGUAAUAAUUUUUCACUAUCCGUCUUUUUGAAUGGUGCGAUAUGUUGACCAAUAUGCUUUGUCAUAAUAUGAUUGCUAACAAUAAAUUACCCUUAUUCAUUGGUCUCUCAGUAUUACUUAUGAAGAUUUUUCUAAUAGAUGCAUCAACAACAAAGUUAUGAACAAAUUGUAAUAGAGGUAAAUUACUUGCUAAACGUACCUCUUCGGUUAGGUUGGGAGAGAAUGAUGGUUGCAUGACAUGAAUAAUAUCAUGCUUUGUUUAUGGAUGGCUUCCCAACACCUCAAAUCCCUGAUUUUCUUGGUUUGUGCAUCAUUACAUUGAAGAUGUUUGUCAACUGAACUUUGUUCAGCUACUUGUUCUUGUCCUUGAAGCUCGUCAAUUUGUAUGGCACUAGACUCAUAGGGCAGGAAGUAGGUUCCAUUAACUUCAAAAUAAUCAAACAUGGUUACUAUUCUAUCGUUGCCAUGACCUUUCUCAAUAAUCCUUUCCUCUUUGGAUUUGAUGGAUUCAUAAUAUAUACUACUUGAUUUGGCUUUUUCAACCGAGCACUUUCAUGUUCAGAAUCAUCCUUAUUUUCAUUGAUUCUACAAACUCGCAAUAAUUAUUGAAAGGAUCGAUAUGGUUGACUAUAGGGGUGGCUAAUAGAUAACUAACAAUUUUUAAGCUUUACUUAAUCAAUUAAACUUUAGCAACAAAUAGGUUUUCUAAAUAUGCAACUAAGAGAAUGACCUAUAUGAUGCUAGCAACAUGAAUAACAAGUAAGUAAAUAAUGCAAGUAAGGGAAAGAAGUAACCACAAGUGGAACUGAUGAAGACGAGGAUGUGUUCCCAAAGUUCCUUCCCACAUGGGUAAGUACGUCUCCGUUGGAGCGGUGUAGUGGCACUAUGCUCCCCAAGAUGCCACUAAGACCACGAUAUUCUCCUCACUCCCUCACACAAUGCGAGGUGCCGUGAUUCCACUAGUGGUGCCCUUGAAGGUGGCGACCGAACCUUUACAAAAAUGGUUGGGACAAUCUCCACAGCUGAAUUGGAGGCUCCCAACGAUACCACGAAGCUUCACCACAAUGGAAUAUGGCUUCGAGGUGACCUCAACCGUCUAGGGUGCUAAAACACCCAUGAGUAACAAGAUCAGCGAGGGAUUAGUGGGGGGAUCAAAAAUUUCUUGGUGGAAGUGUAGAUCAAGGCCCUCUCAACCAGACCCUCGAGUAUCAAGAAGUUUUGUUGACUAGGGAGAGAGAUCGGGUGAAAAUGGAGGAACAAUGGAGCUUAGGGUUAGGAAAGGUGAGGUUGUUUGGGAAGAAGAACCCCUUUAUAUAGUGAGCGAAAGAACCUGCCCGUAACCCACCUGUUCUGCCCGUACAAGAGCGGUGCUACCGAUGAUAAGAGGUAGUAUCGCUCCAAAGUGAGCGGUACUACCGCUCACGCACAGGACAGCCGAUCCGAGUGAGCGGCAGGGGCUAGUAGUACUGCCGGAGUGGUACUACCGUUGCCAGAAGCGGUACUACCGCUCAUAAGAGUUAGUACUGCAUCCUACAUCCGCUCGGGGAUCAGUUGCGGUCCUAGCCCAGAAAAAAAAGGACUCCCGACAUGGUAGUAACAAGCGGUAAUACCGCCCAACGGGCGGUACUACCGCACAGUCCGACACAAAAAGUGUCGAGAUCCGCGGGCAGCAGUACUGGCCAACGGACCAAGCUCGGCAACAUCCGCCCUGGAGCGGUACUACCGCCAGCCUGUGUGGUACUACCGAUGACAAGAGGUAGUAGCGCUACCAGGAACGGUACUGCCGCUUGGGUAUUUAUGGACAUUGUUGGGCAAGGGAAGAAGCUCCAUUGAGGUGGGAAAGAUGUUGCGAGGGAAAGUGUACGUGAUGAUUCCACCCAGACCUUUCCGAGGCGGACCCUCUGUUAAUAGUAUGGCUUUUCGUGCGACUCAAGUCCACCGACAACGAAACGUAAGAGAGAAAGCCGUCUUCAUAUCAAUACACCGAGGGGCAUGCAUCGUCUUUGUGCCAAAUGAGGAAAUACCUGAAAGGCUUAGGGCACAUGAUUAGUCCGCAAAAGUAUUGUCAUCAAUCACCAAAACCACUAGGGUAGAAAUAUGCCCUUACACUUAUUUUAUUUCAUCCAAUUAUUUUCCUUCUUAUUUCUAACGGCGAGCGGCAAUUUUGGUUUUAAGUUUUUUCUCAAUUUCAGCCCGCUCAAGAUAUGAUUGCCUCCAAAUCUUUUAGAUUCUUUCGCAAUGACACACUCGUGUUGUCGAAAGUUGGCAAUUGUGUAGCGCGUGUAUAAUAUGACAUAGGACUAGGUGAAGGUGUAUGUAUUGUUGCAAAACCAUAUUUUUGCUCGCCAAUUUUAUCAUUUGGAAAAGAUUCAUCCUCUUAUAAAACUCUACUUUUAUUGCAUUAUAAUGAGGAACUAGCCCCUUAUCAUGCUCUUCAAGGCAAAGAGCACUUCCCUUGUUGUUUCAGGACGUGUCUCUUUUUAAUAUAGGUACUUCCAUCCCGGCCGUAAGGGAUUGCUCCACAAUACUUUUAGAUCUCGACAAUGCGAUGUUGCCAAAAUUGUGCAAUUGCGUAGAGGAUGCAUUAUAUGCUACAAUAUUAGAUGAUGUCAUGUGCACUCCUGCACAAUUUUCACUUAUUCAACUAUGACCAUGAAGCUUUGAAGUUGAAUUGUGAGCAUCUACAGUUGUGUACGGUGCCAAAAAAUUACUAACACAUGAGGUGUAGCAUAUGACGGUUGACAGUAACUGGUCGAAUAGUUAGUGGUAGCAUGGCCAAUUCUCCCAUCCAUCAGCAAUGGGGUAUUUAUUCCAGGCCGGCGGUAUCAUUGUUGAGCGAUCGCUCGGUUGAACUAGUACAUUGUAAAUUAGCUGUCCAAGAAUAAAAAGGUCAAACACUUUGUUGCAUGCUAUUGGAACUUCCUACACAAUGUGUUUCAAUUUGAUUGACCAAACUCAUCAUGUUGUUCAUCCGCAUAACGAUUUGUGGAGUUGCUGAUGGAUGAGAGUUUAAAUACAUAUGGUGCAUGUUACUAGUAUCAUAAGUUGAAGCACGUAUAUAACCUUGAAUUGGCCUUUGCAUGUGAUUAGAUGCAUGAUUGAAACAACUAGGGAUGGUCGAUAGAGUAUACUCAUUGAACGAUCUAGUAAUACCAUAUGAAUUAUUUGUAUGUACACUAGGGAAUUGGGUAUUCGUAUCACCUUUGUAGAUUUCAAACCCUAGAUGACGGUCUCUUCAUACCAAGAACGGGUUAGGGAUUGUUCGAAGUUUCGUCCCUAGCAGAGUCACCAAAAAGUGUGUUCGCACACGAACACAUUACUGUGCACCCUUACUGUCGAGGGUGACACAUUAAAGGAGACCAGUUUGAAAAAGCGGUUCACAAGUAGUCCGACGAGCACUUUUGUAGAUCCGAAACUCCCACAUGGCCGAAAGGGACCCCGUCAAAGCGCAUGGUGGCUAUGGGCUACAUUAGGUCGACCUGACCGCCCCUAGGGCCUUGUGGUUCGCCCAAUAGGAAGAACGAACAAAAGAACGAGGAAGAAGAAGAACUAGGGUUAAGGAGAAAAGUUAAAGGUAAAAAUUGGUAGAUUGAUUUUGCAGUUGUGUGUUGUUCAAUCGUCUGUCAUCUCUUAUCUAUUUAUGAGGCGAUUGGACUUUCCAUACAAGAAAAGGACAAAAAAAAUCCGUUUCAAAUAUCUAAAAUCCUAACCUAACUCGGACAGGAAUCUUUUGUAAUUUUCCGUCUUAAUUCGGGCCCUCCAAGUGGUUUCGUUCAGUCUCACCGAGUGGACGUUGCCAACUUUCUGUAAUCUUUUGUAUCUCACUCGAAAGUUCCAAAUGGGUUUCACUCGGUCUCACCGAGUGCACUGGAUGCUUCGUGAAUUUUUUUUCCAACACCAACUCGGUCUCACCGAGUCAAAUACACUCGGUCUGUCCAAAGUGACUCUGCGGUUUUUGUUCUUGACCUUAUUUUGACUCCACAGGUCGCAUACGAUCUAAGAUUAAGAUAAUUUUUCUAUCAAAUUCAACCAUUUCGAUGAGCCAGACAACUUUGAUGUUGAACACAUUUUCAUCAGAGUCCAUCUUAAUUAUGUUUCAUGACAUAUUAUAAUCUAAUAUCAACACGAGCAUGUGUAAAAUUUCAUAACUUUUGCAUCUGAACUCCAUUUUGGCCCAUCCUCGUAUCCAUCUUUGAUCUCCUUGAAUAGAACAGAACCAUCCGAAGGUGACUUUCAAUCGUAAGUUUGAAUUAAUUUUGACAUAGCUUAAGUUACUUUUAUGACUGUCACUUUUGAGCGCCGACAAUGGCCUAGUAUUUUCCUGGAGUUGUUGCCACUCUCUUAUACUUCUCCCGGAAGAGUUUUUCUGAUAGCCAUUCUGUCCAAAUCGUUCUCCAGGCUUUCUUCACUGUCUUAUUCUUUAAGAAGGCAAUGAGUUGUAUCUGUGAAAUUCUGUGUCAGCAAUUAGUUAUAUCUGUGAAAUUCUGUGUCAGCAGUGCUAUAUCGGGCUCUAGUGCGCCGCCCAUACUUGACAGCGAACCCAGCCUGUGCCAUGGUAUACCAUGAAGCGGAGACGUGCUCAUGGGCCCUGCGCUGAUCGCCGUCCAUAUCCGAUUCCAGCGAUUUGACACCGAAUCAGCCUACCUAUCUCACUGGGCAUGUUGGACCUCCGGUAGGCACACGUCGACAUUGCUUUCCAUAUAUUGUAUGUUGUCAUCCUCACACCACGAAAUUGUACUCUGCACAUUAGUUGAUGGGUAAUAAAGCAACGAAAAGGACAUGCACAACGCUGCACCCUCGCAGAUUCACCCAAAGGCUAGGUUGUUCACGCAUCAGGUGGACACGCUCUAGCUCUCGAACUUUCAGAAGACCAGAUGGUAUGUCAGUUGGCAAUCCUUUUCCCUUUCUGUCGUUUCUACGGACACUGUAACUUGCAUGGUUAAUUAUCUGCCGCGGUAUACCUUUAUUCUUGAGGUUGGUCCGUAGUAUGGGUUGGAUCAAUGGUGUUCCCAUUGCGUUGGUCAUAUUUCCGUUGUUCCUUUUCCUUCGUAGUACCUGCUCACGAAUAUACACGUCGAACAGAAUGCAUAAAACAGAAGCGCUUACAUCCAAGUUGGCAUAGAUGCACGUACUCCAGACUUAACUAAUCACACCAUCAUCACCAUGCAUAAAAGGGUUAUGCACUACCAGCUUUGAGCGGUGCCCAUGAUCCAUUGUCAUCGGCUUCCGCUUUUCAAAGUAUAAUAGACCAAACGGGAGAUCAGCUCAUAUGCCGUAAUUAUUGUUGCCCACGGAGCUGACAGCACAUCUUAGCUUCAUGUUAUCUGUAAAACUCUAACUCGUCUCGAACGUAGCUGUGAUGUCCUCUGUUUUCACGGCAUGCACGCAUGAAUAAGAAUAGAAUGUACUCCAUACGUGCUAGCUCGUUGUACAUCUAAUUAGUUUAUUACUAGACCACUCUUCGAUUAAAAAGUAACAUUAUCAGGCCCUUCCCGAUUGAUGAUCCUAGGCAGUAGCACUGGCGUAUUCCGCGUUCAUCUCACGCUAUGCACUAUGAUUAUCUCACGGCUCUCAAUCGGUAACAGUUUCCAGUAGUACCAAAUCAAGUCCAAUGUUCUGAACCUAACGCUAUUGUAGCUGCAAUGUUCGUAGCUAGCUAGUGUCCACGCACAUCAUUGCGCUCUUGCACACGAUUUGGUCAUGUGGGAAUCAUCAUCCUUAACCUGUGCACCUCAGUCCACUCAACGUAGCUGCAUUCAUUCAGGCUAAACACAGUAGGAGUAACUUAGAGCAUCUCUAACAAACCUCGUAAAAGGACACCACCCGUAUAAUUCUGACGAGUAUCUGGUUCUGGUGUGUUUUUCUUAUCAGGACAGACUCCAUAUCCCGUGCGCGGCCCCUAAAAAGUUUAGGGUGGCCUGAAAAAAGGCCCUCUCCAUCAUUAUUUAUGUGGUUUCAUUGUUCGGAUACGGGUCAAACCCUAUCCGCCUUCGCCGCCGCUCCACCACGAUUCCCCUCCCCCUUCGCCCCAAUUUCUCGUCAUCGACGAGCCUAAAAAAAGUCCUAGCGACCCUUCCCGACCCAUGAACGACUACGGAAGUGGUGGGGAUGACGCGAAGCGCCGCCGACGCCGCACGCAAACGGAAGGGGGGGAGUGGAUCAACUAUGGGAGCCGGCUACCACCGACGUUCGAACAUCGCGAGGUCGACGAGUACGAGCGAGAUCUCGCGGUCCACGUCCAAGGAGAUCUUCCUCGAGCAGGGUGUCGCGGCGUCGCACGCGCAAGCGUCCAAGGAGACGGACCUGAUCAUCGACCUCAACUCCGACGAGGACUGAGCACAUCUGGCUCCUCCGUCAUAUCAUGGCCGACGCAGGCUCGUGUACACUGCACGGCCCGCAGAUCUCCCCCUAUGUAGCACUAUGAUGUAGUAUGAUAAGCAACUUCUAUGAUGCAGUAUGAUAAUCAACUAUGUAUGAUGAAUGCCAUUGUAAGUUUCUCCCAUUAAUGUUUUUUCCCAAAUUUUAUAGUUUCAUAUACGGGGUCUUUAUCUGCAGCGCAUAAAUUAGCCCCGCAAAUCUGAUCUGUGGCGAACUAUAAACGUGCUUUUCGGGUCCAACUUUUACGGGGUCUGUUAUACAAGUACAUAACACACUUCAAGGCAGGUUUAUUUAUGUGGCAAGCAGUUUAUAAUGCAAGAGGUGAUUCUGCUAUAAUAAUACACUACCAAAAGAGUUGGGCGAGCUUUACUGCACCAUUAGUGUUGUUGGGUUUUCAUGUUUUAUUGUCUCAAUCUGUUUCAAAAUAUAAGGUCUAUUAGUUUUUUAAAAGUCGAACCUCUUUAAGUUUCAUCAAAUCUGCAGAGAAGUAUAUCAAAAUCCAUAAUAUGAAUUUGGUAUCACUAGAUUCAUCAUGAAAUAAAUUUCUAUAUUUUAUUUUAUUUUAUUUUGUAUUGUGGAUGUCGAUAAUUUUGGCUGUGAACUUGAUCAAAGUCAAAGAAAAUUGACUUUUCAAAAAACUAUUACACCUUAUAUUUUGGAAGUGAGGAAAUAUUUGUUUUCGCGAGUGGGAAAGAUGGUGGCGUGUGUUUUAUUUUAAUUUAUAUAAUGUGGUGUUUUGGUGUGUCUUUCGCACUGUGAUUCUUUGUUAUCUGCGAAUCAACUCAUAUUUAUGUGAGGAAUUUUUUUGCGUCACUGAGUGCAUGUACUAAAUUGGUUCUAGUGUAUCACAUGGUGGUGCUUCUUUUGUCUAGGUGAUGAGAGGAAGCGCGGAAUUGAUGUGUUUUAUAGGCUGGUUGUUGCUAAUUGAAUUGAAAAAUCGUUGGCCGGUAAAAUCAUGAAUCAAAUUCAAAACUGAAUACCUCAUUCGAAUGGAAGAGUUUCAAAUUUAGGAAGCAUGGUGAAUUAAUUGGAAUGAGAGAACUCCUUGAGAAAUUGAAUGAAAUCGGAUGACCCAAUUCUAAAUUGGGGACCUCAAUUGAUUAUGAGCGCUUCAAAAUCAGUGAGCCUCGUGUAUUAAAAGAAUUGAAUGAGUGAACUCCUUAAGAAAUUUUUGACCCUAUCAAAAUCGUAUGACCCAAUUUUAUUGAUUGCGAGGCCUUAAAAGUUAGGGAACAUAGUCUAUAGUACUAGAAAGACUGGACGUGAUUUGCUGCAUCGUUGGUGUUGUUGGGUUGUUAAAUAAUUACCCAUUCUGUUUCAAAAUAUAAGAUGUAUAUUAUUACGUUUUUGAAAAAUCAAACCUUUUAAGUUUGAUCAAUUUUGUAGAGAAAUAUGUCAAAUCACAUAAUAUUUAAUCAGUGUGAUUAGAUUCAUCAUGAAAUGAUUUUCUAUUAAAAAAUAAUAUUGUGGAUGUUGAUAUUUUUUGCUCUCGUUGUUGGUGAAAUUUGACUUUUCGAAAAACUAAUACCCCUUAUAAUUUGAAAUUGAUGGAAUUUACUUUGGCCGAUGAAGGAGAUGAUGGACUGAGUUUUAUUUUUAUUUAUAAUGCGUUGAUGUGAUGACCUUUCAUGGUGUGAUUAUGUGUUAUCUCGUAACUGAUACGUCUUCAACGUAUCGGUUAUUUAUGAAGUAUUCAUGUCAUGUUUGUCUAUGUUUACAACACUUUUAUAUGGUUUAGAUGCACUUUAUAUGAUUUAUUUAGAACUAACCCGGACUGACGCUAUUUUCUGCAGAAUUAUCGUGGGUUUUUUUGUGUGUGUUGAAAAUGAAAGUUCUCGGAAUCACCCAAAACAUUUAUAUAUUUUUUCUGGAGGAAAUAAGCAACAUUGGAGCGAAGAACUACCGGAGGGGAGCCACCUGUGGGCUACAAGCCAACAGGCCCCCACCCCCUAGGUCGUGUUGUGAUGGCUUGUGGGACCACAUGGCUCCGUUUGGCGUGAUUCCAACACUGAAAAAUCCUAUAUAUACUAAAACCUCCAGAAAUAAAGAAAGACCUUCUGCUCGGCUGGCACAACUCUCACUACUAGGAAAAACCUUAUAGGCAUUAUGUUGCAUAUUAUCGUUCAAAUUAUGUUGCAUAUUAUCGUUCAAAUCAUGCCUCUUUGUUUUCUUAAGUACAUUAUGUUGCAUAUUAUCGUUCAAAUCAACAACUCACGAUGCAGGUACCUAGAUCAGAGAUGGCGAAGGACUACUACGCCGUGUACGUUGGGAGGGUUCCAAGAGUCUACGACCACUGGCCAGCCGCUCAGGCCCAGGUGCACAGGUACCCGGGUGCUAGCCACAGAGGGUUCGACACCAGAGCCGAAGCGGAAAGUAGUUACUUGAGGUGGGGUACUACAUAGCCGCGCUCUUCAUCAUGCUGAUUGCUCUUCACUUCUACAUCAUGUUGUAGAUAGAGAUGAUGAAACUUGUGGGUGUGUCAUGACCAUGCAGUUGUACUUAUUCGAGACAUGACAUGAUCGCACUUAUGUAUUGCUAUUUUUGAGAUGAUGUGAUGAUAUUUGUGUUGAAUGAUGAUGAUGAUGAUGGUAUGACGAGACUACUGUAUGUCUAUGAUAUGUGAGAAUAGUGUAUGUUUAAUAUGAUGUGAUGAAACUAUUGUAUAGAGCAUGUAUAAAUACACCACAAAUACGUAGAGGGUGCAAAUCUGUGAAAGCAGAAAUACUUACCAGUAGCGCUUAAAAAUACUUACCAGUAGCGCGGCUUAGCAGCAACGCGCCAUAUGAACAAGCGCUACAACUAUAGUUAUCAGUAGCGCUGGACAAGGAAGCGCUACUACUAACACUACUUACCAGUAGCGCUGCCCAUACCAGCGCUACUACUAGGGUUUAGCUGUAGCCGAUAGCAGUAGCGCUUGGCCCAGCGCUACUACUAUGCAUAUUUCAAGCGCUACUACUAGGGUUUUCCCUAGUAGUGUCUGUGUAUCGACGAGAAACCAAUCUGAAUAGAAAAAACAGUAGCGAAAACAGGAGAGAAAUAGAGAGAGGGGUCCAAUCUUGGAGGGGCUUUCGCCCCUCCGGGAGCCAUGGUGGCCAAGGACCAGAGGGGAGAACCUCUCCCCAUCUAGGGAAAGGCCAUGAAGGAGGAAGCCUAAGGGGGAGACACUCUCCCCUCUGUUCCUGCAGCGCUGGACUGCCUUUGGAGGAACCAUCCCCGUGGUGAUCGUCUUCAUUAACAUCACCGUCUACAUCACCUUUGCUCAUCUAUCUAUGGCGGUUCACUCUCCCACAUCCCAUUGUAAUCCCCUACUUGAACCUGGUAUUUCACGCCACAUAUUAUUAAUCAAUGAUGUGUUUCCAUCCUAUGAUGUUUGAGUAGAUUUAUGUUGUCCUUUGGGUUGAUUGAUUUUUGUGUAUGUUUUAUUUUGUGUUGUCCUAUGGUGCCCCUCGUGUAGCACGCACGUGAGGGAAUUCUUGUUGUAGGGUUUGCAAUAUGUUCAUGAUUCGCUUAUAGUGGGUGGCUAGUGUGACAUGAGAUUACAACCGAGUAAGGAAGUUGUUUGCCUACGGGAGUAAAGGAGACUUGAUGUUUAAUAUUAUGGUUGGGUUUACCUUCAUGAUCUCUAGUAGUUGUCGAUGCUUGCUAUAGAUCAAGUCAUAAGUUCAUAUGAUCCAAGUACGGAAAGUAUGUUAGCUCAUGCCUCUCCCUCAUAUAAAAUUGUAAAAAAGAUUAUCGAUCUUUGUUAUCUAUUGCCUAGGAUUAUUCCGCACUCCAUACCAUCAUUCUUCCACACUAACUAUUUGUAAUAUAUUCUAAGUUUAUUUAAUGGAACAACUAUUUUCAUAUUUUUGUUCCCCAAUAUCAUGCAAAGUUACCCUCUUUAUACCCAAAAACAUACUUUUAAAUAGCGAAGAUAGCAUCCGCUAUUGCGUCCGCAACAGCGCUAGCGCCAUAGCGACCGCUAUCACUAAAAUUAAAUGGCAUUAGCUUUUCUUCAUGUUCUAGUGAUAUAAACAAGAAUUUAGUGUUUUUACAAAUCUGUUGCGCAGACAAAGCACCUGCAGUCUCGCGUGCUAUCCUCAUUCCACCAUGCUUAACCCAAUCCGCUACGAGUCCGCUAUCCGCUAUUUAAAACCAUGCCCACAACGCAAUUUUAUUUCUUGUUACUAGAUAGAAGCAAACGUUCGGUGUAUGUAGGGUUUGGUAAAUAGGACUUGAGAUAAUAUUGAUCUUACCUUUAGCUCCUUGUGGGUUCGAUACUUCAUACUUAGAAAUUCCUUGUGUAGAAAAUGCUAUGAUGAUUUCUUGCACUUGGGGAUUAUCAGUAGCCAACAUAUAUUUAUACAGGAAAUUUUAUGUGUCGGCAACUGCAUUGGUAUGUUGAUGUUACAUUAUCACAUGAUGGUGUUUAUUUUUAUGGGUGGUGGGAGGGUGCAUGGAAUUGACAUGUUUUUUAGGCCAGUGGUGCUCACUGAUUUGAAAAUCGAUGGUCCGACGAUAUCGCAAACCGAAUACAAAAUUGAAUACCUCAAUUAAAUGAAAGAUGAUGAGGAUAUGGCUACCUUGGGUACGAUAAAUAAUAUUUUAUAUUUGCAUAUUUAUGUGGUGAUUUAUUAUAAUAAUUAUGUAAUAAUUUAUUUGUGUUAUCCGGAACAAAAAUACUUCACCUAUUUUUACUCCAUGCCUAAAUGUAGAAUUAUCGAACGUUUGCACGAACCACAUGUGAAGAUAAAGAAAGAGGAAAUAAUUAGGUGUUGUUAAAGAAGUCGUUUCACAUCAAAGGAAAUUAUUAUGUGUUGUUCAAGAAGUUCUCUCACAUUACUUUUGGGCCAAGAGAAGAUAAAGUUCAAGUCUCUGACGUUCUUGACUCAGAUUCGGACUGCACACACAUACGUGUCUCAAAACAUCAACAACUUUUUCAUACGGACUCUGAAUUGGGUGAUUCUUUUUUUUGUAAAUUACAUUUUAUGUGCGUUCCAUCCCAAUUAGAAUCGCCUUAAAAUUCUUUCGGACCGUGGAGAUGUCGACGAAACAAUCUGACGUUGCACGAGAAUUCGAGUCAAACUACAAGUCCAAAGGUGUCGCAUCACCUCCACUUGGGCCCAUAGGCCUUGUACGACCUAUGGUUAGUUUUAGGCUGCCUUGGGUUGUCCUCCCACCUCCAUGACCGCCACCCCUUGAUCCUAUAUAAGUAGAUCUACCUAGUAUCUUUUUUAUGGGGAUUUGUUUAGUUAAAUUUAAUGGUAUUUCCGCGGCAGAUGCCAGGAGUGGCUUAGAAUGUGGUUUGGGGUCGAUGGACGCCAGCGACGUCUAGGAACGGGUGAUGGAGCGAGACAUAUGACAUCGAUCUAUCCAGGUUCAGGGUCCUCCGAUGAGGUAAAAAUCCAUAGUCCUGCCGGUUUGACUAUAUGAGAUCACAAUACAAUGGUCCUCCUUGAGCUAUUCGUGAGGAGGGACACGAAGCUCUUGCUGCCUCGGUGGUAUGUGUCUAAGGGUUCGCUAGUUUUCUUCUCCCAUUCUCUUAGGGGAUUGGGGUUCGGAUUUAUAGUGUAGCCAAAUGUAUGCAAUAAUGGGUAGAAAUGGGGUGCGGGGCCCGACUUUCAGCCUCUCUACCUGGCUGUGAGGCUCGCCGGCUGUCGGAUCUUGUCUGGCGCGGGUCCCGUCGGACGUGUGCUGCGGCGAAUAAUGCACCGGCCGCCAGGGAGUUGGUAGGGGUAGGCCCUAGCGGCCACCUCGCUCGGUCAGCCUCGGGCGUAACCGGUGGUGCUGUAGCCACGCCGAGCCUUGCAUGAUGACGCGUGUAGCUGCGCCGGCACUGUCAACAUGCACUGUAGCCAUGUGCGCCCCUGCGCUGAGGGUAUGGUCUUGUUCAUCGUACCUCAAUAUGACCGGAUGGGAUUGGCGCUGACCCACUUGCUGCUGCCAGCCGACCCGUCGUGCGCUGGCCAAACGAGCCGUCUGUGGCCAUCCGGCCAAGGGCGCCCAGCCAAAAGGGUCAAACGCCAAUAUUCGGCCCGUCACACGGUGGCUAGGCGAGCCGCGUGUAUCCAGCCGCCUAGGGGGGCAGACGGCCCGAAUGUCAAGCAGAGGGAUUCCCUCUGCUUUGGUAUACCCAAGGGCCAUAACCCCGUUAGUAGCCCGCAAAACCGUUGGGGUCUGGAGGCCUCCAGGCGAGGGGCCAGUGGUUUAUCCCUCCCCUCCGCCUGAAGGUGUUAUCGAAGUUGAUACGCCCGCCGGAGCCGGCGAGCGGGGACGCGUGUCCCCAGCCGGCUGUGGUGGCAGCCGGUUGUGUCUUAGUCGAACAUUGCGGCGCCUCGGAGGGUCGGAGGUAGAUAAGAGGCCCACCACCACGCGCGCGAUGGGACAUCGCUACAUGCCCGACCUGGCACACCUCAGCCCACGCGCGGUAUCAUUUGUGGCCGUGGACCGACGGUUGUGGUUACCCACGCUGUUUAAUGCGCGUGGGGAUCAUGUGUUAGUGGGGGACGUGGGCGUAACCGAUCGCACGCCCCCACGUCUCCCCCGAGGCUUUAAAAGGGGGGAGACCCGUUUCGCCAUUGCCUCCCCUCGUCCCACCUUCAUUUUUCCCUUGCGAUGGUGCUCUCCGUCGUCGUCCUUACUACUCACGCCUGGAGCACUCGCCGCUGCCGCCACCCCUCCUCGCGGGCGGAGCGCACACCGCCAUCUUUCCUCCAUCCUUCGCAUGUAGUGCCUCCCUGUGGUCGAUCCUAUCGGGAGUUGCAUCUCUCGCCUCCUUUUCUCCGCUUCAUUGCCGGCGACCGACGAGAUGGUCGGACCACCCGCCGGCUCGUGGGAGGGCUCGAUCAUGACGGAUGAACACAUCGACUACCUCCAGCGGACGCGGAAACUCCCGCCCGCGGAGCUUGAUACGUGUCCAACGUAUCUACAAUUUACGAAGUAUUCAUGACAUGUUUACAAUAAUUCUAUAUGAUUUUGGUAUGAUUUCAUUAGAACUAACCCGGCUCAUGUUGUUUUCAGUAGAGCUACCGUGGUGUUGUUUCUGUGCAAAAAUAAAAGUUCUCAGAAUAGGCUGAAAAUUUACGGAGAAUAUUUUUGGAAAAUAUGAAUAAAAUGGAGCAAAAAGAUAUCAGAGAGGAGUCCCAAGGCAGUGAUAAGCCACCAGGCCCCCCCCCUAGGGCACUCCCCUCGCUUAUAAGCCCCUCGAGCACUCCCCUGACGUGAUUCCAACGCCAAAUAUUCUUAUAAAUACAGAAACCCUCGAAAAGAAACCAAGAUCAGGAAUUCCGCCGUCGCAAGCCUCCACAGCCACGAAAAACCAAUCUUGUCCCUCUCUGGCACCCUGCCGGAGGGUGUCACCAUGACCGGAGACCAUGGACGAGGAAGACGGAGGGGCCAUAAUCACGAUGGAGGCCAAGGACCAGAGGGAGAACCUAUCCCCGCCUUGGGGCGGCCAUGGAGGAGUAGGCACAAGGGGGAGACCCUCUCCCCCUCUAUCAGGGUGGUCCCGGAGUGCCACCAGGACAACAAUCGCCGCAGUGAUCGUCUUCAUCAACAUCACCUUCUUCAUCACCAUCCUCAUGUUCUUUUAGCGGUCCACCCUCCCGCACCCCGUUGUAAUCUCCUACUUGAACAUGGUGCUUUAUGCCACAUAUUAUGAUCCAAUGAUGUGUUUCCGUCCUAUGAUGUUUUAAGUAGAUUCCCUUUGUCUCAUGGGCCGAUUGAUGAUCUAGAUUGGUUUGAGUUGCCUGCUUUAUUAUUGGUGAUGUCCUAUGGUGCUCUCCAUGUCGCGCAAGCGUGAAGGAUUCCCGUUGUACGGUGUUGCAAUACGUUCAUGAUUCACUUAUAGUGGGUUCUUGAGUGACAGAAGCAUAAACCCGAGUAGAUGGGUUAUUGCGUAUGGGAUAAAGGGGACUUGAUGCUUUAAUGAUAUGGUUGGGUUUUACAUUAAUGAUCUUUAGUACGAUUGCUUGCUAGAGUUCCAAUCAUAAGUGCAUAUGAUUCAAGUAGAUAAAACAUGUUAGCUUAUGCUUCUCCCUCAUAUAAAAUCGCAAUAAUAAUUAUCGAUCUUGUUAACAAUUGCCUCAGACAAUUCCGCACACCGACCCAUCCUCAUUCCACACUCACUAUUUGUAAUAUAUUCUAACUAUACGAUAACAGCACCUAUUUUUAUAUUUUAGUUCUUCGAUGUCAUGCAAAGUUAUUCUCUUCAUACCCACAAUGUAUUUUUAUUUCUCGUUCCUAGUUGGAAGCAAAUGUUUGGCAUACGUAGAGUUGUAUCAGUGGCAGAUAGGACUUGAGAGAAUAUUUCUCUUACCUUUAUCUCCUUGUGGGUUCGACACUCCAUACUUAUCACUUCCACCUUUGAAAAUUGCUACGAUGAUUCCUUGCACUUGGGGAUUAUUAAGCUCUUUUCUGGCGCCGUUGCCGGGGAGCAAUAGCGUGGGGUUGAUAUUCUUGUGUGUGCUUGUUUUCUUUCUUCACUAAGUAGGUUUUGUUUUCCAUUUUUUCUUUGUUUAGUUGUGGAUUAAAUAAAAAAUUACUUGCCUCUUAUAACUAAGAAUUUUUCAAAAAGAGAAGUGAUUGGAAGGUUGUGCAUUGGAGAAGUGACGGUCGACCUUGAGCACUUGUGUUCAUGAUCAUGGAAGCAAUGUAGAAUUUUUCAUGGAAGUUUAUCAAAAAUAAUUAUGCCCUUGUAUAUAUCCAUUGUAUUAUAAAAUAAUGUGCCAAGAUUUUCCUUUAGGAUGAUUGGAUUGCUUGUUUGGUGUGUUCAGUGCAAAAACAGAAAUUUUGGCUGUACUGCGUGAAUUUACGUUUUUUACUAGAAGGUCGCAAGUUUCUGAAUUUUUUACACAGUACUCCUAUGCAAAAAAAUUAUUUAUUCCUAAUUAUUCAGAAUUUUUUUAGUUACAUAAGUAUACGAAGUUUCCAGAUUGCUAAAAACUAUCUUGUUUUUGAUAGGUUCUGUAUUCUAUGCAUUGUUCUCUUAUUUUGAUGAAUCUAUGGGUAGUACCAGGGGGUACGAACCAUGGUGAAGUUGGACUACAGUAGAUAUAAUGUUAAUAUGAAUUUGGAAUGAGUUCACAAUAGUACUUAAGUAGUAUUUUUCUUUAUUAUACUAACGGAUCUCGCGAGGGUUUUGUUAAGUUUUGUGUGAAUGAAGUGUUCAAAGAUCGAGGAUGUAUCGAUAAAAGAAGAAUAUAGAGAGACAAUAGUUCAAGCUUGGGGAUGCCCAAGGCACCCCAAGUAAAUAUUUCAAGGAUUUUCAAGAAUAUAAGCUUGCGGAUGCCCCGGAAGGCAUCCCAUCUUUAUUCUUCAACAAUUAUCGGUAUACCUUGGUUUUUGUUUUGUUCACAUAAUAUGCUUCUUUAGUGUUUUUGUUCUCUUUUUAUGGACACUUCUAGUAUGAGAUAGUCCUUCAUUGAUUUAUAAAAUUCUUCAUGCUCUUCACUUAAAUAUUUUGAGUAUUUCUUUGUGGAAUGCUCUUUGUGUUUCACUUAAAUCGUUUGAGUAUGGCUCUGUAGAAUGCUCUUCGUACUUCACUUAAAUCUUUUGAGUAUAGCCUUAUAGAAUGCUUCGUGUGGUUCACUUAUAUAUUUUGAGCUUGGAUAUUGGUUGAUAUAUAUUAAUUGUAUAAUUCCCUAUGAACUUCACUUAUAUCUUUUAGAGUAUGAAUAAAAUCAUCAUCGGAAUUAGGCUUGGAAGGGAAUCAUUGAAAUAACCAUGCCUAACUAAAAGGCAUUAAAGAAAAGCGCUUGUUGGAAGACAACCCAACACUUUUACCUUCUGUUUUAAUGAGUUCACAAGAUUAAGCUACUGUAUUAAUCAUGUUUUGUGUCUUUUGUUGCUAUAAACUGCCAAGUAAAGCCUUUGGGAUGACUCACAAGAUGACUAGAAUUGAUGUUGAACCAAAACAGAAACUUUUGACUCCGGUACAGGAAUUUUUAUUUUUUACCGGAGCAUGAUAAUGAUCUUAAAUUUUUACAAAUUCUUUAUAUAUAAAUUAUUCUGGUUGUCCUAAUUUUUUCAGAAUUUUUAGAGACAGGUACGUAUGGCUAUACUACAGAUCUUCACAGACUGUUCUGUUUUUGACAGAUUCUAUUUUGCAUGCAUAGUAUGGUUAUUUUAGUGUUCCCAUAGCUUAUAUUCAGUAAUAUAAAUUAUGGUAAUGAUAGAAUAAAGUAGGUAUCAUGUGGUAACAAUUAUGAAUCUUGUCUUGACAGUACCUAAGUGAAUGAUCUAUCUUUUUUACACUAACCCUUCUCACGAAGUUCCGUUAAGUUUUGUGUGAUUGAAGUUUUCAAGUUUUGGGUGAGACACCGAUAUGAGGAGAACAAGGAGUGACAAGAACCUAAGAUUAGGGAUUCCCAAGGAACCCCCAAGGUAAUAUCCAUGGAAUACUCAAGUGCCUAAGCUUGAGGAUGCCCCGAAAGCAUCCCCUCUUUCGUCUCCAACGCUAUCGGUAAUCUUACUUAGAGCUAUAUUUUUAUUCAUCACAUAAUAUGAGUUUUUAUUGGAGCAUCAUUUUAUUUUGUUGAUUUAUGUUAGGUGCUAUAUAUAAAAAAAAUCAAUAAAAAAGUUUCAAGAAUUGCAUUAGGAUGCUUGCAUUGCAUGGUUUGAUGUGUGUUAUGUAAAAACAAAAACUCUUUAUGUAGUUUUUGAAUUUGCAUAUUUUACUAGAACAUGGAAAGUUUAUGAAAUUUUUACACAGUGUUAUCAUACAAAGUUUAUAGCAUGUCCUAAAUGUUCAUAAUUUUUUGAGUUACACAAGUACAAUGUUUUCAUAUAUUGCUACACACUGUUCUGUUUGGACAAAUUGUUGUUAUAGUUUUGUUAUCUACUUAUCCUAUAGUUUCCAUAGCCUAUAUUGGUAGAUAUAAAUUGUGGAAAUGAUAGUAAACAGUAGAUGAUGUUUGAAAAUUAUUAUACAACUUGUCUUGGCAGUAAAUGAAGAGUUGAUUUAUUAUUGUGUGGACUAACCUAUCUCACGAGUUCUUUUCGAGUUUUGUGUGGAUGAAGUUUUUGAGAAUAGGUGAAACCAUGAUAUGAGAGGAUUGAACGAGAUACGAAAGCUCAAUCUUGCGGAUGCACAAGGCACCCCAAGUAAAUAUUUCAAGGACUCUCAAGCAUCUAAUCUUGGGUAUGCUACGCAUCCCACCUCUCUUCGUCAACUAUCGGUUAGCCUAUGUUGAGCCUAAAUUUUUAUUCGUUCACAUGACACAUCCUAUUCUUGGAGUGUUAUUUUUCUUUUGCUUGAUGUUUAAAUAAAAUACUCAGAUCUGAAAAUCUUUAUUGAGGGAGAGGGUGAAAGUCCUCACAUAGCUACUUAAUUGUUUGACUACUCAUUCAUCUUCACUUAUAUGUUUUGGAGUAGUUUUGUCAUUUACUCUCGUGCUUCACGUAUAUCCUCUAAGUAAAUAGUUGAGUGAAUUGAAUAUCGUAAAUCUGAAAUUAUAUAUAUUUUAAAUUAUAGGUGGUAAAAUUUAUUGAACGUUAGCAAACAAUGCAUUGGCCACUUGAUCAAUUCAUGAAAUAAUAUUGAAGGAAGAGAGAGUCCACAUAUAAAUAUACUAUCUUGGACAUCUUCUAUGAUUGCGAGCCCCAUUAAUUAUUUUCAAAAUUCAUCAAAUUAGUUGAUGUUCGGCAAGGAAGACAACUUAAUGAGUUAUGUUUGGGUAUAUUUGCAUAGAAAUUAUAUUGUUAUGGAUCCUCCAACAUGUGGUGCUUGUUUAGAACCUUUUGCUAGCCAACACUGCGUACUAAGUAUAGAUACUACUUGUGCAUCCAAAAAUCCUUAAACCUAGUUUCUUGCCAAGAGAGUCCACUAUAUCGACCUAUAUGCCGUAUUUACCUGCCGUUCCAAGUAAAUUUGCAUGUGCCAAACUCUAAACCUUCAAAUAAUAUUAUGUUCUGUAUGCCCGAAUCGCUCAUGUAGUGACUAGGGGUUGUGAGUAUCUUCCAUGCUAGGUGGGUUAUUCUCAAGAUAUGUGUUGAUUCACUAUCAUUCACGAGAAAGUGGCUGGUAUUCGGGAUGCUGAGUUCCAUGCUCAAAAAUCAAAUCAAAAUAUAAGGAAACAAAACUCCCCCAAGAUUGUUGUUUGUAUGGUUGGUACCCGUGGAUUCGGCUCACUAUGGAGUGUGAUUGAUUUGUGAAGGGGGAGUAAAAACUUUACCAUUCUGUUUGGGAACCUCCUAUAAUGUAUCUAGCAUGGCAGAUACCAAUAUCUCUUGGUUGUUAUGUUGACAAUGAAAGCAUACUUCUGAAAAUUAUUAUUCAUCUCUAUUUUAAAAACUCGAGCUCUGGCACAUAUGCAAAUCACUACUUCCCUCUGCGAAGGGUCAAUCUAUUUACUUUCAUGUUAUUUACUAUUCUUGUUGAGUUAACUUAGUUUUCCAACCUCAAAGUAUUAGUUGGCAAGCAUCAUGUGGUGGGGAAAGAUCCACACAUAUAUAUGCGAACAAAUAUAUUUGAUCAUGAAUUAUAAUUGUUGACAAUUAUAAAUAUGAUAAAUAAGUUGUGAGGCGAAACUUUAAGCCCCUAUCUUUCUCCUUGUUAGAUGGAUGUUAUUUGUUCUAAAAAUAUGCUUUGAAUGUCAAUAAUCAUGGAAUCCUUCCUAAAAAUAAGAUGAAUUGCAAUUAUUCGAUGACUGAAAGCAUAGUUUGUUAGUUUUCAAGAAACUUUAUGGUCUACACUUUAACACGUGAAUAGCUUGUUACUUCAUCAUGAUAAGUUUUAUGAUAUGAGCUACUGUUUAUGAUAUAUAAUGAUGCUAGAAAAAGUGUUUGGAACUAUCAUUGAUCAAAUUUAUACACUAUGCUAGCAUUCACACUUCCUAAAUUAUUUCUUUCAUCAUUUACCUACUCGAGGACGAGCAGGAAUUAAGCUGGGGGGUGCUGAUACGUUUCCCAUGUAUCUAUAAUUUAUGAAGUAUUCAUGCCAUGUUUACAAUAAUUCUGUAUGAUUUUCGGUUGAUUUUAUUAGAACUAACCCGGACUAAUGAUGUGUUCAGCACACUAUCACGGUAUUGUUUUUGUGGAGAAAUAAAAGUUCUCGGAAUGUGCUGAAAAUUUACGGAGAAUAUUUUUGGAAAAUAUGAAAAGUAAUGGAGCAAAAAUAUGCUGGAGAGGAGUCCUGAGGCAGCCACCAGGGCGGCCCCGUAGGGUGCGCCCCCUGGCUUGUGGGUCCCUCGAGCACUCCCCUGGCGUGAUUCCAAUGCCAAAUAUUCUUAUAAAUAUAGAGGCCCCCAAAAAGAAACCUAGAUCGGGAGGUCUACCGCUGCAAGCCUAUAGAACCACGAAAAAACAAUCAGGCCCUCUCCGGCACCCUGCUGGAGGGGGUCACCAUCACCGGAGAACAUGGAGGAGGAAGACGGAGGGGCCAUCAUCACCAUGGAGGCGACGAACGAGAGGGAGAACCUCUCCUCACCUUGGGGGCCAUGGAGGAGGAGGCACAAGGCGGAGACCCUCUCCCCCUCUCUCCCGGUAGUGCCGGAGUGCCACAGAGGGAACCAUCGCCGAGGUGAUCGUCUUCAUCAACAUCACCUUCUUCAUCACCAUCCUCAUCUUCUUUUAGCAGUCCACUCUCCUGCACCCCGCUGUAAUACCCUACUUGAACAUGGUGCUUUAUGCCACAUAUUAUGAUCCAAGGAGGUGUUGCCAUCCUAUGAUGUUUUGAGUAGAUUCCCUUUGUCUUAUGGGUUAAUUGAUGAUCUAGAUUGUCUUGAGUUGCAUGCUUUAUUAUUGGUGUUAUCGUAUGGUGCUCUACGUGUCGUGCAAGCGUGAGGGAUUCCUAUUGUAUGGUGUUGCAAUACGUUCAUGAUUCGCUUAUAGUGGGUUGCUUGAGUGACACAAGCAUAAACCAGAGUAGGUGGGUUGUUGCGUAUGGGAUAAAGGGGACUUGAUGCUUUAAUGCUAUGGUAGUUAGCUUAUGCUUCUCCCUUACAUAAAAUUGCAAUAAUGCUUAACAAUCUUGUUAACAAUUGCCUAGGACAAUUCCGUACACCGACCCAUCAUCAUUCCACACUCGCUAUUUGCAAUAUAUUGUAAUAGAUUCUAACUAUAUAAUAACAUCACUUAUUUUCAUAUUUUAGUUCUCUGAUGUCAUGCAAAGCUAUUCUCUUCAUACCCACAACGUAGUUUUAUUUCUCUUUCCUAGUUGGAAGCAAACGUUCGGCGUACGUAGAGUUGUAUCAGUGGCAGAUAGGACUUGGGAGAAUAUUGCUCUUACCUUUAGCUCCUUGUGGGUUCGACACUCCAUACUUAUCAAUUCCACCUUUGGAAAUUGCUAUGAUGAUUCCUUGCACUUGGGAAUUAUAAGAGCUUCUCGAGGCCUGCGCGCUCGGCGGCGAGCAAGUGCCGGAGCCUCGAGUCGGCGAGCGUAUCGUCUUCGGCACACACUUCCUCGUCGGCUUUGGGCUUCCGGGGAGCUGCUUCUUGUGGAAUUUUCUUGAGGUCUAUGGGAUCCAGAUGCAUCAUAUGGGGCCUAACUCCGUUCCGUACCUCGCGUGCUUCGCAUUGCUAUGCAAGGCAUAUAUGGACUUCUGGCCCUUUCCCUCCUUCUUCCGCCACUUCUUCCAUUUAUGUGCCCACGCGCACGAUAGUGUGUCGUACUCCUGUGGUGGCGCGGUGGUGUACAAGAAGCGCGGCAGGCCGUUUCCGCAGAUGAAGUGGAAGGAGUCCUUCAAGAAAUGGCAGCACACCUUCUUCUACGUCCGCAACAUCGGCCUGGGGCGGGACUGGUUAACCUCCCGCCCUUUGCUGACGAGCCAACGACUGGGGAGAACUAAAAUCUCGAGUUGUGCAAUGACUUGCUGGUGUCGAUUGGCGGCCAGCUGCAGGAGCUCAUGGGCUCCCUAGGGCUGGUGGCCCCGGACCUGGUGGCGGCCUUUGUCUCUCGCCGAGUGCUGCCUCUGCAGGCACGGCCGCACCGGAUGUGCGACAUGAGCAUCCGCAAGGAACCGUGCUGGCUGUUAGUGGUGGACCUGCCGUUGAGCAAGGUUGCCGCCAGGGUGAACAGAAUCACCGACUUCCAUCGUGGCAACCAUGGACCGCUGGUAAGAUUUCGUCCAACUGAGGUCAUCCCCUUUUUUCCUUUCCCGUAGUAUGUGACACAUGGUCAUGUAUUUCCUCAGCUUUUUGUUCGGCAGAACACAUCAAACGGACCGAAUCCGGAGCGCUUUUCCCCAUAUUAGGAUGAAUCCGACGCCGAGGACUACGAAUUGAACGGGGACGGUCCUGAAGGCCCUGAAGAUUUGUACGCGACGGAGGCGGCGGAGGAUGAUGAUGGUGUUGAGGAGGACGAGGAGGAGGCGGCCGGUGCCGUGGCUGGCAAGGUGGGGACGUCAAGUACUAAUGACCCACAAGUGUAGGGGAUCUAUCAUAGUCCUUUCAAAAAGUAAGAGUGUCGAACCCAACAAGGAGCGGAAGGAUCUGACGAGUGGUUUUCAGCAAGGUAAUAUCUGCAAGAACUGAAAUUAUCGGUAACAAGUAGUUGUGUGGUGAGAUGAUUCGUAGGAAGUAGCAAGUAAGAAAAGUAACAACGGUGCAGCAAAGUGGCCCAAUCCCUUUUGUAGCAAGGGACAAGCCUGGACAAACUCUUAUAGGAGGUAAAACGCUCCCGAGGACACAUGGGAAUUUCUGUCAAGCUAGUUUUCAUCAUGUUCAUAUGAUUCGCGUUCGCUACUUUGAUAGUUUGAUAUGUGGGUGGACCGGCGCUUGGGUACUUCCCUUACUUGGACAAGCACCCCACUUAUGAUUAACCCCUCUCGCAAGAAUCCGCAACUACGAAAGAAGAAUUAAGACAAAGUCUAACCAUUGCAUUAAACUAGUGGAUCCAAAUCAGCCCCUUACGAAGCAACGCAUAAACUAGGGUUUAAGCUUCUGUCACUCUAGCAACCCAUCAUCUACUUACUACUUCCCAAUGCCUUCCUCUAGGACCAAAUAAUGGUGAAGUGUUAGGUAGUCGACGUUCACAUAACACCACUAGAGGAAAAACAACAUACAACACAUCAAAUUAUCGAACGAAUACCAAAUUCACAUGACUACUUAUAGCAAGACUUAUCACAUGUCCUCAGGAACAAAAGUAACUACUCACGAAGCAUAAUCAUAUUCAUGCCCAGGGAGGUAAUGAGUAGCAUCAAAGAUCUGAACAUAUAAUCUUCCACAAAGUAAUCCAACUAGCAUCAACUACAAAGAGUAAUUAACACUACUAGCAACCUUACAAGUACCAAUCGGAGUCGCGAGACGGAGAUUGGUUACAAGAGAUGAACUAGGGUUUGGAGAUGAGAUGGUGCUGAUGAUGAUGUUGAUGGUGACGAGUCCCCUCCGAUGAGAGGAGUGUUGGUGAUGACGAUGGCGACGAUUUCCCCCUCCGGGAGGGAAGUUUCCUCGGCAGGAUCGGCCUGCCGGAGCUCUAGAUUGGUUCUGCUCACGUUCCUCCUCAUGGCGGCGUUGAACCCUCCGAAAAGCCUCUUGUUGAUUUUUUUUUCUGGAACAAAACCAUUCUUGUAGCAAAAUGGGUGAGCCAGAGGGCUAAGUGGGAGCCCACAAGCCCCCUAGGCGCGGCCAGGGGGAGGUCGCGCCUAGCGGGCUUGUGGCCUCCUGCUGGCGCCCCUCUGGUACUUCUUCGGCCUAGUAUUUUUAAUAAAUCCCAAAAAAAUCCACGUUGAUUUUCAUGACUUUUGGAGUUGUGCAGAAGAGGUAUCUCAAACUUGCUCCUUUUUCAGGCCAGAAUUCCAGCUGCCGGCAUUCUCCCUCUUCAUGUAAACCUUGCAAAAUAAGAGAUAAAAGGCAUAAGUAUUGUACCUUGAAGUGUAAUAACAGACCAAAAAGCGAUAAAUAUAAACAUGAAAGCAUGAUGCAAAAUGGACAUAUCAACUCUCCCAAGCUUAGACCUCGCUUGUCCUCAAGCGAAAGCCGAGAUCAAUAAAUAUGCCCACAUGUUUAGAGAGAGAGGUGUCGACAAAACAAGAUACGGACAUGCAGGCAUCAUGAUCAUAAUCAGAAUAGCAAUACCAACAUAUAAUCUCUCAUGCUAAAGUGAUAAUUCCUUCACAAAGUAAAGCAUGGAUCAAGAACCUUACCGAGAAUUAACAACCGAUAGCCUUUAGUCAUUGAAGCAAUUGCAAUUUAUCACAAUAUCAGAAAGAGUCAAAUAAGAGCUUGUAAAGCAAAUCCAAAUACUCAAUCAUCCUUUCGUUCUCUACAAUUUCUACAACUCACGUGGUACUCAUGAGAUCAAAGUUUCAGCUGGACACAAAGAAAGAUAGGGAUUUAUAGUUUCGCCUCCCAACCAUUUACCUCAAGGGUAAUGUCAACAAUAAUAAUUCAUGAAUACUUACUUCCAAGUUGACAUAUGAAUAUAGAUCUUUCCCAAGCAUAUGACAUUAGCCAAGAUAAAGGCGAAACAAGGAAUUGGUGAAGAUCACCAUGACUCUUUCACGGGAAAAAUUAAAGGUACAAGAUAGGCCCUUUGCAGGGGGAAGCAGAGGUUGUCAUGUGCUUUUGAGGUUUGGAUGUGUGUCCUCUUAGUGUGGAGGAACGUCACUUUAUAUUGCCUCCUGUGAUAAAGAACUUUAUUAUGCAUUCCGUCGCUUUUAUCUAUUCCUCAUCACAGGUUCGUACAAAGCUUAUUUUCCAUGCACUAAUAGAUCAUACAUAUUAGGGGGGCAAUUUUUAUUGCUUGCAUCGAUGACAACUUACUUGAAGGAUCUUAUUCAAUCCAUAGGUAGGUAUGGUGGACUCUCAUGGAAAAACUGGGUCGAAGGUUUAUGGAUGCACAAGUAGUAUCUCUACUUGGUGCGAGUGUUUUGGCUAAUACGAGGUGGAAGCAAUCUUCACAUGCCAAGGGAUCUCUAGUCAUAUAACAUUGUUCGGAACCAAGCAAACACAAUUCAUUAUGUUGUCUUCCUUGUCCAACAUCCACUUCUAAGCAUGUAAUAGUGUAGUGAGUGUUCACAAUCAUAGAUGGUGUCAAAGAUGAUAUAUUUAUAUGUGAACCUCUCCUUCUUUAUCACUUCCUAUUAAUUGCAACAAUGACCAAGGUCUACGUUUGUCUAUCCUCAACAAGUUUCAAUCAACAUUGUUUUCAUAUGUGAAGCCAUCACUUCCCAUAAGAUCAUUACAUGAUCUUUCAUGCUUUUGUUCUUUUCUCAUUCUCUUGAUCAUGGCAUGAGGCAACGCCCUUAACUAAGACACUCUUUAUUAUAUGGCUCACGAGCUCGAAUACAUCGGGGGUGGCACAAAUAAAAACUCAAGCCUAAAACACUAAGACCUUUAAUCUACUAGAGAAAGAGAAAACUGAAAAGGAACAAACUAAAACAAAGGUAAAGGAAAAAGAUGUGAUGGUGAUACGAUAGCGGGGCAACUCCCCCAAGCUUGGCACAAGCCAAGGGGAUUGCCCAUACCCAUGCUUAGUUGUCUUCCUUUGGAGGUGAUGGUGAUGGAGUUGUUGCAGAGGUCUUGAACUUGUUUAAUUUCCACUUGAGCGUAAAAUUCUGCUCCCUCAGAUCAUCAAUUUCCUCUUCAAGCCUCAACAACCUUUUGCAUAAUUCCUGCUUACUCUCCUGCAAGAAAUGAGAAGGGAUAAACAAUGUUUUAGGCUUCUUCCUUGAGUCAGGGAGGCUCGAUUUCUUGAACUCCACAUGCGUGUGUCCAAGUUGAGGUAGAGGAGCCUCCUCCUCAUCGGAACUUGUUCGUUCCUUCCCCUUGGGAUCAUAAUCUUCUUCCUCAUAAGUGGUCCACCGAUAAGGAUACAAGUCCCCAUAGACCUUGGGGUUGGCAAGGUAAUCGGCCACAUAGCUCUCCCCCUCUAAAUCUUGAGAAGACAUCUUGCCCUAAAUCUGCGCCAGAAAAUAGGCUCGAAACGAAAACAGAGGAAAAUUGCAUGAUACGAGGGUCAGACCUUUCGAGAGAAUAUAUAAUGAUUUUUUUCUGACCAGAAGGAGUACUCCGCAAGAAAACGGAGUCCGGGAGGCACACGAGGUGGCCACAAGCCUCCCAGGCCCGGCCAGGGGGGUGGCUCGCGCCUGGCAGGCUUGUCUCCUCCUCGUUCUUUUUCCGGGCUGCUUUAAAUUUUUCUAUUUUUUCAAAAAUUCCAAAACGGAGAAAAAAUCCUACUGGAAAAGUUUUGGAGUCUAUUUACUUACCGAAUCACAUACCUCUUCGUUUUCGGAGUCUGAAAGAGGCUGAUAAAUAUCCGUUAGGUACUCCUCCUUAGUUAUGGUAUUCAUAAUAUUGCUUUCAACAUUUAUGGGAGUACCUGAGAUAUAAUGCUUGAUUCUCUGCCCAUUUACAACUCUCGGACAAUUAUCUUCCGUGUUGUUGAUCUUGAUAGCACCGGAACGAUAUAGUUCCUCAAAAAUGUAAGAAUCUUCCCAUUUAGAGAGAAGCUUCCCUGCAAAAAAUCUUAAACGAGAAUUAUAUUGCAAGACAUAAUCACCUACAUUUAACUCACGCUUUUUUAUCCUUUUAUCAUGCCACCUCUUAACCUUUUCUUUGAACAACUAGGCAUUUUCAUAUGCCUGAGUUCUCCACUCAUCAAGCAAGCUAAUAUCAAAUAACCUCUUCUCACCAGCAAGUUUGAAAUCAAAGUUAAGCUCUUUGAUUUCCCAAUAAGCUUUAUGCUCUAGCUCAAGAGGUAAAUGACAUGCUUUACCGUAUACCAUUUUGUACGGAGACAUGCCCAUGGGAUUCUUAUAGGCAGUUCUAUAAGCCCACAGUGCAUCAUCGAGCUUCUUAGACCAAUUCUUUCUAGACCUGUUGACAGUCUUUUGCAGAAUUAGUUUAAUAUCUCUAUUUCUUAGCUCUACCUGACCAUUGGACUGAGGGUGAUAGGGAGACGCAAUUAUAUGGUUAACAUCGUACUUAGAAAGCAUUUUACGGAAAGCACCAUGAAUGAAAUGUGAACCACCGUCGGUCAAUAGAUAUCUAGGGACUCCAAAUCUAGGGAAAACAACUUCUUUAAGCAUCCUGAUAGAGGUGUUGUGAUCAGCACUACUAGUGGGGAUAGCUUCUACCCACUUAGUGACGUGAUCAACAGCAACUAGGAUAUGAGUAUACCCGUUGGAUUUUGGAAGAGGUCCCAUAUAAUCAAAGCCCCAAACAUCAAAUGGUUCAAUGAAAAGUGAAUAAUUCAUAGGCAUUUCCUGACGUUUACCAAUAUUACCUAUUCUUUGACAUUCGUCACAAGACAAGACAAACUUACGGGCAUCCUUGAAGUGAGUGGGCCAAUAGAAACCUUAUUGCAAUACCUUGUGCGCAGUUCUAUCUCCCGCAUGGUGUCCUCCGUAGGCCUCGGAGUGACACUUCUGUAGCAUCUGUCCCUGUUCAUGUUCAAGUACACAACGUCUAAUAAGACCAUCUACUCCUUCCUUAUAAAGGUGAGGAGCAUCCCAAAAGUAAUGUCUCAAGUCAAAGAAGAAUUUCUUCUUUUGCUGGUAUGUGAAACUAGGUGGUAUAUAUUUGGCAACGAUAUAGUUUGCAUAAUUAGCAUACCAAGGUUCACUAGGUGAAGUAUUGAUGACAUUCAAUUGCUCAUCAGGAAAGCUAUCAGGUUGUGGGUCAUCAAGAACAUUCUCCAACCUAGACAAGUUAUCUGCUACUGGGUUAUCAGCACCCUUCCUAUCGACAACAUGCAAAUCAAAUUCUUGUAGCAAGAGAACCCAUCUGAUAAGUCUAGGUUUAGCGUCUUUCUUCUCCAUUAGGUACUUAAUAGCAAGAUGAUCAGUAUGAAUGGUGACUUUGGAAUCAACUAUGUAAGACCUGAACUUUUCACAUGCAAACACGACUGCUAAAAAUUCAUUUUCUGUAGUAGCAUAGUUUCUUUGGGCAUUGUCUAGAGUUUUACUAGCAUAGUGAAUAACAUUCAACUUCUUAUCAACUCUUUGCCAUAGAAUAGCACCAAUAGCAUAAUCACUAGCAUCACACAUGAUUUCAAAAGGUAAGUUCCAAUCAGGUGGUUGAACAAUAGGCGCAGUUAUCAAGGCCUUCUUAAGUAUUUCGAAGGGUUCCUCACAAUCAUCGUCGAAAACAAAAGGAAUAUCCUUUUGCAAGAGAUUGGUAAGAGGCCUAGAAAUGUUAGAGAAGUCUUUAAUGAACCUUCUAUAGAAACCAGCAUGACCAAGGAACCUUCUAUAGAAACCAGCAUCACCAUCCUAUAGCCAGUAAUAAUCCUCUGUGGGAUCAAUUCAUCCUUAUCAUUAGGGACAACGGUAAUGCCUCCCUUCUUAGCGACGGAAUGCACCAUACUAACCCAAUCACUAUGAGCAACAUGAUAGAUAAUACCUUCUUCCAGGAGCUUUAGUAUUUCUUUUCUUACUACCUCUUUCAUCUUAGGAUUUAAUCUCAUUUGAUGAUUAGCAACUGGUUUGGAAUCAGGAUCGGUUUUAAUCUUGUGCUGGCAUAGAGUGGGACUAAUGCCCUUAAGAUCAUCAAGAGUAUAUCCAAUAGCAGCACGGUGCUUCCUUAGAGUUUUUAGUAACUUCUUUUCUUCAUGCUCUGAGAGGCUAGCACUAAUUAUAACAGGAUAUAUCUCUUUUUCAUCAAGAUAAGCAUACUUAAGAGUAUCAGACAACUGUUUAAGCUCGAACACAGGAUCACCCUUUGGUGGGGGUGGAUCUCCAAGCAGUUCAACAGGCAAGUUAUUCUUAAGGAUAGGAUAUUGUUCUAAGACAACUCUAUCUAUCUCAUCCCUUUCAUCCAUAUGCAUAUCAUUUUCAUGCUCAAGCAAGUAUUGCUCUAAGGGAUCCGUAGGAGGCACGACAAUCGAAGCUAGGGAAAUAAUUUCAUCCUUACUAGGCAACUCUUUUUCAUGAGGUUGUCUACUAAACUUGGAGAAAUUGAACUCAUGUGACACACCUUCAAAGCCAACAGUGACAGUUUGCUUCUCAUAGUCAAUAUGAGCAUUGACGGUAUUGAGGAAGGGUCUGCCAAAUAUGAUGGGACAAAGGCUAUCUUGUGUGGUAGCAAAAACGAGGAAAUGAGGAGGAUACUUCGUUUUACCACACAAGACUUCAACAUCCCUAAUAAUUUCCACAGGGCAGAUAGUAUCUCUAUUGGCAAGCUGAAUAGUGACAUCAAUGGGUUCUAUCUCGACAGGUGCAAUCUCGUCUUUAAUUUCAUCAUAUAGGGAUUGAGGUAUUGCACUAACACUAGCACCCACAUCACAUAAACCAUGAUAACAAUGAUCUCCUAUCUUAACAGAAACAACAGGCGUGCCAACAACAGGCCUAUGUUUGUCUCUAGCAUGGGGUUUAGCAAUUCUUGCAGCAUCUUGAUACGUCUCCAACGUAUCUAUUUUUUUUUAUGGUUUCAUGCUAUUAUCUUGUCAAACUUUGGAUGUUUUGCAUGCCUUUUAUAUAUUUUUUGGGACUAACUUAUUAACUCGGUGCCAAGUGCCAGUUCUUGUUUUUUCCAUGUAUUUGACCGCUUUCAGAGGAGAUUUUGAAACGGAGUCCAAACGGAAGAAAAUCCCCGAAAAGAUUUUUUCUGAAACCGAAGAAGAUCAGGAAGCUUGAGAGCCAAGGCAGGGGGGCCCAGGGGCCCCACAAGCCCUCACCCCGCGACCAGGGGAAAGGUCGUGGCCCACAGGCUUGUGGGCCCCCUGGACGCCCUCUGCCCUAGGGUUUGCACCUAUAUAUCCCCAAAAGUUCCACAAAAAAUCAAGAGAUCAUCGAAAGUACUUUUCCGCCGCCGCAAGCUUCUGUCUCCGCAAGAUCCCAUCUGGGGCACGUUCCGGUGCCCUGUCGGAGGGGGGAUUCAGAUAUGGAGGGCUUCUUCAUCAACACCAUGACCUCUCCGAUGAUGCGUGAGUAGCUCACCAUAGACCUCCGAGUCCAUAGCUAGUAACUAGAUGGCUUCUUCUCUCUCUUGGAUCUUCUAUACAAAGUUCUCCAUGAUCUUCAUGGAGAUCUAUCCGAUGCAAUCUUAUUUUGCGGUGUGUUUGUCGAGAUCCGAUGAAUUGUGGAUUUAUGAUCAGAUUAUCUAUGAAUCUUAUUUGAGUUUCUUCUGAUCUCUCUUAUGCAUGAUUUCAUAUCCUUGUAAUUCUCUUCGAGUUGUGGGUUUUGUUUGGCCAACUAGAUCUAUGAUUCUUGUAAUGGGAGAAUUGCUUGGUUUUGGGUUCAUACCGUGUGGUGACCUCACCCAAUGACAGAAGGGGUAGCGAGGCACGCAUCGUGUUGUUGCCAUCAAGGGUAAAAAGAUGGGGUUUUCAUCAUUGGUUUGAGAUUAUCCCUCUACAUCAUGUCAUCUUUCUUAAGGCGUUACUCUAUUCGUCAUGAACUCAAUACACUAGAUGCAUGCUGGAUAGCGGUCGAUGUGUGGAGUAAUAGUAGUAGAUGCAGAAAGUAUCGGUCUACUUGUCUCGGACGUAAUGCCUAUAUGUAUGGUCAUUGCCUUAGAUAUCGUCAUGAGUUUGUGCGGUUCUAUCAAUUGCUCGACAGUAAUUUGUUCACCCACCGUGAUAUUUGCUAUUUUGAGAGAAGCCUCUAGUGAACACUAUGGCCCCCGGGUCUACUCCACACCAUACUUUCAGCCUUACACUUUUUACUUCGUUGCACUUUCCGCCUUUAGAUCUCACUUUGCAAACAAUCUUGAAGGGAUUGACAACCCCUUUGAAGCGUUGGGUGCAAGAUCGUUUGUGUUUGCGCAGGUACUCUGGACUUGACGAGACCCUCCUUCUGGAUCGAUACCUUGCUUCUCAAAACUGAGGGAAAUACUUACUACUCAUGUGCUGCAUCAUCCUUUCCUCUUCAAGGGAAAAACCGACGCAAACAAGAGAAGUAGCAAGAAGAAGUCCUGUCGUUGCUUGGGAAGGGCUUUUGUUGCUGUAGCAGAAGGAUUUCUGGUGCUGUUGCCGGGGAGGAAGAUCAAGUCAAGAACUCAUCCAAGUAAGUGUCGCAAACUCAUCUCUUGCAUUUACUUUUGUUUGUCAGUUGCCUCUCGUUUUCCUCUCCCCCACUUCACCAAUUUGCCUUUUUCAUUUGCCUUUUUCGUUUGCCUUUUUCGUUCGCCCUUUCUUCCGCUUUCUUUCUGUUUGCUUGUGUUUUAUGUGCCUUCAAUAUGCUUGCAUCUUCGCUUGCUGAAAAUAUAUUGAUAUGGAUCCUCAUCCACUUGCUAAUCUCUUUAAGAGAUCCAAUUAUGUUGAUAAAAUUGCUAUUGAGUUGAGUGCACUUGACUUUCUCUAUGGAGUUUUGCUUGAGAUGCGUGAAUCUGAAAAUUGUGAUGAAGAAAUUCAUGAAGUGAUUCACGAGGGCUCCUUGAAUGAAAAGCAUGAUUGCAAUGAUUUCAUUAUAAAUUCUAUUAAUGACAAUCAUGCUAAAAAUAUGCAAAACCCUAAGCUUGGGGAUGUUAGUUUUGCUAUGUCCACUACUUGUUGCAAUGAUCAUGAGUGGGGCAAUGAUUUUUCUUAUGAUCAUGAAAAUUUGUUUAAGCCUCAUGAUGAAUAUGAUAUUUGCAAUAUUAUUGAAAGUAGGUUUGGAGACGUCAUGACUUUAAUUGAUGAUAAUCCCAGUAUUUUUGAAGAGCAUCAACUUUGCAUGCAUGUGGAUCAUGAAAAGAAUAUCCUAUGUGAUAGUUACAUUGUUGAAUUCAGAUAUGAUCCCACAUGUAAUUAUUAUGAGAGAGGAAAAUAUGGUGGUAGAAACUUUCAUACCACUAAAUCACCUCUCGUUAUGUUGAGAUUGCUCUUGUCUCUUUCUUCUUCCUUGCAUUUGAUAACUAUUGGUUGUCUUGCCAAUUUUUUCCUAUAAAAUGCCUAUGCAUAGGAAGUAUGUUAGACUUAGACGUGAUUUUCACAUGCUUUAUGAUGCUCACGUUGUGCAUCAAUUUCUAUCUUCUAUGUGAGCAUCAUUGAAUUAUCAAUGCCUAGCUAAGGGUGUUAAACAAUAGCGCUUUUUGGGAGGCAACCCAAUGAAUUUAUCUUUUUCUUUCUGUUUUGUUGUGUCCACGCCAUCAUAAUUCUGUUGUGAUUGUGUUUUUUGGGUUUCUUUUUGUGUUUGAGCCAAGCAAAACCUUUAUGACUAGUCUUGGUAAUGGUUAUUUGAUCCUUCUGGAAAAAGACAGAAACUUUUCGCUCACGAGAUGAUUUUUCAUUUUUAUUCAGAAAGAGCUUUUGAGUUGAUUCUUUUUGCUGAUGGUUGAUAUGUAUUUUUCCCAGGCAGUCGUAAUUGUUCAUAUUUUUGUAGGUAACAGAAGUAUACGAAGUAUAUAGAUUGCUACAGACUGGUCUAUUUUUGACAGAUUCUGGUUUUGUUGAGUUGGUUGCUUGUUUUGAUGAAACUAUGGUUAGUAUCGGGGGGUACUAGCCAUGGAAAAGUGAGAAUACAAUAUCCCAACACCAACAUAGAUGGAAUUCAAGUUUCCUACAGUACCAAAAGAGGUGUUAGUUUAUUUUCUUGUGCUAAUGUUAUCACGAGUUUCUGUUUAAAUUUUGUGUUGUGAAGUUUUCAAGUUUUGGGUGAUGUUCUCAAGGACAAAGAGAUAAGGAGUGGAAAGAGCUCAAGCUUGGGUAUGCCCAAGGCAUCCCAAGCCAAAUUCAAGGACACCAAAAAUCCUAAGCUUGGGGAUGCCCUGGGAAGGCAUCCCCUCUUUCGUCUUCAGUUCAUCGGUAACAUUACUUGGAGCUAUAUUUUUAUUCACCACAUGAUAUGUGUUUUGCUUGGAGCGUCUUGUAUCGUAGGAGUCUUUUCUUUUUUUUGUUUCACAAUCAUUCUUGCUGCACACCUUUUUGAGAGAGAGAGAGAUGCACUCAUCGUGAUUUUGCUAGAAUGCUCAUAGUGCUUCACUUAUAUCUUUUGAGCUAGAUACUUUUUCUCUAUGUGCUUCACUUAUAUCUUUUAGAGCACGGUGCUGCGUGACUUGGUAGUUGGCUUAUGCUAUGAAAGUAGUCCCAAAGGUGAUAGGUACCCAAAGAGGAUGCAAAAACCUCCAUCUUGAUGUGCAUUGAGUAGAAAGAGAAGCCUUGAUUCCUCUCAAUUAGUUUUGAGACGUGGAUUUGGUAAUAUUAAGAGCUAUGUUAGUACGGUGUUGUGAAUCUAGAAGUACUUGUGUUGAAGUUAGUGAUUCCCGUAGCAUGCACGUAUGGUGAACCGCUAUGUUAGGAAGUCGGAGCAUAAUUGAUCUAUUGAUUGUCAUCCUUUGUGUUGAGGUCUUGAUCGCGUGAUGGUUAACACCUACCAACCCUUCCCCUAGGAGUAUGUGUUUAGCACUUUGUUUCGGUUACUAAUAAAAACUUUCGCAACAAGUAUGUGAGUUCAUCAUGACUAAUGUGAGUCCAUGGUAUAGAUGCACUUUCACCUUCCACCAUUGCUAGCCUCUUUAGCGCCGCGCAAUUCUCGCCGAUGCAAAAACCCACCAUAUGCCUUCCUCAAAACAGCCACCAUACCUACCUACUAUGGCAUUUUCAUAGCCAUUCCGAGAUAUAUUGCCAUGCAACUCCCACCGUUCCAUCUCAUGACUUGUGCCGUCACUCUCAUAUUGCCAUUGCAUCAUCGUAAGAUAGCUAGCGAGAUGUUUCCAACGUCAUACGCCAUGCUAGAUCGUUGCACAUCCCAGUACACUGCCGGAGGCAUUUCCUAUAGAGUCAUCAUCGUUCUAAGCUUUGAGCUGUGAGUAAAUAAAAGUGUGAUGAUCACCAUUAUUAGAGCAUUGUCCCAUGUGAGGAAAAAAAGAGAAGAAGAGGCCAAAGAGAGGGAAAAAAAGAGAAAAAAAGAGGCCUAAGAGCCCAAAUGAAAAAAAGAGAGAGAAAAAGAGAGAAGGGACAAUGCUACUAUCUUUUUCCACACUUGUGCUUCAUAAUAGCACCAUGUUCUUCAUGAUUGAGAGCUUUUUGCUUUGUGACUACCAUAUACUAGUGGGAAUCUUCAUUACAUAACUUGGUUUGUAUAUUCCAAUGAUGGGCUUCCUCAAAAUUGCCCUAGGUCUUUGUGAGCAAGCAAGUUGGAUGCACACCCACUAGGUUUCCUUUUGAGCUUUCACAUACUUAUAGCUCUAGUGCAUCUCUUGUAUGGCAAUCCCUACUCAUUCACAUUGAUAUCUAUUAAUGGGCAUCUCCAUAGCCCUUUGAUACGCCAAGUCAAUGUGACCAUCUCCUCCUUUUUGUCUCACAACCACCACCACACUCUAUUCCACCUAUAGUGCUAUAUCCAUGUCUCAUGCUCAUGUAUUGCGUGAUAGUUAUAAAAAGUUUGAGAAAGUAAGAGUGUGAAAACAAUUACUUGGCCAAUACCGGGGUUGUGCAUGAUUUACAUUGGUUGUGUGAGGAUGAUGGAGCAUAGCCAGACUAUAUGAUUUUGUAGGGAUAACUUUCUUUGGCCUUGUUAUUUUGAAAGUUCAUGAUUACCUUGCUAGUUUGCUUGAAGUAUUAUUCUUUUCAUGUCAAUAGCAAACUAUUGUUUUGAAUCUUACGGAUCUGAACAUUCAUGUCACGUGAAAUAAGUUGCAAAGGACAACUAUGCUAGGUAGCAUUCCACAUCAAAAAUUCAUUCUUUAUCACUUCCCUACUCGAAGACGAGCAGGAGUUAAGCUUGGGGAUGCUUGAUACGUCUCCACAUAUCUAUAAUUUUUAAUGGUUUCAUGCUAUUAUCUUGUCAAACUUUGGAUGUUUUGCAUGCCUUUUAUAUAUUUUUUGGGACUAACUUAUUAACUCGGUGCCAAGUGCCAGAUCCUGUUUUUUCCAUGUUUUUGACCCCUUUUAGAGGAGAUUUUGAAACGGACUCCAAACGGAAGAAAAUCCCCGAAAAGAUUUUUUCUGUAACGGAAGAAGAUCAGGAAGCUUGAGAGCCAAGGCAGGGGGGCCCAGGCGCCCCACAAGCCCUCACCUUGCGGCCAGGGGGGAGGCCGCAGCCCACAGGAUUUUGGGCCCCCGGGACGCCCUCUGCCCUAGGGUUUGCGCCUAUAUAUCCCCAAAAAUUCCACAAAAAAUCAAGAGAUCAUCGAAAUUACUUUUCCGCCACCGCAAGCUUCUGUCUCCGCAAGAUCCCAUCUGGGGCACGUUCCGGUGCCCUAUCGGAGGGGGGAUUCGGAUACGGAGGGCUUCUUCAUCAACACCAUGACCUCUCCGAUGAUGCGUGAGUAGUUCACCAUAGACCUACGGGUCCAUAGCUAGUAACUAGAUGGCUUCUUCUCUCUCUUGGAUCUUCAAUACAAAGUUCUCCAUGAUCUUCAUGGAGAUCUAUCCAAUGUAAUCUUCUUUUGCGGUGUGUUUGUCGAGAUCCGAUAAAUUGUGGAUUUAUUAUCAGAUUAUCUAUGAAUCUUAUUUGAGUUUCUUCUGAUCAUGUCAUCUUGCUUAAGGCAUUACUAUGUUCGUCAUGAACUCAAUACACUAGAUGCAUGUUAGAUAGCGGUCGAUGUGUGGAGUAAUAAUAGUAGAUGCAUAAAGUGUCGGUCUACUUGUCUCGUAUGUGAUGCCUAUAUGUAUGAUCAUUGCCUUAGAUAUCGUCAUGAAUUUGCGCGGUUCUAUCAAUUGCUCGACGGUAAUUUGUUCACCCACCGUGAUAUUUGCUAUUAUGAGAGAAGCCUCUAGUGAACACUAUGGCCCCCGGGUCUACUCCACACCAUCUUUUCAGCCUUACACUUUUUACUUAGUUGCACUUUCCGCCUUCAUAUCUCACUUUGCAAACAAUCUCGAAGGGAUUGACAACCCCUUUGAAGCGUUGGGUGCAAGCUCGUUUUUGUUUGCGCAGGUACUCUGGACUUGACGAGACCCUCCUUCUGGAUCGAUACCUUGGUUCUCAAAACUGAGGGAAAUACUUACUGCUCUUGUGCUGCAUCACCCUUUCCUCUUCAAGGGAAAAACCGACGCAAACAAGAGAAGUAGCAAGAAGAAUUCCUGGCGUUGCUUGGGAAGGACUUUUGUUGCCGUAGCACAUCUUCACAGAAGUGAAUAUCAUGGCCAUCAACAUUGUCGGACAAGAGAUAUUUGAUAAUAGCAAUGCUAGGUUCAACUCUAAUUUGCUCAGGGGGUGUAGGUGUUCUAAUGUAACCUCUACGUCUCACAUUUGAAGCUUUAGAAUGAUCUUUUAUCCUAACAGGGAAAGGUGGUUGCUCAAUGUAAGCACUAGGAACAAUAGGAUAAUUAUAGGCAAUGACUUUCUCUUCAACUGGAUUGGGUUUAACUACAUUGACUUCUAAGGGAGGAUGAUAUUUAAACCACUUCUCUUUGGGGAGAUCAAUAUGAGCAGAAAAUGAUUCACACAAUGAGGCUACUAUCUCUGAGUCAAGUCCAUAUUUAACGCUAAACUCACAAAAGGUAUUUGUUUCAACAAAGGAUUUAACGCAAUCAACCUUGAAAUUCAUACCUAACUCCUUACCUUCAUCAAGCUCCCAAUCUUCAGAGUUGCGUUUAAUUCUUUCCAAUAAAUUCCAUCUGAAGUCAAUAUCUCUCUUCAUAAAAGAACGGGUACAAGAAGUGUCAAGCAUGUUGCGAUCAUCAUGAGAAAGCCGAGCAUAGAAGUUCUGAAUGAUAAUUUCUCUCGAGAGCUCAUGGUUGGGUCAUGAAUAUAACAUUGAUUUAAGCCUCCCCCAAGCUUGAGUGAUGCUUUCUAUGUCAUGAGGCCAACAAUUAUAAUUAUAAUUCCGAUCACGAUGUACUAGAUGCAUAGGAUAAAUUUUUUGAUGAAAUUCCAAUUUCAACCGAUUGUAGUUCCAUGAUCCAGUAUCAUCACAUAGCCUAUACCAUGUCAACGCCUUAUCCCUCAAAGAUAAGGGAAAUACCUUCUUCUUGACCUCAUCCUCGGGCAAACCUGCAAGCUUAAAUAAACCACAAACUUCAUCUACAUAGAUUAGAUGCAAGUCUGGAUGUGAUGUUCCAUCUCCUACAAAAGCAUUAGCCAGCAGUUUCUCAAGCAUACCCGAAGGAAAUUCAUAGCAAAUAUUUUUAGUAGGUGCGGCAGGUUGAGGAGAAACUCUUUGUGCUUCCGUUCGAGGUGAAGAUACCCCGAACAAGCUCCUCAAAGGAUUAGUUUCCAUAGUAACAAGUGACAGUAAAUUUCAGCACACUAUAUAAAUGUUUCCUUUCCAAAUUCCACUUACGAAAGGCCCUUCACUCCCCGGCAACGGCGCCAGAAAAGAGUCUUUAUGACCCACAAGUAUAGGGGAUCUAUCAUAGUCCUUUCGAUAAGUAAGAGUGUCGAACCCAACGAGGAGCAGAAGGAUCUGACAAGUGGUUUUCAGCAAGGUAAUAUCUGCAAGCACUCAAAUUAUCGAUAACAAGUAGUUGUGUGGUGAGAUGAUUCAUAGCAAGUAGCAAGUAAAAAAGUAACAACAGUGCAACAAAGUGGACCAAUCCCUUUUGUAGCAAGGGACAAGCCUGGACAAACUCUUAUAGGAGGUAAAACGCUCCCGAGGACACAUGGGAAUUUCUAUCAAGCUAGUUUUCAUCAUGUUCAUCUGAUUCGCGUUCACUACUUUGAUAGGUUGAUAUGUGGGUGGACCGGCGCUUGGGUACUGCCCUUACUUGGACAAGCAUCCCACUUAUGAUUAACCCCUCUCGCAAGCAUCCGCAACUACGAAAGAAGAAUUAAGACAAAGUCUAACCAUAGCAUUAAACUAGUGGAUCCAAAUCAGCCCCUUACGAAGCAACGCAUAAACUAGGGUUUAAGCUUGUGUCACUCUAGCAACCCAUCAUCUACUUAAUACUUCCCAAUGCCUUCCUCUAGGCCCAAAUAAUGGUGAAGUGUUAUGUAGUUGAUGUUUACAUAACACCACUAGAGGAAAAACAACAUACAACACAUCAAAUUAUCGAACGAAUACCAAAUUCACAUGACUACUUAUAGCAAGACUUAUCCCAUGUCCUCAGGAACAAAAGUAACUACUCACAAAGCAUAAUCAUAUUCAUGACCAGAUACGUAAUGAGUAGCAUCAAAGAUCUGAACAUAUAAUCUUCCACCAAGUAAUCCAACUAGCGUCAACUACAAAGAGUAAUUAACACUACUAGCAACCUUACAAGUACCAAUCGGAGUCGCGAGACGGAGAUUGGUUACAAGAGAUGAACUAGGGUUUGGAGAUGAGAUGGUGCUGAUGAAGAUGUUGAUGGUGAUGAGUCCCCUCCAGUGAGAGGAGUGUUGGUGAUAACGAUGGCGACGAUUUCCCCCUCCGGAGGGAAGUUUCCCCCGCAGGAUCGUCCUGCCGGAGCUCUAGAUUGGUUCUGCUCAAGUUCCGCCUCAUGGCGGCGGCGAAUCCUCCGAAAAGCCUCUUGUUGAUUUUUUUUCUAGAAUGAAACCCUUCUUGUAGAAAAAGGGGGGAGCCAGAGGGCCAAGUGGGAGCCCACAAGCCCACUAGGCGCGACCAGGGGGGAGGCCGCGCCUAGCAGGCUUGUGGACUCCUACUGGCGCCCCUCUCGUACUUCUUCGACCCAUUAUUUUUUAUAAAUACCAAAAAAAAAUCCACAUUGAUUUUCACGGCUUUUGAAGUUGCGCAGAAUAGGUAUCGCAAACUUGCUCCUUUUUCAGGCCAGAAUUCCAGCUGCCGGCAUUCUCCCUCUUCAUGUAAACCUUGCAAAAUAAGAGAGAAAAGGCAUAAGUAUUGUACCUUGAAGUGUAAUAAUAGCCCAAAAAGCGAUAAUUAUCAACAUGAAAGCAUGAUGCAAAAUGGACGUAUCACGUACCCCUCCCGACGGGUCCGUGACAGACUGGAUAGAUGAUGAUGGUGACGACAACGUGUAGGUGCUUGAGGCGAUGCCACGUGUGACGGGGCCGCCUCGGGGCCAUCGUCGUGGAAAGAGCGAGGAGCUGUCGGCCGGGGGCCAGCUGGCCGUCAGCCAACUAGCCAGUUGCCACACGGAAGAGGAACGCCGUAGGGACACGCGGUCGGCCGAGGACUCGAUCGACACCCCAGCCACCAAGAAGGUUCAGUCGGCGGCGCUGCCGGCGGGCGCCCCUUGGUGCUGGGUAAGGUUUCUUUAAGGCUCAUGCCCCUUCUUUUCUUGCUUUCUUUGUCGUGUGGCAUUUGAGCUCGUGCUCUCUUGUCUUGUUUUGCUUUCUCAGUGAGGCUAUUCAGCUACCGGCGCCGGAUGCAUCGGCCCUUGGGGCCGAACAAGUAACGCCGCUUGCCAUGGAGCAUGCGACGAGGGCGCGGCUUGAACGGGAGUGUGUCGUUCAGCUUCGUGCGGCCAAGCCGAAGGCCUCGUAGGCUAUGACGACCGGAAUAAGCGUCCCCGUGGCUGGGGCAACAAGUGAUGCCACUGCUCCACAACACCGCCGGUCAGUUUUAUCGGUACUUUUGCUUGUCUUAGUCAUUUUUCCUGUGCACCCUGCUCCUUUGUCAUUUCUCCUGCCGGCCAGCCAGCUUGCGGAUUGUGACUGGGCGAAGAGUGGGCUGGUGGAGCCGAGGUGUUUGGUACUUUGGCUUUUGCAAGGCGGGUGUUGAAAAAACCGAGUAGCGUAGCCGGACCUGGCCCGCCCCUUGUCGAUAUUUCCUAUUCGCUCUGACCCUUUGCUUGUGCUCCUGCCAAACGGGCAACUAGGUUGUGGUCUGUAGCCAGCGAGGGUUGGGCUGCCGGUGCGGAGGUAUAGUACUUUGCCGAGCUGGGGUGGGAGUUGGGCGUCUCGUAGUCCCCGGGCCGGCUGGACCGAUCCGGGGAUGACCAAGAAAGUAAAAACAAUUGAAACAUGAGUAGGAUGGAAAAGGCAGUCUCUGAGUCCUGCUCUAGGGUGCCGGCUAUUCAUUGAUUUUCUUGAAAAGGGAACAUACAUAUGUUCACUUGCCUAACUGUAAAACGGGCGGAGGAGUUCCACGUUUCGUGGUCGCUCCGUCUCGGAGCCGGAUGCGUCCUUCUUGUUCUUUCUUGCCUUUUGAGCAUCGAUUAUAAAGUAGGCGUUAUUGCUCACUGACGGAUGUCCGUUGGAUCAGCAAGAGAACAAGGUCACCCUCUCGGAAUGAGAGAGGGCUUGACCCGCUGGCUACGGUAGCGGCGUAGGCCUUGCUGAUAGAUGGUUGUUCUGGACAGUGCCAGCUCGCAUGCCUCUUCGAGGAGGUCGACGUCGUCUUCUCUGGCCUCUUUGGCGUCAGCCUCGGUGUGCAGGGUGACCCGAGGCGAAUCGAACUCGACGUCGUUGAGGAUGAUCGCCUCGGCCCCGUACACCAAGAAGAAUGGGGUGAAGCCGGUCGACCGGUUGAGCGUGGUUUGCAGGCUCCACAACACCGCCGGCAGUUCCUCGACCCAGGCACCGGCCGAGCGCUUGAGUGGCUCGACAAGCCUGGGUUUCAGGACGACCAGGAUGAGGCCGAUUGCCCGCUCUAGCUGGCCGUUUGACUGCGGCUGGGCCACGGACGAGAGGUCCAGCCGGAUUCCGUGCUCGCUGCAGUAGCGGGCGAGCGCAGGCUUGGCGAAGUUGGUCCCAUUGUCGAUGAUGAUGAUGCUGGGGAGGCCAUAGUGAACGGCUAUGUCCUUGAUGAACGUGACGACCGUUGGGCCAUCGAGCUUCUCUAUUGGCUUGGCCUUGAUCCACUUUGUGAACUUGUCGACUGCCACCAGGAGAUGUGUCACACCGCCUCGGGCGGUUUUGAACAGGCCCAUCAUGUCCAACCCCCAGAAGGCAAAGGGCCGCGUGAGGGGGAUGGUUUGCAGGGCCGCGGCCGUCUGGUGGAUGCGCGCUUUGAAAUGCUAGCAGCCAUUGCACUUGUCAAUUAAUGCCUUGGCGUCCUUCAGGGCGGACGACCAAUAGAAACUGUGGCGGAAUGCCUUGGCCGCCAGGGAGCGUGAGGAGGCAUGGUGGCCACACUCGCCCUGGUGGAUGCCGAGGAGGAUAUCGUGGCCUUUGUCUGCCUCGAUGCAGUGCUGGAACACGCCAGUCACGCUGCGCUUGACGAGCUCGUUGUUGAUGAUGGUGUAGGUGGCAGAGCGUCUUUGGAUUAUCCGGGCCACGACUUCAUCGGCAGGCAGGGUGCCAUUCUCGAUGUAGUCGAGGAAGGGUUGCGCUCAGGAUAGGGCUGUGACCACCGUGAGCAUGGCCACCAUGAUUGGGUUUGCUGCGGCGGGGACGGCACGCGGUUGGCCGCCUGCCGCAGUCCCCGAGUCGGGCUGGAGGGAUCCCAGGGGAGGGUCGGCAGCCCUCGGGCCGGCUAGAGUAGUCGAUGCGGUGGCGGUAGUCGGCUGACCAGCUGCCGUAGUCCCCGAGUGGGACGGGGCAGUUCCCGCGUCAGCGCCGGCAGCCCCCAGGGCCGGCGGGGCAGCCCCCGGGUCUGCCGGGAUGAAUAUGUACUCGGAUUCCGGAGAGAGCGUGAUGGAGGGCUUCCGCAGGUUCUCAAGAGAUACGUCGACUGGGAUUGGUUGCCGGGUGGAGACGAUUUGUUGAGUGUGUCGGCGGCCUCGUUGCCGGAUCGGAGGAUGUGGUGGAACUCGCGGCCUUUGAAACCGCCGGUCAGUUGUUGCACCAGAAAGCGGUAGCUGCCCAUGUUUGCGUCUCUCGCGUCCCACUCACGAGUGACUUGCUGCACCACCAGGUCGAAGUCACCUAAGAAAAGGAUUCGUCGGACGCCGAUUUCCCUAGCCAACCGGAGGCCAUGGGUGAGCGCUUCAUACUCCGCCACGUUGUUGGACGCAACAAAGUGGAUCUUCAUGACGUACUGGAGCUGGUUACCCUUAGGGGACGAGAGGAUGAUGCCAGCCCCAAGGCCGGUGCGCAUCUUCGAGCCAUCGAAGUGCAUGCGCCAAUGGGUUGAGUCUGGAGGCGGCCGUAGGUACUCCGUUUCGGCCUAGUCGACGAGGAAAUCCACCAAGGCCUAUGACUUUACGACGGUGCGGGACUCGUAGGCGAUGUGGUGGUCGGCCAGCUGGAGAGCCCACUUGGCGAUUCGGCCGGCUACGUUCCUGUUGCCCACGAUCUCUCCGAGGGUAGCGGUGCUCACCAAAGUGAUCGAGUGCUCCUCGAAGUAAGGCUUGAGCUUCUUGGCAGCCAGGAACACGACGUAGCACAUCUUCUGAUAGUGCAGCUAGUUCUACUUGGAGGCGGAGAGCACCUCGCUCAGGUAGUAGACAGGUCGUUCGACCAGCUGCGCCCGGCCCGGCUCGGAGCGCUCGACGGUCAUGACUAUACUGACCACUCGGAUGGUCGCGGCGAUGUAGAGCAAUAUCGGCUCCUUAUCCACUGGCGAGGCCAGCAUGGGCACGAUGGUGAGUGCACGCUUGAGGUCGCGCACGGCCUCAUCCGCCCGGUCGCUCCAGACAAACUCGUCCGCCUUCUUGAGCAGACGAUAGAGAGGGAGGGCCUCCUCCCCUGGUCGGCUGAUGAAGCAGCUGAGCGAGGCGAGGCAGCCAGUGAUCUUUUGGAUGUCAGCCAAGUUGGCCCGGAUCUUCUCGGGGAUGGCCUCUAUCCCUUGUUCCAAAAUGACGAAACCGAGGAGCUGGCCGGAUGGUAAGCCGAACACGCACUUUGCCGGCUUCAGCCGGAUUUUGAACUCGCGUAGAUUCACAAAUGUCUCCUUGAGAUCAUCCAGGGGGUGCGAUUUUCCUUGGUUUUGACCACAACGUCGUCCAUGUAGACGUGUACAUUGCGGCCGAGAUGCCUAUAGAGGCAUUGCUGCAUGCAACGCUGAAACGUGGCGCCAACAUUUUUCAGCUCGAAUGCCAUCGUAACAUAGCAGAAUGCCCCGAAUGGGGUUAUGAAAGUUGUCUUGAUCCGGUCGGUCGGAUUCAGCUUGAUCUGGUGAUAGCCUGAAUAGGCGUCUAAGUAGGACAGUAGCUCGAAGCCAGCCAUCGAGUCGAUCACUUGAUCCAUACGGGGCAGAGCAAAAGGAUCCUUGGGGCAUGCCUUGUUUAGGCUCGUGUAGUCGAUACUCAUGCGCCAAGUCUUGUUCUUCUUCAGCACCAGGAAUGGGUUCGCCACCCAAUCCGGGUGGAAGACUUCCAUGAUGAAUUCAAAUGCCAGUAGCCGGGUGAUUUAUUCACCGAUGGUUUUUUGCUUCUCCUCUGAGAAGCGGCGCAACGGUUGAUUAACCAGUUUUGCGUCUGACCGGACGUGCAAGAAGUGCUCGGCGUACUUCCUCGGGACUCGUGGCAUGUCCUUUGGGGCCAUGCGAACAUAUCCCGAUUCUCACGGAGGAAGUCGACGAGCUCAAUUUCCUAUUUGCUGCUGAGACCAGCCCCACCACGACGUACUUGCCGGUGGGGUCGGCCGGGUCCUCGGGCCCCUCUUGGUGUCCUUGCCGGAGGCCGGCUGGAACUGGGCCUGUGUGGCGGGCUGCUUAAGCUUCGGCUCUGAGAGGGGCGCCGUCUCACAGGCUAGUGCCACGAAACGAUCGAUCUGUCACUGCUCCUCGAUGAUAACGAAGGAUUCGGCCAACUUGGAGACGGCCAUGGUGCACUCGGUCGAGUUCUUCUAGUCACCGGAGACGGUGACAAUGUCGUGUGGACCCGGCAGCUUCAUCUUGAGAUAAGCAUAGUGGGAGACAACCAUGAACUUGGCCAGGGGGACGGAACGAGAGCGCAUGGUAGCGGCUAGUGAGGUCGACCACCUCGAACCAUAUGGUCUCGCGACGGAAGUUCUUCGGAUAGGCCGAACAACACGUACAGUCGGACCUUGCUGGUCCGGGAGUGAUAAUCCCCAAGUGCAAGGAAUCAUUGUAGCAAUUUCAAAAGGUGGAAGUGAUAAGUAUGGAGUGUUGCACCCACAAGGAGCUAAAGGUAAGAGCAAUAUUCUCUCAAGAGCUAUCUUCCACUCAUACAACACUAUGUACGCUGAACGUUUGCUUCCAACUAGGAACGAGAAAUGAAACUACGUUGUGGGUAUGAAAAGAAUAGCUUUGCAUGACAUCGGACAACUAAAAUAUAAAAAUAGGUGUUGUUAUCAUAAAGUUAGAAUAUAUUACAAUAUAUUAGAAAUAGUGAGUGUGGAAUAAUGAUGGGUCGGUGUGCGGAAUUGUCCUAGGCAAUUGUUAACAAGAUCGGUAAUCAUUCUUGCAAUUUUAUAUGAGGGAGAGGCAUAAGCUAACAUAAUUUCUCUACUUUGAUCAUAUGCACUUAUGGUUGGAACUCUAGCAAACAUCUGCAACUAUUAAAGAUCAUUAAGGUGAAACCCAACCUUAUCAUUAAAGCAUCUCAACAACCCAGCUACUCGGGUUUAUGCUUGUGUCACUCAAGCAACCCACUAUAAGUGAAUCAUGAACGUAUUGGAACACCAUACAACAAGAGUCCCUCAUGCUUGCGCGACACGGAGAGCACCAUAGGACAACACCAAUAAUAAAGCAUACAACUUAAACCAAUCUAGAUCAUCAAUCGACCCAUAAUACCAAGGGAAUCUACUCAAAACAUCAUAGGAUGGCAACACAUCAUUGGAUCAUAAUAUGUGGCAUGGACCACCUGUUGGAGAACGUCGCAUGGGAAACAAAAAAUUUCCUACGCGCACGAAGACCUAUCAUGGUGAUGUCCAUCUACGAGAGGGGAUGAGUGAUCUACGUACCCUUGUAGACCGUACAGCAGAAGCGUUAGAGAACGCGGUUGAUGUAGUGGAACGUCCUCACGUCCCUCGAUCCGCCCCGCGAACAAUCUCGCGAUCAGUCCCACCAUCUAGUACCGAACGGACGGCACCUCCGCGUUCAGCACACGUACAGCUCGACGAUGAUCUCGGCCUUCUUGAUCCAGCAAGAGAGACGGAGAGGUAGAAGAGUUCUCCGGCAGCGUGACGGCGCUCCGGAGGUUGGUGAUGACCUUGUUUCAGCAGGGCUCCGCCCGAGCUCCGCAGAAACGCGAUCUAGAGGAAAAACCGUGGAGGUAUGUGGUCGGGCUGCCGUGGAAAAGUCGUCUCAAAUCAGCCCUAAAACCUCCGUAUAUAUAGGUGGGAGGGAGGGGGCCUUGCCUUGGGGCUCAAGGAGCCCCAAGGGGGUCGGCCGAGUCCAAGGGGGAGGACUCUCCACCCCCAAACCGAGUUGGACUAGGUUUGGUGGGAGGGAGUCCCCCUCCCUUCCCACCUCCUCCUUUUUUUUUUUUUUUNCCGAGAUUCGAUCGUCAGUAUCCGCAUACCUAUUUCAAUCUCGUUUACCGGCAAGUCUCUUUACUCGUUCCGUAAUACAAGAUCCCGAACUUACACUAAGUUACAUUGCUUGCAAGGCUUGUGUGUGAUGUUGUAUUACCGAGUGGGCCCCGAGAUACCUCUCCGUCACACGGAGUGACAAAUCCCAGUCUUGAUCCAUACUAACUCAACUAACACCUUCGGAGAUACCUGUAGAGCAUCUUUAUAGUCACCCAGUUACGUUGCGACGUUUGAUACACACAAAGCAUUCCUCCGGUGUCAGUGAGUUAUAUGAUCUCAUGGUCAUAGGAAUAAAUACUUGACACGCAGAAAACAGUAGCAACAAAAUGACACGAUCAACAUGCUACGUCUAUUAGUUUGGGUCUAGUCCAUCACAUGAUUCUCCCAAUGACUUGAUCCAGUUAUCAAGCAACAACACCUUGUUCAUAAUCAGAAGACACUGACUAUCAUUGACUAACUGGCUAGCCAACUAGAGGCAUGCUAGGGACGGUGUUUUGUCUAUGUAUCCACACAUGUAAAUGAGUCUUCAUUCAAUACAAUUAUAGCAUGGAUAAUAAACUAUUAUCUUGAUACAUGAAUUAUAAUAAUAACCAUAUUUAUUAUUGCCUCUAGGGCAUAAUUCCAACACCACCAUGUUCAAUUAGGGGAUCACAACGGGUGCGGGAGAGUGGACCGCUCAAAAAAGACGAGGAUGGUGAUGAAGAAGGUGAUGUUGAUGAAGACGGUCACCGCAGCGAUGGUUCCCCCGGUGGCACUCUGGCACCACCGGGAGAGCGGGAGAGAGGGUCUCCACCUUUUGCCUCCUCCUCCAUGGCCUCCCCCAAGGUGGGGAGAGGUUCUCCCUCUGGUUCUUUGCCUCCAUGGUGAUGGUGGCCCCUCCGUCUUCCUCCUCCAUGGUGUCCGGUGAUGGUGACCCCCUCCGGCAGGGUGCCAAAGAGGGCCAAGAUUGGUUUUUCGUGGCUCUGGAGGCUUGCGGUGGCGGAACUCCCGAUCUAGGUUUCUUUCUGGGGGUUUUGGGAUUUAUAUGAUUUUUUGGCAUCGGUCUCACAUCAAGGGGACUCUCGAGGGAUCCACAAGCCACGGGUGUGCCCUAGGGGGUGCCCUAGGCUUGUGACUGCCUCGGGACUCCUCUCUGGUAUCUUUUUGCUCCACUAUUUUUUAUAUUUUCCAAAAAUAUUUUCCGUAAAUUUUCAGCCCAUUCGGAGAACUUUUAUUUCUGCACAAAAACAUCAUCACGGUAGUUCUGCUGAAAACAGCGUGAGUUAGGGUUAGUUCUAAUAAAAUCAUAUAAAAUUAUUGUGAACAUGGCAUGUAUACUUCAUAAAUUAUAGAUACGUUGGAGAUGUAUCAGCAUCCCCAAGCUUAAUUCUUGCUCGUCCUCGAAUAGGGAAAUGAUAAAAGAAACAAUUUAUGAAGUGUGAAUGCUAGCAUAGUGCAUAAAUUUGAUCAAUGAUAGUUCCAAAGACUUGUGCUAGCAUCACUAUAUAUCAUAAACAGUAGCUCAUCUCAUAAAACUUCUCAUGAUGAAGUAACAAGCUAUUCACAUGUUAAAGUAUAGACCAUAAAGUUUCUUGAAAACUAACAAACUAUGCUUUCGGUGACCAAACAUUUGCAAUUCAUCUUAUUUUCGGGAAGGGUCUAUGUAAGAGCUUUUGAUUUAGCAAAUUCCACAUACUCAACUAUCAUAUAGUCUUCCAUGAUUCCUAACACUCAAAUCAUAUUUUUAGAGCAAAUGGCAUUCGUCGAACAGAGAGAAAGAUAGGGGCUUAAAGUGUCGCCUUCCAACUUAUUUAUCAUAUAGAUAGUUGUGAACAAUACUAAUUCAUGAACAAAUAUAUUUGAAUGGACAUAUAUGCUUGGAUCUUUCCCCAGCACAUGAUGUUUGCCAAGAGGAAAAGGCGAAAUAUAGGAAGUGCUGAAGAUCACCAUGAAUCUUGUAUAAAGGUAAGUACUGUAAAGUAAAAGAUAGGCCCUUCGCAGAGGGAAGCAUUGAUUUGCAGAGGUGCCAGAGCUCGAGCUUUUAGAACAGAGAUGAGUAAUAAUUUUGAGUGGUAUGAUCUCAUUGUCAACAUAACAACCGAGAGAUCUCGGUAUCUUCCAUGAUAGAUACAUUAUAGGCAGUUCCCAAACAGAAUGUUAAAUUUUUUACUCCCCCUCCACCAAUCAAUCACACUCCACGGCGAUCCAAAUCCACAAGUACCGUCCAUACAAACAACAAUCUUGGGGUGUUUUGUUUCAUUAUAUUUUGAUUUGAUUUUUGAGCAUGGAACUAGGCAUCCAGAAUACCAGCCACUCUCUCGUGAAUGAUAGUGAAUCAACACAUAUCGUGAGAAUAACCCACCUAGCAUGGAAGAUAUCGAUAGCCUCUACUCACUACAUGAGCGAUUCAGGCAUACAAAACAAAAUAUUAUUUGAAGGUUUAGAGUUUGGCACAUGCAAAUUUACUUGGAAUGGCACAUAAAUACCGCAUAUAGGUAGAUAUAGUGGACUAUCAUGGCAAGAAACUGAGUUUAAGGGUUUUUGGAUGCACAAGUAGUAUCCCUACUUAGUACGAAGUGUUGGCUAGCAAAAGGUUCUAAACAAGCACCACAUGUUGGAGGAUCCAUAACAAUAUAACUUCUAUGAAAAUAUACCCAAACAUAACUCAUUAAGUUGUCUUCCUUGUCCAACUUCAACUAAUUUUGUGAAGUUUGAAAAUAAUUAAUGGGGCUCACAAUCAUAGGAGAUGUCCAAGAUAGAAUAUUUAUAUGUGGAAUCUCUCUUCCUUCAAUAUUCUUUCAUGAAUUGUUCAAGGGACCAAUGCGGUGUUUGCUAACUUUUAAUAAAUUUUAGCACCUAUACUUCUUAUAUGUGAAGUCAUUACUACCCAUGGGAUAAGAAUUCAAAACAUAUAUAAUUUUAAAUUUAUGAUAUCAAAUUUAAUCAACUAUUUACUCAUAGGAUAUAAGUGAAGCACGAGAUUAAAUGACAAAGCUACUCCCAAACAUAUAAGUGGAGAUCAAUGAGUAGUCAAACAAUUAAGUAGCUAUGUGAGGAUUUUCUCCGUCUCUCGCAAUAAAGAUUUUCAGAUCUGAGUAUUUUGUUUAAACAGUAAGCAAAAGAAAAAUAGCACUCCAAGAAUAGGACGUGUCAUGUGAACGAAUAAAAAUUUAGGCUCAACAUAAUCUAACUGAUAGUUCACGAAGAGAGGUGGAUUGCGUAGCCUCCCCAACCUGAGUGUUCUUGAAAUAUUUACUUGGGGUGCCUUGGUCAUCCCCAAGCUUGAGCUUUCGUAUCUUGUUCAAUCCUCUCAUAUCAUGGUUUCACCUAUUCUCAAAAGUUUCAUCCACACAGAUCUCGAAAAUAACUCGUGAGAUAGGUUAGUACACACUAUAAUAAAUCAACUCUUCAUGUACUGCCAAGACAAGUUGUAUAAUAAUUUUCAAACAUCAUCUACUGUUUACUAUCAUUUCCACAAUUUAUAUCUACCAAUAUAUGCUGUGGAAACUAUAGGAUAAGUAGAUAACAAAACUAUGACAGCAAUCUGUCCAAACAGAACAGUCUAUAGCAAUUUAUGAAAACAAUGUACUUCUGUAACUCAAAAUAGUUUGAAAAUUUUGGACAUUCUAUAAAAUUUAUAUGAAAACACUAUGUAAAUAUUUCAGAAACUUUCCACGUUCUAGUAAAAUAUGAAAAUUCCAAUACUAUAAAAAGAGUUUCUGUUUUUACACAGCACACAUCAAACCAUGCAAUGCAAGCAUCCUAAUGCAAUUCUUGGAACUUUUUUAUUGAAAACAAAAUUAUAAAUAACACCUAACAUAAAUAAACAAAACAAAAUGACGCUCCAAGAAAAACUCAUAUUAUGUGACGAAUAAAAAUAUAGCUCUAAGUAAGAUUAUCGAUAGCGUUGGAGACAAAAGAGGAGAUGCUUCCGGAGCAUCCUCAAGCUUAGGCACUCCAGUCUUCCAUGGAUAGGACCUGGGGGGUGCCUUGGGCAUCCCCAAGCUUAGGUUCUUUUCACUCCUUCUUCUCCUCAUAUCGGUGUCUCACCCAAAACUUGAAAACUUCAAUCACACUUAACUUAAUGGAACUUCGUGAGAAGGGUUAGUGUAAUAAAGAUAGAUCAUUCACUUUGGUACUGUGAAGACAAGAUUCAUAAUUGUUACCACAUGAUACCUACUGUAUUCUAUCAUUUCCAUAAUUUAUAUUACUGAAUAUAAGCUGUGGGAACACCAAAAUAAGCAAACUAUGCAUGCAAAACAGAAUCUGUCAAAAAUAGAACAGUCUGUAAAGAUCUGUAGUAUAGCCAUACUUUCCUGCAUCUAAAAAUUCUGACAAAUUAGGACAACCAGAAGUUUUUGGAUAUAAAGACUGUGUCAAAAUUUCAAAUCAUUAUUAUGCUCCAGUAAAAAAUUAAAAUUCAUGUACUAGAGUCAAAAGUUACUGUUUUGGUUCAACAUCAAUUCUACUCAUCUUGUGAGUCAUCCCAAAGGCUUUACUUGGUACUUUAUUGAAAUAAAAGACACAAAACAUGAUUACUACAGUAUCUUAAUCAUGUGAACUCAAAAAAACAGAAGGUAAACGUGUUGGGUUGUCUCCCAACAAGGGCUUUUCUUUAAUGUCUUUUAGCUGGGCAUGGUUAUUUCAAUGAUGCUCUUCCAAGCCUAAAUACGAUGAUGAUUUUAUUCACACUCUAAAAGAUAUAAGUGAAGUUCAUAUAGAAUUCUACAAUUAAUAUAGAUCAACCAAUAUCCAUGCUGAAAAUAUAUAAGUGAAGCACACGAAGCAUUCUAUAAGGCCAUACUCAAAAGAUUUAAGUGAAGCACGAAGAGCAUUCUAUAGAGCCAUACUCAAAAGAUUUAAGUGAAGCACAAAGAGCAUUCUACAAUGCCAUACUCAAAAGAUUUAACUGAAGCACAUGAAGCAUUAUAUAAAUCAAUAAAGGACUAUCUCAUGCUAGACGGGUGCAUAAAAGGAGAAGAAAAACACUAAGGACACAUAUCAUGUGAACAAAACAAAAACCGAGGUAUACCGAUAAUUGUGGAAGAAUAAAGAUGGGAUGCCUUCCAGGGCAUCCCCAAGAUUAGAUGCUUGAGCCUCCUUGGAAUAUUUACUUGGGGUGCCUUGGGCAUCCCCAAGAUUGAACUCUUGUCUCCGUGUAUUCAUCUUUUAUUGAUACCUCCUCGAUCUUCGAAAACUUCAUUCAUACAGAACUUAACAAAACCCUCGUGAGAUCCGUUAGUAAAAUAAAGCAAAAUACUACUUUAAGUACUGUUGUGAACUCAUUCCAAAUUCAUAUUAGAAUUAUAUCUACUGUAGUCCAACUUCACAAUGGUUCAUACCCCCAGUACUACCCAUAUAUUCAUCAAAACAAGAGAACAAUGCAUAGAAAACAAAAUUUGUCAAAAAGAGGAGAGUCUAUAGUAAUCUGGAAACUUUGUAUACUACUGUAAAUCAAACAAUUCCGAAUAAGUUGGAAGAAAUAAAAAAUAUUCAUAGAAGUAGUGUGUAAAAAGUUCAGAAACUUUUUACAUUCCAGUAAAAAACGUAAAUUCACGCACUACAACGAAAGUUUCUGUUUUUGCACUUCACACACCAAACAAGCAAUCUAAUCAUCCUAAUGGCAAAUCUUGGCAUGUUACUUUUAUAAUACAAUGGAUAUAUACAAGGGGAUAAUUAUUUUUGAGAAACUUCCAUCAAAAAUUCUACAUUGCUUACAUGAUCAUGAACACAAGUGUUCAAGGUCGACCCUCACUUCCCCAAUGCACAACCUUCCAAUCACUUCUCUUUUUGAAAACUUCUUAGGCAUAAGAGGCAAGUAAAUAUUUUUGUAUUUUUAAUUAUUUUUUUAGUUUCACCCACAAAUAAAUAAAUCAAAAUGGGAAAAAAUCUACUUAGUGAAGAAAUCAAACAAGCACAUUCGAGAAUAUCAACCCCACGCUAUUGCUCCCCGAAAACGGCGCCAGAAAAGAGCUUGAUAAUCCCCAAGUGCAAGGAAUCAUCGUGGCAAUUUCCAAAGGUGGAAGUGAUAAGUAUGGACUGUCGAACCCACAAGGAGCUAAAGGUAAGAGAAAUAUUAUCCCAAGUCCUAUAUGCCACUGACACUACUCUACGUACGCCGAACAUUUGCUUCCAACUAGGAAGGAGAAAUAAAACUACGUUGUGGGUAUGAAGAGAAUAGCUUUGCAUGACAUCGAAGAACUAAAAUAUAAAAAUAGGUGCUUUUAUCAUAAAGCUAGAAUAUGUUACAAUAUAUUAUAAAUAGCGAGUGUGGAAUAAUGAUGGGUCGGUGUGCGGAAUUGUCCUAGGCAAUUGUUAAGUAGAUUGGUAAUCAUUAUUGCAAUUUUACAUGAGGGAGAGGCAUAAGCUAACAUACUUUCUCUACUUGGAUAAUAUGCAGUUAUGAAUGGAACUCUAGCAAGCAUCCGCAACUACUAAAGAUCAUUGAGGUAAAACCCAACAAUAGCAUCAAGUCCCCUUUCUCCCAUACGCAACAACCCACCUACUCGGGUUUAUGCUUCUGUCACUCUAGCAACCCACUAUAAGAGAUCAUGAACGUAUUGCAACUCCCUACAGCGAGAAUCCCUCACGCUUGCACGACACGGAGAGCGUCAUAAGACAGAACCAAUAAUAAAUCACGCGACUCAAACCAAUCUAGAUCAUCAACCAACCCAUAAGACAAAGGGAAACUACUCAAAACAUCAUACCAUGGCAACACAUCAUUGGAUCAUAAUAUGUGGCAUGAAGCACCAUUUUCAUGUAGGGGAUUAUAGCGGGAUGCGGGAGAGUGGACCGCUAAAAAGAAGAUGAGGAUGGUGAUGAAGAAGGUGAUGUUGAUGAAGACGAUCACCGCGGUGAUGGUUCCCUCGAUGGCACUCGGCACCACCGGGAGAGAGGGGGAGAGGAUCUCCCCCUUGUGGCUCCUCCCCCAUGGUUUUCCCCCCAAGGUGGGGAGAGGUUCCCCCUCUAAUCCUUGGCAUCCAUGGUGACGAUGGCCCCUCCGUCUUCCUCCUCCAUGGUCUCCGGCGAUGGUGACCCCUCCGGCAGCGUGCCGGAGUGGGUCAAGAUUGAUUUUUCGUGGCUCUAGCUUGCGGUGGCGGAACUCCCGAUCUAGGUUUCUUUCUGGGGGUUUUGGGUUUUAUAGGAAUUUUUGGCGUCAGUCUCACGUCAAGGGGACUCCUGAGGGACUCCUCGGGAGUCCUCUCUGGUAUCUUUUUCCUCCAGUAUUUUUUAUAUUCUCCAAAAAUAUUCUUUGUAAAUUUUCAGCCCAUUCCGAGGAUUUUUAUUUAUGCACAAAAACACCACAUUAGUUCUGCCGAAAACAGCGUCACUCCGGGUUAGUUCUAAUAAAAUCAUACCAAAAUCAUAUAAAAUUAAUGUAAACAUGGCAUGAAUACUUUAUAAAUUAUAGAUACGUUGGAGACGUAUCAAGGAGCAAGAGUGGCUGGGGACGAUGUCGUGGAAAACUGUCCGGGUCGGCUGGAGCUCGGACUCCAGGAUGCCGAGCUUGUCCAUGGUGUCGCGGUAGAGGAUGUUGAUGCUGCUACCUCCCUUGAUGAGCAUCGGUGCGAAACCGGGAGGUGCUCCGUGUGGAGACGAAGGUGGGGUCGAGAACCAGCGCGUAUCCGCCUCGCGUGGGCAUCACAGGAGAAUGGUCUUGGCACCGAAGGUGACGGGCUUGUUCAACCAUUGCAUGUACUCUGGGACAGGAGGAACGAUGAUGUUGACCUACAGCGCGUGACGGCGCUCGCUGUGCUUGUCGUCGUCUUCAGUGGUGAAGACACGUACGUCGCGUCUUGCUGGGGGUAGUCGUCCCGAGCGCCGCCGGCUCCCAGAGCGGGUGGUGGUGGUGGCGGCUGCGACACGGGAGGCAAAGCCUCGUCCCGCACGAUCUUGGUGAACCAGCUGCACUGGCGUCCCGUGUGCGCUGCGGGCUUGGCCCCGUUGUCGAACUUGCAGGGUCCGUCGAGCAUGGACUCGAAUUUGUACUUGCUGUGCCAUGGAUGCUUGCCCUCAUUGGUGCACUGACGCCGGCUGGCGCCUUGGCCGUCAUCCAUACAGCCGUCGGCUGGUGCCUUGGCGGGCGUACGGCUGGUCUGCCUUACGCUUGCCCUGGUCUGGCUGGUAUCGGACGGCAGCCGGGGUGGCAGCCGGCUUGGCGGCGGUCGGCUUGGCGGUCAUGUCGACAUGCACUCGGAGCUUCAUGGAAGACUCGGUCAUGGCGUAUUGGUCGACGAUGGACAUUAGUUGCACCAGGGUCGCCGGCUCCCGGCGCACGAGUUUGCUUGAGGAGGGUGUCGUCCCGGCAGCCGUAGAUGAAGUACUGCAUCGCUUGCAACUCGUGGAUGCCAUCGCAGGAAUUUCGGAGCUCGUCCCAUCGCGUUACGUAGUCGUGGAGAAGCUCGUCCGGCCCGUGCACGCACAACGUGAGCUGGUGAGGCCGGCCCGGACGCUUGUAGGUGCCGAUGAAGUUGCACACAAACGUCUCCUAGAAGUCCAGCCAGCCGUUGACGCUGUCGGCCGGAAGGCUGUUAAGCCAGGUCCGAACCGAGCUCAGUAGCAUGUGGGGCGCGUAGCACACUGCCACACGCUUGUUGCCGCUGGCGAUGCCGACAGCGGUGGUGUAGUCGAUCAACCAUUCUUCCUGCUUGGUCAAACCGUUGUACUUGGGAGUGUCGCGCGCCAAGGUUAAGCCCUUAGAAAACGACUCCUUUAGGAAGCGCGGCCCGAAGCAGGACCGGCCAGCUGUGCCUUCCUCCUCGGCGGCUUGGGACCCGGCGAUGCACGCCAUAUGGAAGCGGGCAUCCUGGUCGUCCAGCUGACGCACGUCGACACGCUUGGAUACGGGGUGACGGGAAGGCGGAUGCUCGGCCUCCCGGUCGCGGUCCUCGCAUUGAUUCCUCCGUGUGGGCUGGUGGUCGCCCUGGCCAGUCGGCUCCCUCACACGGCUGUCGACAACUGAUGGGUUGUGGUCUCGCCGACCGUGUCUGCCCGCGCCAACUGUCAUGGUGCUGGUCGGUGUUGGCAGGUAAAGAUGCGUGAUUCGGGUCCCGCCGACUGGCCGCAAGCUAGUAGGGGCCAAUGAGGUCGUUGUUGGUCCUCGAGCGGGAGCCAGUCGUGCCGCGGAGCGACUGGCUUGCCUGCUCGUGGUGCGCGUUGGCAGCCUCCAUGAGAGCGCGGAUGUGCUCCUGCUAUGCCUCAAGGGUCGGGCCGUCGAGCCCCCUAGCUAGCCGAGGGCGGCCUCUGCGGCCCUCAUGUUCUUGACGGGGGUAUCGUAGACGGGGCAGCCGCCUACCAGCUACUGGCCAACGGCACCGCCGCAGCGCCGCACUUCCGCCACCCGGCUGGGUGCGAUGUCAGCCAGCGUGAGGCCAUGGGCCACAUUGAAAUCGUGCUGAGCAGCCUCGAACUUGCUUUGGGUCGCCUCCAACGCUUCCGCCUCCGCGAGAAGGCGCUCGCGGUGGUUGUCCAGUUCCGCGGUUGCGGCCGCAGGGUCAGCCACAACCAGGAUGGGCACGCGUAGUGUGUCUAGUGAAGCGCAAAGAGGGGUGCGGUACGCGGACGUACCACCCAGGGAGAUGGCAAUCAUUACCUCCACACGGAUGCAUAGGACGUCGAUGUCGCUAGAGAGGUCGUCGUCGGACGACGACAUGACAUCACCACAUGACGGCAGACGACGGGUUACUCGUCGGAGAUGACGGCGACAUAGAAGCGGUGGGACCCGAAGGCGACGAAGGAGCCGUUGUCGGGGAAGUCUGCAUCCUCGAGGCGAUGGGCGUUGUCCUUGACACAGUUGAGUGCGUCGUAGCACAGGAGCAAGCCAUGCGCCACGCGCUCGCCAGAAAGGGUUACGGGUCCCGCCCAGAACGUCACUCCGGCCUGCAUCGCUGCCGGCCCUACGGUGGGCACCAACUAUCAUAGUAUUUCCGCGGCAGAUGCCAGGGGGUGGCUUAGAACAUGGUUUGGGGCCGAUGGGUGUGAUACAUCUCCACCGUAUCUAUAAUUUAUGAACUAUUCAUGCCAUGUUUACAAUAAUUCUAUAUGAUAUUGGUAUGAUAUUAUUAGAACUAACCCGGAGUGACGCUGUUUUCAACAAAGCUACCGUGUUGUUAUUUUUGUGCAGAAAUAAAAGUUCUCAGAAUGGGCUGAAAAUUUACGGAGAAUAUUUUUGGAAAAUAUGAAAAAUAAUGGAGCAAAAAGAUACCGGAGAGGAGUCCCGAGGCAGUCACCAGGGCGCGACCCCCCCUAGGUCGUGCCCCUGGCUUGUGGGCCCGUCGAGCACUCCCGUGACAUGGUUCCAACGCCAAAUAUUCUUAUAAAUAUAGAAACCCUCGAAAAGAAACUUUGAUCAGGAGUUCCCCCGCAGCAAGCCUCCAGAGCCAUGAAAAACCAAUCUUGGCCCGCUCUCGCACCCUGCCGGAGAGGGCCACCAUCACCGGAGACCAUGGAGGAGGAAUACGGAGGGGCCAUCAUCACCAUGGAGGCGAAGGACCAUAGGGAGAACCUCUCCCCACCUUUGGGGGAGGCCACGAAGGAGGAGGCACAAGGGGGAGAACCUCUCCACCUCUCUCCUGGUGGUGCCAGACGGCCACAUGGGGAACCAUCGCCGCGGUGAUCGUCUUCAUCAACAUCACCUUCUUCAUCACCAUCCUCAUCUUCUUUUAGCAGUCCACUCUCCCGCACCCCAAUGCCAUCCCCUACUUGAACAUGGUGCUCUAUGCCACAUAUUACGAUCCAAUGAUGUGUUGCCAACCUAUGAUGUUUUGAGUAGAUUCCCUUUGUCUUAUGGGUUGAUUGAUGAUCUAGAUUGGUUUGAGUUGCAUGCUUUAUUAUUGGUGUUGUCCUAUGGUGCUCUCCGUGUCGCGCAAGCAUGAGGGAUUCCCUUUGUAGGGUGUUGUAAUACGUUCAUGAUUCNNNNNNNNNNNNNNNNNNNNNNNNNNNNNNNNNNNNNNNNNNNNNNNNNNNNNNNNNNNNNNNNNNNNNNNNNNNNNNNNNNNNNNNNNNNNNNNNNNNNNNNNNNNNNNNNNNNNNNNNNNNNNNNNNNNNNNNNNNNNNNNNNNNNNNNNNNNNNNNNNNNNNNNNNNNNNNNGGUUGCUUGAGUGACAGAAGCAUAAACCCGAGUAGGUGGGUUGUUGCGUAUGGGAUAAAGCGGACUUGAUGCUUUAAUGCUAUGGUUGGGUUUUACCUUAAUGAUCUUUAGUAGUUGUGAUGCCUACUAGAGUUCCAACCAUAAGUGCAUAUGAUCAAAGUAGAUAAAGUAUGUUAGCUUAUGCCUCUCCCUCAUAUAAAAUUGCAAUAAUGAUUACCCAUCUUGUUAACAAUUGCCUAGGACAAUUGCGCACGCCGACCCAUCAUUAUUCCACACUCUCUAUUUGUAACACAUUAUAAUAUAUUCUAACUUUAUGAUAAUAGCACCAAUUUUCAUAUUUUAGUUCUCCAAUUUCAUGCAAAACUAUUCUCUUCAUACCCACAACGUAAUUUUAUUACUCGUUCCUAGUUGGAAGCAAACGUUCGGCGUAUGUAGAGUUGUAUCAGUGGCAGAUAGGAGAGAAUAUUGCUCUUACCUUUAGCUCCUUGUGGGUUCGACACUCCAUACUUAUCAUUUCCACCUUUGGAAAUUGCUACGAUUAUUCCUUGCACUUGGGGAUUAUCAAGCUCUUUUCUCGCGCCGUUGCCGGGGAGCAAUAGUGUGGGGUUGAUAUUCUCAUGUGUGCUUGUUUGCUUUCUUCACUAAGUAUAUUUUGUUUUCCCUUUUUGAUCUAUUUAGUUGUGGUUGAAACAAACAAAAAAAUUGAAUAAUGAAAAAUACAAAAAGAAUUACUUGCCUCUUAUGCCUAAGAAGUUUUCAAAAAGGGAAGUGAUUGGAAGGUUGUGCAAUGGAGAAGUGAGGAUCGACCUUGAACACUUGUGUUCAUGAUCAUGGAAGCAAUGUAGAUUUUUUUUCAUGGAAGUUUCUCAAAAAUAAUUAUCCCCUUAUAUAUAUAUCCAUUGUAUUAUAAAAAUAAUGUGCCAAGAUUUGCCUCUAGGAUGAUUAGAUUGCUUGUUUGGUGUGUGGUGUGCAAAAUAGAAACUUUGGCUCCACUCCGCGAGUUUACGUUUUUUACUGGAAUGUCAAAAGUGUCUGAAAUUUUUACAAAAAAAUUAUUUCGUGCUAAUUAGUCAGAAUAUUUUGAGUUACAGAAGUAUACGAAGUUUUCAGAUUGCUACAAAUUGUACUGUUUUGACAGAUUCUGUUUUCUUACGAUUGUUCUCUUGUUUUCAUGAAUCUAUGGGUAGUACCGGGGGGUAUGAACCAUGGUGAACUUGGACUACAUUAGAUAUAAUUCUAAUAUGAAUUUGGAAUGAGUUCACAACAGUACUUAAAGUAGUAUUUUUCUUUAUUAUACUAACGGAUCUCACGAGAGUUUUAUUAAGUUUUGUAUGAAUGAAGUGUCCGAAGAUCGAGGAGGUAUCGUUAAAAGAUGAAUACAGGGAGACAAGAGUUCACGAUUGGGGAUACCCAAGGCACGCCAAGUAAAUAUUUCAACGAGGCUCAAGCAUCUAAUCUUGGGGAUGCCCUCGAAGGCAUCCCAUCUUUAUUCUUCAACAAUUAUCGGUAUACCUUGGUUUUUGUUUUGUUCACAUGAUAUGCGUCCUUAGUGUUUUUCUUAUCCUUUUAUGCACCUUUCUAGUAUGAUAUAGUCCUUCAUUGAUUUAUAGAAUGCUUCAUGCGCUUCACUUAAAUCUUUUGAGUAUGGCUUUGUAGAAAGCUCUUGGUGCUUCACUUAAAUCUUUUGAGUACGGCUCUAUAGAGUGCUCUUCGUGCUUCACUUAAAUCUUUUGAGUAUGGCCUUAUAGAACGCUUCGUGUGCUUCACUUAUAUAUUUUCAGCUUAGAUAUUGGUUGAUCUAUAUUAAUUGUAGAAUGCUCUAUGAACUUCACUUAUAUCUUUUAGAGUAUGAAUAAAAUUAUCAUCGCAAUUAGGCUUGGACGAGCAUCAUUGAAAUGAUCAUGCCUAGCUAAAAGGCAUUAAAGAAAAUCGUUUAUUGGGAGAUGAUGUCCCACAAGCGUAUGGGAUCACAGCAGUUUUCGAGGGUAGAGUAUUAGACCCAAAUUUAUUGAUUCGCUCACAAGGUGAAGCUAAAGGAUAUUCUCAAGUAUUGGCAGCUGAGUUGUCAAUUCAACCACACCUGAAAAAUUAGUGUCUGCGAGCAAAGUAUCAGUAGCAAGGUAGUAUGAUAGCAACGGCACCAGAAAAAGCUUUGGCAAUGAUACGUCUCCAUCGUAUCUACUUUUCCAAACUCUUUUGCCCUUGGUUUGGACUCUAAUUUGCAUGAUUUGAAUGGAACUAACCUGGACUGACGUUGUUUUCAGCAGAAUUGCCUUGGUGUUAUUUUUGGGCAGAAAUCAAAGUUCUGAGAACGUCCUGAAAAUUUACGGGGAACAUUUUUGGAAAAUAUGAAAAAUACCUGCGCAAAGAUCCACCUCAGGGGGUGGGCGAGUGGGCCACAAGCCCUGCCUCCACCACCCCCCUGGUGGCGGUGGAUAAGCUUGUGGGGCCCACACGACUCUGCCGCCCCCAAUCUCAGGUCUAUAAGUUCACUUUCGUCCCAGAAAAAAAUAAAAAGAGAAGAUUUCGUCGCAUUUGCGAUAUGGAGGCGCCGCCACAACCUGUUCUUCAUCUGGAGGGCAGAUGUGGAGUCCGUCUUGGGCUCCGGAGAGGGGAAAUCGUCACCAUCAUCAUCAUCAACCUUCUUCCCUCUCCAAUUCCAUGAAGCUCUUCGUCGUUCGUGAGUAAUCUAUUCGUAGGCUCGCUGGGCGGUGAUGGGUAGGAUGAGAUCUAUCAUGUAAUCGAGUUAGUUUUGAUGGGGAUUGAUCCCUAGUAUCCACUAUGUUCUGAGAUUGAUGUUGCUACUACUUUGCCAUGCUUAAUGCUUGUCACUAGGGCCCGAGUGCCAUGAUUUCAGAUCUGAAAUUAUUAUGUUGCCACCAAUAGAUGUGUGUUUUAGAUCCGAUCUUGCAAGUUGUAGUUACCUACUAUGUGUUAUGAUCCGGCAACCCCGGAGUGACAAUAACCGGAACCACUCCCGGUGAUGACCAUAGUAUGAGGAGUUCAUGUGUUCACCAAGUGCUAAUGCGUUGGUCCGGUUCUUUAUUAAAAGGAGAACCUUAAUAUCCCAUAGUUUCCUUUUGGACCCCGCUGCCACGGGAGGGAUGGACAAUAGAUGUCAUGCAAGUUCUUUUCCCUAAGCAUGUAUGACGACACACGGAAUGCAUGCCUACAUCACAUUGACGAACGGGAGCUAGCCACAUAUCUCUCCGUGUUAUAAUUGUUGCAUGAUGAAUAUCACCCAAACAAAUCACCGACCCAUUGCCUACGAGUUUGUCCUACUGUUGAUGUUACUUGUCUUGCUCUGCUGCUGUUACUUGUCUUGCUCUGCUGCUACUGUUGCUACUACUGUCGCUUACCACUGGGUUACUUGCUACUUUGCUGUUACUACUUUGCUUGCAGAUACUAAUCUUUCAGGUGUGGUUGAAUCUGACGCAUUCAGCUGCUAAUACACGAGAGUAUUCUCUCACCUCCUGUCUGGCGAAUCAACAAAUUUGGGUCGAAUACUCUACCCUAGAAAACUGCUGCGAACCCACGCGCUGGUGGGCCGUCAACAACAUUCUUCUAGUUUCAUUGCCAGGGAGUGCUGGUAGCAUUCUUCUGGUUCCGUUGCAGGAGAAGGUUUGUUGUCACAGAAUCCGCAUUCGUCUAGCUAUUGCCAGAGAGUGCCAGUCAGCAUUUUUCUGGCGCCGUUGCCGGGGAGGUAUUGCUAUAUUCUCUGAGUCACUUGGGAUUUAUAUCUAAAGAUCACUAUGAAGAAUCUGAAGGAUCCAAAAACCAAAGUCUUGCCCUCAACUACGAGGGGAGGUAAGGAACUGCCAUCUAGCUCUGCACUUGAUUCACCUUCUGUUAUGAGUAAGUUUGCGACAUCACCUCCUUCUAGAAAUCUUGAUAUGUCGCCUGUGCUUGAUGAUGCUACUACUAGAGAUGCUAUGCUUGAUACUAUGCCUGAUACUGCUUUGUCUGAUGAUGUUAGAGAUACUAUGCAUGAUACUGCUUUGCCUGAUAUUGCUAGAGAUACUAUGCUUGAUAUUGCUAGAGAUGCUAUGCUUGAUACUGCUUUGCCUGAUGAUGCUAUGCUUGAUACUGCUAGAGAUACUACUUUGCCUGAUGUUCCACUAGGGGUAUUCCUUGAUGCUCAUAUUGCUAGAGUUACUUCCAAUGAUCGUGAUGCUUCUGAAACUGCCGAUACUAUUGAGAUAGAACCUGCUUUUGCUCCUGCUAGAUCUAGCUUUCCUAGAUAUGAAUUGCCUGAUAUACCUGAGGGUUACGUUAUGGAGGGAGAGAUAGCUGAGGAUUUUCUUGCAUGUAAGGAUGCCUAUGACACUGAGAAAUUACUUCUCAAGUGGAAGGAAAAAUCUCUGAAAGCUAGGAUGAAAUACGACCCGAAGUUUGCCACUUCACCUAUCUUUAUCACCCAUAAGGAUUAUGAAUUCUCUGUCGACCCCGAGAUAAUCUCUCCAGUCGAAUCUGAUCCUUUCCACGGUUAUGAGUCUGAGACGGUCGUAGCCCAUCUUGCCAAACUACACGAUAUAGCCACCCUUUUCACUAAUGAGGAGAAGAUCCGCCACUACUAUAUCCUUAAGUUGUUUCCUUUUUCCCUGAAGGAUGAUGCUAAAGCCUGGUUCACCUCUCUUGCUCCUGGAUGUGUGAGUAGUCCCCAGGAUAUGGUCUAUUACUUCUGUGAGAAAUAUUUUCCUGCCCAUAAGAGGCAAGCUGCCUUGCAGGAAAUAUACAACUUUGCUCAACUCCAAGAAGAGAGUCUUCCACAAGCUUGGGGGAGGCUCGUCCAGCUACAGAAUGCUUUGCCUGAUCACCCUCUUAAGAAGAACGAGAUACUUGAUAUCCUCUAUAACGGACUUAUCGAUGCCUCUAGAGACCAUCUAGAUAGUUGUGCCGGUUGUGUUUUUAGGGAACAAACUGCAGAACAAGCUGAGACCCUACUGAAUAACAUCUUGAUCAACGAUAAUGUUUCGACUAUUCCCGAACCACGUCCUAAGCCAACUCCUAAGAAAUAAGGUAUUCUAUUCCUCAGUCCCGAAGAUAUGCAAGAAGCCAAGAAAUCUAUGCAAGAGAAAGGCAUUAGAUCUGAAGAUGUCAAAAAUCUACCACCUAUCGAAGAGAUCCAUGGUCUCAAUAACCCGAUACAGGUAGUAGAAGUAAAUUCUCUGCGUAGGUUUGAUGAGAGUGAUAUUCGUUUUGACGAACCUGCUAGCCUAUGCUUUGAUGAAUUUGACAACUUUGUUGCCAAACAACAGAGUUUCAGUGAUUAUGUUAGCAGACAUUUGGAACAAAGUACUCGUAUGCUUAGCCAUUUAAGUGCUUGUGUAGACAGAAAUGUCAAUGAUCUGAAGCUUCUGACUAAAAAUGCCUCUAUGAUUACUACUCAGGUAGAAAAAGUACUUAAAGCUUAGAAUGACUUGCUCAAUGAAUUAAAUGACAACUCUGUCAGAGUCAUUACUAGAGGAGGCAAAAUGACUCAGGAACCUUUGUAUCCUGAAGGUCAUCCUAAGAGAAUUGAUCAAGAUUCUCAAGGAAUCAAUGCUGAUACACCCAGUCAUCCUAAGGAGAAGAAGAAGGAUGAUAGACACCUACAUGCCAGUUCACCAAAUACUGGCACACCUGAAGAACCUAAUGAUAUUUCUGCGUCUGAUGCAGAAACACAAUGUGGUGAUGAACAUGAACCUGGUGACAAUAUGGAUAGCGAUGUUCAUAAUAAUGCUCAACCUAGCAAUGAUGAGGAUGUGGAGAUUGAACCUACGGUUAAUCAUGAUAAACCACAACCUAAGAGAUACGAUAAGAAUGACUUCACUGCUAGGAAGCAUGGUAAAGAAUGGGAGCCAUGGGUUCAGAGAUCUAUGCCCUUUCCUCCUAAGCCAUCCAAGAAAAAGGAUGAUGAGGAUUUUGAGCGCUUCGUUGAGAUGAUAAGACCCAUCUUUCUGCAGAUGCGGUUAACUAAUAUGCUCAAGAUGUCUCCGCAUGCCAAGUACAUGAAAGAUAUCGUGACUAAUAAACGGAAGAUACCAGAUCUUGAGAUCUCCACCAUGCUUGCCAAUUACACUUUCAAAGGUGGAACUCCUAAGAAACUUGGUGAUCCCGGAGUGCCCACUAUACCUUGUUCCAUUAAAGGAAACUACGUAAGAACUGCCUUAUGUGACCUUGGAGCCGGUGUUAGUGUUAUGCCGCUCUCUCUUUAUCGUAGACUUGAGUUGGAUAAGUUGACACCCACUAAAAUUUCUCUGCAAAUGGCCGACAAAUCAACUGCUUUUCCUAUCGGCAUUUGCGAGGAUGUGCCUGUUGUGGUUGCUAAUACCACUAUCUUAACAGACUUUGUUAUCUUGGAUAUUCCCGAGGAUGAUGCCAUGGCUGUCAUCCUCGGAAGACCCUUUUUAAACACUGCAGGGGCUGUUAUAGAUUGCAACAAAGGCAAUGUCACUUUCCAUGUCAACGGUAAUGAGCACACAGUGCACUUUCCGAAGAAACGAUAUCAACUACAUUGCAUCAAUGCUAUUGAAAAGACUUCAUCGAUUCUUAUUGGGAGCUUUGAAUGCCCUAUUCCUCGUGUCAAGAUGAAGUAUGAUUUGCUUGUUGGGGAGAUACAUAUCCCCAUUGAGGUGACUUAGUGGCUAUUCGAAAAUUCUCCGUUCUCUCUUGCGAUUCGAGAAGGUUUUUUCAUGAGGACUUGAUCAACCCAUUGACGGAUUUCUUUCGAUGACCAUGAAAUGGAUGAAUCAAAGAGUCACAUACCUCUGUUUUGAGCUUUCAUUUUCUGUUGCUUAGAAGAAAAAUGAUGGAAUUAGUUUAGCUUUUCCUGUUUUCUCUUUUAGCGUCCCGGAGAAAAAUACCUCGAAAAUAAAAGUUCUCCGAUGGUCUUGAAAAUUUAGUUUGAUUUUUUCUGGAAUUUUUGAAAAUUACUGGGCCUGAGAGAUGGCCUGGGGGCGAGACCAGUGGGCCACAAGCCCUGCCACCGCCACCCCCCUGGUGGCGGAGAGAAAGCUUGUGGGGCCCACACGGACCCCCUCCACUCAUUCCAGCUCCCAGCCUCUUCUUCCACCUCCAGAAAAAAAUUGUUUCGCAGCUCAAACCCGUGUUCUUGCUCAUUUGGCUGUGAUUUUGGAUCUCCUUGCUCAAAGCACCAUUCUCCGAACCGUUCUGGGGAAAUUACUCCUUGGUAAGUGACUCCUCCAUUGGUCCAAUUAGUUUUUGCUCUAGUGCUUUAUCCUUCGCGUAUUCUUGCUACCUUGGUGACCCUGUUCUUGAGCUAGAAAAGUUUAUUUUAGCUAGACCCAAGUAGUUUUAGCGCGUGAUACGGUCUCUAGGCACUAGUAGGAGUAGUUGCUACAAGUUGGGUUAAUCUUUUUUCACUUUUCUUUCGAAGUCUCUAAACAUUUCAGAAUUUUUCAGAGCUAGAAAAAGGAAAAGAUGAAGAGGUUCUUGAGAGGCUCUUCAAGCCGUAACCCCAAGGAGGAUGAGAAGAACCACCCCAAGUAUGUAGUCCCUCGAGUCACAGAAGUUCGAGCGUGCGAGUGGCCAAGUGAUGAAUUUUUGCGCGCCACCGGACUUUAUGAAGACUUUUACUACUUGGUGGAGAACGCGGGUCUUACCGCGUUCGUUGAAGAUAAGUGCUCACAAUACCUCUUCCUCACCAAUAUUUUUGUUCAAAGCUUCAACUUUUAUCCGAGGAAGAAUCCUCGCAUGGUUGAGUUCAUGAUAUACGACAUCCCCCAGUGCAUGACACUACAGGAUUUUUGGAAUGUAUGCAAAUUACCUUGUGUUGGCGAUAUCCGUGACCCUCGUCCACAGGACUUGGAGGAUUUCAUUGGUUCUACUGCUGUUGGAGAGGAGAGAGGAGUGUCUCGCGCUAGAAUUGUUAGCAUACAUUUUCCUAUGCUCCGGUAGUUCUCACUAUUUGUGGGAAAAUGUUUGAUUGGCCGUGGGGAGGCUGGAUCACUUAGUUCUCCAGACCUUGCAGUUUUACGCGAAGACCUUUAUAACGAUAAGGCUUAUAGCCUAGGUGUUAUAGUGGCCCAGCGGUUGAACACCAACCGUUCCAAGGGUGUCGUCUAUGGAGGUAUCUAUGCUACCCGUCUUGCCAGACACUUUGAGAUACCCAUUAGACUGGGAGAGGAAGGAGAGAUGCUUCUCCCCGAGAAAUAUCUGGAUUAUGACAGCAUGGUUCGCCAUGAUUAUCUGGAUAGAGAUGCUAGUAUAUGGAUGAUUUAUAACCUGGUAUUUAGUCAGGGUACUCGAGAGACUAUUACUUUGCCUGCCCCUUCUUUGUUUGAUCUUCAUGCAGACAGGUACACUAUUAUGCCCUCGGACAUCUACGCAUAUUGGGGCCUGGCCCAACCACACGCGCCCGUGCCCGAGCCGUCAGUCGAGUAUCAGACGCCAGUUUAUCAGUGGGAGCCAGAGGAGCUCACACAGCAGUGGCAUCCACAGUCUGCUCCGGAGUAUCCUGGAGCUGGUGAAUUCCCACCAUGGGAGUAGUCCAAGCUAGGCCAAAAGCCUAAGCUUGGGGGAGUACGUGUUCUCACCGACUUUACAUUCAUGCUUAUGCUUUCACUUUGUUAGCCGGUGUUUACACUUUGCCACUGUAUUAUCCAUGCUAGUUUAUUUUUUUUUCUUGUUUUCUUGUUUUGUGUCCUUUUGAGAAAAUCCAAAAAGAUUUUUCUUUCUUCUUUUGCUUGUUGGGAGCUUUCCCGUGUAAAUAGUGUUCUUUUUCUUUGGGUCAAGGUAGAAGAUAUUGGUUACAAUGUUUAGUGGUUCUUGCAUGCAUACCUGUUUAGCUUUCAAAGAGCCAUAUUACCUUGUCUUCUCCUUUGUGUUUGCCUGCAGAUUCACCUUAGUCCAAUGCGCGAGCACUCUUAUUAUUGUUCACAUCGUUCGGUCAUGCAAAUGAAAGGCAAUAAUGAUGAUAUAUGAUGAAGUGACUAAGACUGAAAAGCUGGUAUGAGCUCUAUCUAUUUUGUUUUUGUAAAUAUGACUAGCUUGUCAUCCCAGAUUCAACUUUGUUGUGAGAGAACCAUGUUUGCAAUGACAACUUUGAGAUCAUAGUUUCUGAUUCCAUGCUUAUUUAGCUAGGAGCUUAUAAUGGUUUGUCUUGAAUGCCAACAUAGAUUUUGAGAUGACUAUGAUGUAGUAUGAUAGGAUGGUAUUCUCCUUUGAAUGUUUCAAGUGGCUUGACUUGGCGCAUGUUCAUGCAUGUAGUUGAAACAAAAUCAACAUAGCCUCUAUGAUGUUCGUUUUCAUGGUGAUUUAUAUCCUAUUCAUGCUUGCAUUCAAUGUUAGUCAAACGCAUUGCAUCUUGAUGACUGUUGUCGCUCUCUAGUUGGUCGCUUCCCAGUCUUUUGCUAGCCUUCACUUGUACUAAGCGGAAUACUGCUUGUGCAUCCACUUCCAUAAACCCAAGAGUUUUUCCAUGAGAGUCCACCAUACCUCCCUAUUUGCGGUAUCUACCUGCCGUUCCAAGUGAAUUUGCAUGUGACAUUCUCUAAACCAUCAAGAAAUAAUCUGUUUUGCAUGUCGGAACCGCUCAUGUGGUGACAGGGGGCUAUUGGUAUCUUCCAUGCUAGGAGUGUUAUCCUCGACAUGUGUUUAUUCACUGUCAUUCACGAGAAAGGGGCCGGUAAUAGGAAUGCCCAGUUCCACGCUUAAAUCAAAAACAUAACUGUAAAACAAGACCCCCCCCCCCCGGGUUGAUGUUAGUAUGGAUGGUACCCGAGGAUUCGGCUAGCCGUGGAUUGUGAUUGAUUGGUGGUGGGGGAGUUAAAACUUUACUUUUUUGUUUGGGAACUGCCUAUAGCAUGAGUAGCAUGGAAGAUAUUGAGAACUCUUGGUCAUUGCGUUGACAAUGAAAGCAUGCCACCCAAAAUUAUUAUCUCUGUUUUCAAAGCUUGAGCUCUGGCACCUCUGCAAAUCAAUGCUUCCCUCUGCGAAGGGCCUCUCUAUUUAUUUUCCUAUUGAGUCAUCCUCCUCUUAUAUAAGCACCAAUUAGAGAGCACUUCUGUCAUUUUUAUGCUUUGCUUUUGAUUGGUAUUGAGUAUGACUAUGACUGGAUCUUCGUUUUUAUGAAUUACAAUGUUUAGUCACCCCUUGAUCUUUGAAAGUGCUCUGCAUUUAUGUUUUGUGGUCUCAGAAAGAGCUAGCGAGAUACCACCUAUUCAUAUUGCUCCAUGCUUGUUUUGAUUGAAGUGUUGGUAUUUGAAACUCAUUAUUAUUUGCUCGUUAGCUGAUUAUGACAUUGAUAUUAGUUUACCGUGAGACCUUUGUGUCACUUGCUUAUGUGGUUAACUUGUGAUAUUGCUGAAAUUGUGGUUAUGAGUUAGACAUAGUUGCAACAACAAGAUCAAACAGAGUUUGUCAAAGUUUUUCUUUCUCUCUCAGUUUGUCAACUGAGUUGCUUGAGGACAAGCAAGGUUUUAAGCUUGGGGGAGUUGAUACGUCUCCAUCGUAUCUACUUUCCAAACUCUUUUGCCCUUGUUUUGGACUCUAAUUUGCAUGAUUGAAUGGAACUAACCUGGACUGACGCUAUUUUCAGCAGAAUUGCCUUGGUUUUAUUUUUGUGCAGAAAUCAAAGUUCUCAGAACGUCCUCAAAAUUUACGGGAACAUUUUUGGAAAAUAUGAAAAAUACCUAUGGAAAGAUCCACCUGAGGGGGUGGGCCAGUGGGCCACAAGCCCUGCCUCCGCCACCCCCUGGUCGCGGUGGGCAAGCUUGUGGGGCCCACACGGCUCUACCGCCCCCAAUCUCAGGUCUAUAAGUUCACUUUCGUCCCAGAAAAAAUAAAAAGAGAAGAUUUCGUCGCGUUUGCGAUACGGGGGCGCUGCCACAACCUAUUCUUCAUCUGGAAGGCAGAUCUGGAGUCCGUCUUGGGCUCCGGAGAGGGGAAAUCGUCGCCAUCGUCAUCAUCAACCUUCUUCCCUCUCCAAUUCCAUGAAGCUCUUCGUCGUUCAUGAGUAAUCUAUUCGUAGGCUCGCUGGGCGGUGAUGAGUAGGAUGAAAUCUAUCAUGUAAUCGAGUUAGUUUUGAUGGGGAUUGAUCCCUAGUAUCCACUAUGUUCUGAGAUUGAUGUUGCUACUACUUUGCCAUGCUUAAUGCCUGUCACUAUGGCCCGAGUGCCAUGAUUUCAGAUCUGAAAUUAUUAUGUUGCGACCAAUAUAUGUGUGUUUUAGAUCCGAUCUUGCAAGUUGUAGUUACCUACUAUGUGUUAUGAUCCGGCAACCCCAGAGUGACAAUAACCGGAACCACUCCCAGUGAUGACCAUAGUUUGAGGAGUUCAUGUGUUCACCAAGUGCUAAUGCAUUGGUCCGGUUCUUUAUUAAAAGGAGAACCUUAAUAUCCCAUAGUUUCCUUUUGGACCCCGCUGCCAAAGGAGCGAUGGACAAUAGAUGUCAUGCAAGUUCUUUUCCCUAAGCACGUAUGACGACACACGGAAUGCAUGUCUACAUUACAUUGACGAACGGGAGCUAGCCACAUAUCUCUCCGUGUUAUAACUAUUGCAUGAUGAAUAUCAUCCAAACAAAUCACCGACCCAUUGCCUACGAGUUUGUCCUACUGCUGUUGUUACUUGUCUUGCUCUGUUGCUGUUACUUGUCUUGCUCUGCUGCUACUGUUGCUACUACAGUCGCUUGCCACUGCCGUUACUCGCUACAUUGCUGUUACUACUUUUCUUGCAGAUAUUAAUCUUUCAGGUGUGGUUGAAUCUGACGCAUUCAGCUGCUAAUACUCGAGAGUAUUCUCUCACCUCCUGUCUGGCGAAUCAACAAAUUUGGGUCGAAUACUCUACCCUCGAAAACUGCUGUGAACCCACGCGUUGGUGGGCCGUCAAUAACAUUCUUCUAGUUUCAUAGUCGGGGAGUGCUAGUAGCAUUCUUCGGGUGCCAUUGCAGGGUAAGUUUUGUUCUCAUAGAAUCAGCAUUCGUCUAGCUAUUGCCAGACAGUGCCGGUCAGGCAAUUCCCAGCAAUGGCGCCAUAAAAAGGCACGUUGACGGGAUGUUAGCGCCAACAAAGUCUUGCAACAAGUAACAGCGGAGUAGGAAGGAACAGUAGUAGCAGCAGCAGCAAAGUAACAAGUAACAGCAGUAGCGACAGCAGCAGCAAAGUGGCCCAAUCCCUCUUGUAGCAAGGGACAAGCCUAGGCAAAGUAACAUAGCGAGGACCAGUAGUAAAAGACUCGUAGGCAGUGGAUCGGUGAUGGAUGAGUAUGACGGAUGUGAUUCAUCAUGUAAUAGCUAUAACACGGAGAGAUAUGUGACUAGCUCCCGUUCAUCAAUCUGAUGUAGGCAUGUAUUCCGUAUGUAGUCAUACGUGCUUAUGGAAAAGAACUUGCAUGCCAUCUAUUGUCCAUCCCUCCCAUGGCAGCGGGAUCCUAAUGGAAGCUACGGGAUAUUAAGGUUCUCCUUUUAAUAAAGAACCGGACCAACGCAUUAACACGCGGUGAACACAUGAACUCCUCAUACCAUGGUCAUCUCCGGGAGUGGUUCCGGCUAUUGUCACUCCGGGGUUGCCGGGUCAUAACACAUAGUAGGUGACUACAACUUGCAAGAUAGGAUCUAAAACACACAUAUAUUGGCGACAACAUAAUAGGUUCAGAUCUGAAAUCAUGGUACUCGGGCCCUAGUGACAAGCAUUAAGCAUAGCCAAGUAGUAGCAACAUCAAUCAAGAACAUAGUGGAUACUAGGGAUCAAUCCCCGUCAAGAACUAACUCGAUUACAUGAUAGAUCUCAUCCAACUCAUCACCGUCCAGCAAGCCUACGAUGAGAUUACUCACGAACGAUGAAGAGCAUCAUGGAAUUGUCGAUGGAGAACGGUUGAUGAUGACGAUGGCGACGAUUGCCCCUCUCCGGAGCUCGAAACGGACUCCAGAUCUGCCCUCCAAAUGAAGAACAAGAUGUGGUGGCGCCUUCGUAUCGCAAAACGCGAUGAAACCUUCUCUCUGAUUUUUUCCGUCGAAACGGAAGAUAUAGAGCUGAGUUUGGGGGCGGUGGAGCCACGUGGGCCCCACAAGACAGCAUGGCGCGGCCUAGGGGGGUGGCCGCAUCGUGUGGGCUUGUGGCCCACUGGCACACCCCCCCCCCCUCACGUGGAUCUUUGCGCAGGUAUUUUUCUUUUAUUCCAGAAAAAAUCUCCGUAAAUUUUCAGGAUGUUCCGAGAACUUUUAUUUCUGCACAAAAACAACACCAUGGCAAUUCUGCUGAAAACACCGUCAGUCCGGGUUAGUUCCAUUCAAAUCAUGCAAGUUAGAGUCCAAAACAANNNNNNNNNNNNNNNNNNNNNNNNNNNNNNNNNNNNNNNNNNNNNNNNNNNNNNNNNNNNNNNNNNNNNNNNNNNNNNNNNNNNNNNNNNNNNNNNNNNNNNNNNNNNNNNNNNNNNNNNNNNNNNNNNNNNNNNNNNNNNNNNNNNNNNNNNNNNNNNNNNNNNNNNNNNNNNAGUCCGGGUUAGUUCCAUUCAAAUCAUGCAAAUUAGAGUCCAAAACAAGGGCAAAAGAGUUCGGAAAAGUAGAUACGAGGGAGACAUAUCAGGAGACAACCCAACACUUUUACCUUCUAUUUUUGUGAGUUCACAUGAUUAAGCUACUGUAGUAAUCAUGUUUUGUGUCUUUUAUUUCAAUAAAGUGUCAAGUAAAGCCUUUGGAAUGACUCACAAGAUGAGUAGAAUUGAUGCCGAACCAAAACAGAAACUUUUCACUCAAGUACAUGAAUUUUCAUUUUUUUACCAAAGCGUGAUAAUGAUUUAAAAUUUUACACAGUAUUUAUAUAUAAAUUCUCCUGGUUUUGCUAAUUUUUUAGAAUUUUGAUAGACAGGGAAGUAUGGCUAUACUACAGAGUUCUAUAAAUUAUGGGAAACAUGGCUACUGUUCUGUUUUCGACAGAUUAUGUUUUGUAUGCAUAGUCUGCUUAUUUUAGUGUUCCCAUAGCUUAUAUUCAGUAAUAUAAAUUAUGGGAAUGAUAGAAUACAGUAGGUAUAAUGUGGUAACUAUUAUGAAUCUUGUCUUGACAGUACCUAAGUGAAUGAUCUAUCUUUAUUACACUAAGCUUUCUCACAAAGUUCCGUUAAGUUUUGUGUGAUUGAAGUUUUCAAGUUUUGGGUGAGACAUCGAUAUGAGGAGAACAAGGACUGACAAGUACCUAAGCUUGGGUAUGCCCAAGUUACCCCAAGGUAAUAUCCGUUGAAGACUCAAGUGUCUAAGCUUGAGGAUGCCCCGGAAGCAUCCCCUCUUUCAUCUCCAACGCUAUACGUAAUCUUACUUAGAGCUAUAUUUUUAUUCGUCUCGUAAUAUGUGUUUUUCUUGGAGCAUCAUUUUAUUCUAUUGAUUUCUGUUAGAUGUUAUUUAUAAUUUUGUUUUCUAUAAAAAUCCAAGAAUUGUAUUAGGAUGCUUGCAUUGCAUGGUUUGAUGUGUGCUGUAUAAAAACAGAAACUCUUGUUGUAGUGUUUGAAUUUUCAUAUUUUACUAGAAUGUGGAAAGUUUGUGAAAUAUUUACACAAAUUUUUCUUAUAAAUUUUAUAGAAUGAACUAAAUUUGCAUAAUUUUUUGAGUUACACAAGUAGACUGUUUUCAUAAAUUGCUACAAACUGUUCUGUUUGGAUAGAUUGUUGUCAUAGUUUUGUUAUCUACUUAUCAUAUAGUUUCCAUAGCCUAUAUUGGUAGAUAUAAAUUGUGGAAACGAUAGUAAACAGUACAUGAUGUUUGAAAGUUAUUAUACAACUUUUCUUGUCAGUACAUGAAGAGUUGAUUUAUUAUUGUGUGUACUAACCUAUCUCAUGAGUUCUUUUCGAGUUCUGUGUGGAUGAAGUUUUUUAGAAAAGGUGAAACCAUGAUAUGAGAGGAUUGAAUGAGAAACAAAAGCUCAAUCUUGGGGAUGCCCAAGGCAUCGCAAGUAAAUAUUUCAAGAACUCUCAAGUAUCUAAGCUUGGGGAUGCUACGCAUCCCACCUCUCUUUGUCAACUAUCGGUUAGCCUAUCUUGAGCCUAAAUUUUUAUUCGUUCACAUGACGCGUCCUAUUCUUGGACUACUAUUUUUCUUUUGCUUGCUAUUUAAAUAAAAUACUCAGAUCUGAGAAUCUUUAUUGAGAGAGAGGAAGAAAGUCCUCACAUAGAUACUUAAUUGUUUGACUACUCAUUGAUCUUCACUUAUAUGUUUUGGAGUAGUUUUGGCAUUUACUCUCGUGCUUCACUUAUAUCCUAUGAGUAAAUAGUUGAAUGAAUUGGAUAUUAUAAAUAUGAAAUUAUAUAUGUUCUAAGUGCUUAUCCCAUGGGGAGUAAUGACUUCACAUAUAAGAAGUAUAGGUGGUAUAAUUUAUUGAAAGUUAGCAAACACCGCAUUGGUCACUUGAACAAUACAUGAAAGAAUAUUGAAGGAAGAGAGAUUCCACAUAUAAAUAUACUAUCUUGGACAUCUUUCAUGAUUAUGAGCCCCAUUAAUUAUUUUCAAACUUGAGCAAAUUAGUUGAAGUUGGACAAGGAAGAGAACUUAAUGAGUUAUGUGUGGAUAUAUUUGCAUAGAAGUUAUAUUGUUAUGGAUCCUCCAACAUGUGGUGCUUGUUUAGAACCUUUUACUAGCCAAUACUUCGUGCUAAGUAGAGAUACUACUUGUGCAUCCAAAAACCCUUAAACCCAGUUUCUUGCCAUGAGAGUCCACUAUAUCUACCUAUAUGCGGUAUUUACCUCCUAUUCCAAGUAAAUUUGCAUGUGCCAAACUCUAAACCUUCAAAUAAUAUUUUGUUUUGUAUGCCCGAAUCACUCAUGUAGUGACUAGGGACUGUAUUGAUUAACGAUGUGUGUUGAUUCACUAUCAUUCACGAGAAAGUGGCCGGUAUUCGGGAUGCCCAGUUCCAUGCUAAAAAAUCAAAUCAAAAUAUAAUGAUACAAACCUCCCCCAAGAUUGUUGUUUGUAUGAACGGUACCCGUGGAUUCGGCUCGUCGUGGAGUGUGGUUGAUUGGUGGAGGGGGAGUUAAAACUUUACAAUUGUGUUUGGGAACCAUCUAUAAUCUAUCUAGCAUGGAAGAUACCGAGAUCUCUCGGUUGUUAGGUUGACAAUGAAAGCAUACCGCUCAAAAUUAUUAUUCAUUUGUGUUUUAAAACCUCGAGCUUUCGCACAUAUGCAAAUCACAGCUUCCCUGUGCGAAAUUUGCAUGACUUGAAUGGAACUAACCGAGACUAACGCUGUUUUCAGCAGAAUUGCCAUGGUGUUGUUUUUGUGCAGAAAUAAAAGUUAUCGGAAUGUCCUGAAAAUUUAAGGAUAUUUUAUCUGGAAUAAAUGAAAAAUACCUGCGCANNNNNNNNNNNNNNNNNNNNNNNNNNNNNNNNNNNNNNNNNNNNNNNNNNNNNNNNNNNNNNNNNNNNNNNNNNNNNNNNNNNNNNNNNNNNNNNNNNNNNNNNNNNNNNNNNNNNNNNNNNNNNNNNNNNNNNNNNNNNNNNNNNNNNNNNNNNNNNNNNNNNNNNNNNNNNNNNNNNCAAAGAUCCACCGGAGGGGGUAUGCCAGUGGGCCACAAGCCCCUCGGCCGCGGCCACCCCCUUAGGCCGCGCCGUGAGGGCUUGUGGGGCCCACGUGGCACCACCGCCCCCAAACUCAGCUCUAUUUAUUCCAUCUCGCCCGGAAAAAAAUCAGAGAGAAGGAUUCAUCGCGUUUUACGAUACGGAGGCGCCACGAGCUCGUGUUCUUUAUCUGGAGGACAGAUCUGGAGUCUGUUCGGGGCUCCGGAGAGGGGAAAUCGUCGCCAUCGUCAUCAUCAACCUUCCUCCAUCGACAAUUCCAUGAUGCUCUUCAUCGUUCGUGAGUAAUCUCAUCGUAGGCUUGCUGGACGGUGAUGAGUUGGAUGAGAUCUAUCAUGUAAUCGAGUUAGUUCUUGACGGGGAUUGAUCCCUAGUAUCCACUAUGUUCUUGAUUGAUGUUGCUACUACUUGGCUAUGCUUAAUGCUUGUCACUAGGGCCCGAGUACCAUGAUUUCAGAUCUGAACCUAUUAUGUUGUCGCCAAUAUAUGUGUGUUUUAGAUCCUAUCUUGCAAGUUGUAGUCACCUACUAUGUGUUAUGACCCGGCAACCCCGGAGUGACAAUAGCCGGAACCACUCCCGGAGAUGACCAUAGUAUGAGGAGUUCAUGUAUUCACCGAGUGUUAAUGCGUUGGUCCGGUUCUUUAUUAAAAGGAGAACCUUAAUAUCCCGUAGUUUCCAUUAGGACCCCGCUGCCAUGGGAGGGAUGGACAAUAGAUGUCAUGCAAGUUCUUGUCCCUAAGCACGUAUGACUACAUACGGAAUACAUGCCUACAUUAGAUUGACGAACGGGAGCUAGUUACUUAUCUCUCUGUGUUAUAGCUGUUACAUGAUGAAUCACAUCCGGUAUACUCAUCCAUCACCGAUCCACUACCUACGAGUCUUUUACUACUGGUCCUCGCUACGUUACUUUGCUGCUACUGUUGUCGCUACUGCUGUUACUUCGUGCUGCUGCUACUGCUGUUCCUUGCUGCUGCUGUCACUACUGCUGUUACUUUGCUGCUACUUGUUGCAAGACUUUUCUGGAGCCGUUGCCGAGGAAGAAUAGUCCCCCGUCCACGUGCCAUUUAUUGGCGCCAUUGAUACAACAAGCUAGGAAAAGUCUGCCGUCAACACAUCUUUUUCUGACACCGUUGCUAUCAUACCACUUUGCUACUGAUACUUUGCUUGCAGACACUAAUCUUUCAAGUGUGGUUGAAAUUGACAAACUCAGCUGCUAAUACUUGAGAAUAUUCUUUCGCUUCCCCUUGUGUCGAAUCAAUAAAUUUGGGUUGAAUACUCUACCCUCGAAAACUGUUGCGAUCCCCUACACUUGUGGGUUAUCAAGACCAUUUUCUGGUGCCGUUGCCGGGGAGGCACAUCUAUAUUCUCUGAGUCACUUGGGAUCGACGUCUGCUGGUCACUAUGAGGAAUCUGAAAGAUCCAAGAACUAAAAUCUUGCCUUCCACUACGAGGAGAGGUAAGCAACUUCCAUCUAGCUCUGCACUUGAUUCACCUUCAGUUUUGAGUAAGUUUGCGACUUCGCCUCCUGCUAGAAAUCUUGAUAUGUCGCCUGUGCAUGAUGAUGCUACUUCUGCUGCCCAUGAUGCUUAUGAUGAUGCUAUGCUNNNNNNNNNNNNNNNNNNNNNNNNNNNNNNNNNNNNNNNNNNNNNNNNNNNNNNNNNNNNNNNNNNNNNNNNNNNNNNNNNNNNNNNNNNNNNNNNNNNNNNNNNNNNNNNNNNNNNNNNNNNNNNNNNNNNNNNNNNNNNNNNNNNNNNNNNNNNNNNNNNNNNNNNNNNNNNNNNNNNNNNNNNNNNNNNNNNNNNNNNNNNNNNNNNNNNNNNNNNNNNNNNNNNNNNNNNNNNNNNNNNNNNNNNNNNNCCUGAUGAUGCUAUGCCUGAUACUCCUUUGCCACUAGGUGCAUUCCUUGAUGCACAAAUUGCUAGAGUUGCUGCUAGAUGUGAUGAUACUUCUGAAACUGCUGAUACUAUUGAAGUAGAACUUGCUAGUAUGCCUGAAUUGCCUGUUAUGCAUGAACGCUAUGUUAUGGAAGGAGAGAUAGCUGAGGACUUUCUUGCGUGUAAGGAUAGCUAUGAUGUUGAGAAAUUACUGCGCAAGUGGAAAGAAAAAUCUCUGAACGCUGGGAUGAAAUACGACCCGAAGUUUGCUACUUCGCCUAUCUUUGUGACCGAUAAGGAUUAUGAAUUCUCUGUCAACCCUGAGUUAAUCACUCUGGUUGAAUCUGAUCCUUUUCACGGUUAUGAGUCUGAAACGGUUGUAGCCCAUCUUACCAAACUGCACGAUAUAGCCACCCUAUUCACUAGUGAGGAAAAGAUCCGCCACUACUAUAUCCUCAAGUUGUUUCCUUUCUCGCUAAAGGAUGAUGCUAAGACCUGGUUCACUUCUCUUGCUCCUGGUUGUGUGCGUAGCCCCCAGGAUAUGGUCUACUACUUCUCUGAAAAAUAUUUCCCUACCCAUAAGAAGCAAGCUGCCUUGCAGGAAAUAUACAACUUUGCUCAAGCUGAGGAAGAGAGUCUCCCACAAGCUUGGGGGAGGCUCGUCCAGCUACUGAAUGCUUUGCCUCAUCACCCUCUUGAGAAGAAUGAAAUACUUGAUAUCUUCUAUAAUGGACUUACCGAUGCUUCCAAAGACCACCUAGAUAGUUGUGUCGGUUGUGUUUUUAGGGAACAAACUGUAGAACAAGCUGAGAUUCUACUGAAUAACAUCUUGUGCAAUGAGAAUGCUUGGACUAUUCCCGAAUCACCUCCUAAGCCAACUCCAAAGAAAAGAGGUAUUCUAUUCCUCAGUCCUGAAGAUAUGCAAGAAGCCAAGAAAUCUAUGCGAGAGAAAGGCAUUAAAUCUGAAGAUGUCAACAAUCUACCACCUAUCGAAGAGAUCCAUGGUCUCGAUAACCCGAUACAGGUAGUAGAAGUAAAUUCUCUCUGUAGGUUUGAUGAGAGUGAUAUUCCUUUUGAUAAACCUGCUAGCUUAUGCCUGGAUGAAUUUGAUAACUUUGUUGACAAACAACAGAGUUUCNNNNNNNNNNNNNNNNNNNNNNNNNNNNNNNNNNNNNNNNNNNNNNNNNNNNNNNNNNNNNNNNNNNNNNNNNNNNNNNNNNNNNNNNNNNNNNNNNNNNNNNNNNNNNNNNNNNNNNNNNNNNNNNNNNNNNNNNNNNNNNNNNNNNNNNNNNNNNNNNNNNNNCAAACAACAGAGUUUCAAUGAUUAUGUUAGCAGACAAUUGGAACAGAAUGCUCAUAUGCUUAGUCAUUUAAGUGCUUGUGUGGACAGAAAUGUCAAUGAUCUUAAGCUUUUGAGUAAACAUGCCUGUAUGGUUACUACUCAAGUAGAACAAGUACUUAAAGCUCAAAAUGACUUGCUCGAUGAGUUGAAUGAAAAUUCCGUUAGAGUUGUUACUAGAGGCGGUAGAAUGACCCAGUAACCUUUGUAUCCCGAGGGUCAUCCGAAGAGAAUUGAACAAGAUUCUCAAGGAGUUAGCACUGAUGCACCUAGUCAUCCUAGAAAGAAGAAGAAAGAUGAUAGGAACCUGCACGCUAGCAACCCUGUUGCUGCUACACCUGAGAGUCCAAACGAUGCCUCUGUCUGUGACACUGAAACACAAUCUGGUGAUGAACAUGAGCCUAAUGAUAAUAUCAAUAGUGAUGUUCAUGAAGAUGCUCAACCUAGCAAUGAUAAGGAUGUGGAGAUUGAACCUAUUGAUCUUGAUAACCCUCGGCCUAAGAAUAGAAGAUAUGAUAAGAAUGACUUUGCUGCUAGGAAGCAUGGUAAAGAAAGGGAGCCAUGGGUUCAGAAACCCAUGCCCUUUCCUCCAAAACCAUCCAAGAAAAAGGAUGAUGAGGAUUUUGAGUGAUUCGUUGAAAUGAUCAGACCUGACUUUCUGCAAAUGCGUUUGACAGAUAUGCUCAAAAUGUCUCCGUAUUCUAAGUACAUGAAAGAUAUUGUAACUAAUAAGAGGAGGAUACCUGAGGUUGAGAUUUCCACCAUGCUUGUUAAUUAUACCUUCAAGGGUGGAACUCCUAAGAAACUAGGUGAUCCCGGUGUGCCCACUAUACCUUGCUCCAUUAAAGGCAGGUACGUUAGACCAGUGUUAUGCGACCUUGGAGCCGGUAUUAGUGUUAUGCCUCUCUCUCUUUAUCGUAGACUUGAACUGGACAAGUUGACACCCACUGAAAUCUCUGCAAAAUGGCCGACAAAUCAACUGCUUUCCCUAUCGGCAUUUGCGAGGAUCUGCCUGUUGUGGUUGCUAACGUCACUAUCUUAACAGACUUUGUUAUCUUGGAUAUUCCUGAGGACGAUGCCAUGGCGGUCAUCCUCGGAAGACCGUUUUUAAACAAUGCAGGGGCUGUUAUAGAUUGCAACAAAGGCAAUGUCACUUCCCAUGUCAACGGUAAUGACCAUACAGUGCACUUUCCGAAGAAACAAUAUCGAGUACAUUGCAUCAAUGCUAUCGAAAAAACUUCAUCAAUUUUUAUUGGGAUCUUUGAAUGCCCUAUACCUCGUGUCAAGAUGAAGUAUGAUUUGCUUGUUGGGGAGAUACACAUCCCCAUUGAGGUGACCUAGUGAUUAUUCGGAAAUUCUCCAUUAUCUUUUGUGAUUCGAAAAAGUUUGUCAAAGAGGCUUGAUCAACCUCACUGACAGAUUUCUUUUGAUGACAAUGAGAUGGAUGAAUCGAGGAGUCACAAACCUCUGUUCCAAGCUUUCACCUUCUAUUGCUUAGAAGAAAAAUGAUAGAUUUAGUUUAGUUUUCCCUGUUUUCUGUUUUAGCGCUCGGUGGAAAAGUACCCUGAAAAUAAAAGUACUCCGAACGUCCUGAAAAUCAAGUAUGAUUUUUUUUGGAAUUUUUGAAAAAUUCUGAGACAAAGAGCUUGUCGGGGGGCUGCACGAGUGGGCCACAAGCGCUUGGGGCGCGGGCACCCCCCCUGAGCGCACCACCCAGGCUUGUGGGGCCCACAGGCACCCCCUCCACUCAUUCUUGCUCUUAUCUGGUUCUCCUACCUCCAGAAAAAAUUGUUCCGCAGCUCAAACCCGUGUUCUCGCUCCUCUUGUUGGGAUUUUCGAUCUCUUUGCUCAAAUCACCGUUCUCCGAACUGUUUUGGGGAAAUUACUCCUUGGUAAGUGACUCCUCCAUUGGUCCAAUUAUUUUUUGCUCUAGUGCCUUAUACUCCGCGUAUUUUUUCUGCCUUGGUGACCAUGUUCUUGAGCUUUGCAUGCUAAUUCUAGCUGGUCCCAAGUAGUUUUGAUGCGUAAUAUGGCCUCUAGGCAUUUGUUGGAGUAGUUGCUAUGAGUUUCAUUGAGCCUUGUUCACUUUUCCUUAGAAUCACUAAAAUUUUCAGAAAAUUUCAAAGAUAGAAAAGGGAAAAGAUGAGGAGGUUCUUAAGAGGCUCUUCAAGCCGUGACCCCAAGGAUGAUGGGAGUGAGAAGAAGCCCAAGUAUCUGGUCCCUCGAGUCGCAGAAGUUCGAGCGUGCAAGUGGCCAAGCGAUGUGUUCUUACGCACCGCUGGAAUUUAUGAGGACUUUUAUCACUUGGUGGAUAACGCAGGCCUUACCGCCUUCGUUGAAGAUAAGUGUCCGCAAUACCUCCUCCUCACUAAUAUCUUCAUACAAAGUUUUAACUUCUAUCCGAGGAAGAAUCCUCCUAUGGUUGAGUUCAAAAUUUAUGAUAUCCCCCAGCGCAUGUCACACCAAGAUUUUUGCAAUGUUUGCAAAUUACCUUAUGUUGGGGAUAUUCAUGAACCUCGUCCACGGGACUUGGAAGCUUUCAUCGAUACUAUUGUUGUAGGAGAGGAGAGAGGAGUGUCUUGCGCUAGAGCUACUAGCAUUAAUUUUCCCGUGCUUCGGUACUUCUCAUUAUUUGUGGGAAAAUGUUUGAUUGGCCGUGGGAAAGCUGGGUCACUUAGUUCCCCAGAUCUUGCGGUCUUGCGCGAAGCCCUUUAUAACGAUAAAACUUAUAGCUUGGGCGCUAUAGUAGCUCAACGGUUGAACACGAACCGUUCUAAAGGCGUUAUCUAUGGAGGUAUCUAUGCUACUCGUCUUGCUAUACAUUUUGAGAUACCUAUUAGACUGGACGAGGAAGAAGAGAUUCUUCUUCCUGAGAGAUAUCUAUAUUACAAUAGCAUGGUUCGCCAUGACUUUUUUGAUAGAGAUAUAAAUAGAAGGAUGAUUUAUAACCUGGUAUUUAGUCAGGGUACUCGUGAGACUAUUACUUUGCUUGCUCCUUCUUUGUUCAAUCUUCAUGCAGGUAGGUACAUUAUUAUGCCCUUGGACAUCUACACAUAUUGGGGCAUAGCCCAACCACAGGUGCCCGUGCCCGAGCUAGCAGUCGAGUACCAGACGCCAGUUUAUCAGUGGGAGCCAGAGGAGCUCACACAGCAGUGGCAUCCUCAGUCCACUCCGGAGUACCCCGGAGCUGGUUAUUUCCCUCCUUGGGAGUAGACCAACUUAGGCCAAAAGCCUAAGCUUGGGGGAGUAGGUGUUUCUCAUUUGUGUUUUCCUGCAGAUUCCAUCUUUAGUCCACUACACGAGCACGCUUAUUAUUGUUCACAACAUUCGGUCGUGCAAGUGAAAGUCAAAAAUGACGAUAUAUGAAGUGACUGAGCCUGGAAAAGAUGGUAUGAACUCGAUCUAUUUUGUUUUUGUAAAUAUGACUAGCCCAUCAUGCCUGAUUCAGCUUUGUUGUGAGAGAAACAUGUUUGCAAUGACAACUUAGAGAUCAUAGUUGCUUAUGCCAUGCUUACUUAGCUAGGAGCUUAUAAUGGUUUGUCUUGGAUGCCCACAUGAAUGUUGAGAUGACUGUGCUGUAGUAUGAUAGGAUGGUAUCCUCCUUUGAAUGUUUCAAGUGGCUUGACUUGGCGCAUGUUCACGCAUGUAGUUGAAACAAAAUCAACAUAGCCUCUAUGAUGUUCAUGUUCAUGGUGAUUUAUGUCCUACUCAUGCUUGCAUUCAAUGUUAGUUAAUCUCAAUGCAUUUUGAUGACUGUUGUCGCUCUCUAGUUGGUCGCUUCCCAGUCUUUUGCUAGCCUUCACUUGUACUGAGCGGGAAUACUGCUUGUGCAUCCACCCCCAUAAACCCAACGUUGUUCCAUAUGAGUCCACCAUACCUACCUAUGUGCGGUAUCUACCUGCUGUUCCAAGUAAAUUUGCAUGUGCCACUCUCUAAACCUUCAAGAAAUAAUCUGUUUUGCAUGCCCGAACCGCUCAUGUGGUGAUAGGGGGCUAUUGGUAUCUUCCAUGCUAGGCGUGUUAUCCUCGAUAUGUGUUUAUUCACUAUCAUUCACGAGAAAGGGGGCGGUAAUUGGAACUCCCAGGUCCAUGCUCAAAUCGAAAAGAUAAUUGCAAACAAACCUCCCCCAGGAUUGAUGUUGGUAUGGACAGUACUCGAGGAUUCGGCUAGCCGUGGAGUGUGAUUGAUUGGUGGUGGGGGAGUCAAAACUUUACUUUUCUGUUUGGGGACCGCCUAUAGCAUGUGUAGCGUGGAAGAUGUUGAGAACUCUUAGUCAUUGCGUUGACAAUGAAAGCAUGCCACCCAAAAUUAUUAUCUCUGUUUUAAAAGCUUGAGCUCUGGCACCUGUGCAAAUUAAUGCUUCCCUCUGCGAAGGGCAUGUCUAUUUAUGUUCCUGUUGAGUCAUCCUCCUCUUACAACAAGACCCAAUUAGAGAGCACCUUUGUCAUUUUUAUGCUUUGCUUUUAACUGUGUUGAGUAUGACUGUGACUCGAUCUUCAUUGGCUAGAAUUACAAUGUUUAGUCAGCCCUUGGUCUUUGAAGGUGCUCUGCAUUUAUGUUUUGCGGUCUCCGAAAGAGCUAGCGAGAUACCAUCUAUUCGUACUGCUUCAUGUUGUUUUGAUUGAAGUGUUGACAUUUGAGGCUUAUUAUUAUUUGCUCCCUAGCUGAUUAUGCCAUUGAUAUGAGUUUAUCGUGAGACCUAGAUGUCAUUUGCUUAUGUGGUUUGCUUGUGAUCUUGCUGAAAUUCUGGUUAUGAGUUAGACAUAGUUGCAACAACAAGAUCAAACAGAGUUCGUCAAAGUUUUUCUUUUGUCUCUUUCAGUUUGUCAACUGAAUUGCUUGAGGACAAGCAAGGCUUUAAGCUUGGGGGAGUUGAUACGUCUCCGUUGUAUAUACUUUUCUGAACUCUUUUGCCCUUGUUUUGGACUCUAAUUUGCAUGAUUUGAAUGGAACUAACCCGGACUAACGUUGUUUUCAACAAAAUUGCCAUGGUGUUGUUUUUGUGCAGAAAUAAAAGUUCUCGGAAUGUCCUGAAAAUUUACGGAGAAUUUUUCUAAAAUAAAUGAAAAAUACCUGCGCAAAGAUCCAACGGAGGGGGUGUGCCAGUGGGCCACAAGCCCGUGGGCUGCGACCACCCCCCCCCCUAGGCCGCGCCGUGAGGCCUUGUGGAACCCACGUGGCACCACCGCCCCCAAACUCAGCUCUAUUUAUUCCGUCUCGCUCGGAAAAAAUCAGAGAGAAGGAUUCAUCGCGUUCUACGAUACGGAGGCGCCGCCACCUCCUGUUCUUCAUCCAGAUGACAGAUCUGGAGUACGUUCGGGGCUCCAAAGAGGGGAAAUCAUCGCCAUCGUCAUCAUCAACCUUCCUCCAUCGACAAUUCCAUGAUGUUCUUCACCAUUCGUGAGUAAUCUCAUCGUAGGCUUGCUGGACGGUGAUGAGUUGGAUGAGAUAUAUCAUGUAAUCGAGUUAGUUUUGACGGGGAUUGAUCCCUAGUAUCCACUAUGUUCUGAGAUUGAUGUUGCUACUACUUUGCCAUGCUUAAUGCUUGUCACUAGGGCCCGAGUGCCAUGAUUUCAGAUCUGAAAUUAUUAUGUUGCCACCAAUAGAUGUGUGUUUUAGAUCCGAUCUUGCAAGUUGUAGUUACCUACUAUGUGUUAUGAUCCGGCAACCCCGGAGUGACAAUAACCGGAACCACUCCCGGUGAUGACCAUAGUAUGAGGAGUUCAUGUGUUCACCAAGUGCUAAUGCGUUGGUCCGGUUCUUUAUUAAAAGGAGAACCUUAAUAUCCCAUAGUUUCCUUUUGGACCCCGCUGCCACGGGAGGGAUGGACAAUAGAUGUCAUGCAAGUUCUUUUCCCUAAGCACGUAUGACUUCAUACGGAAUACAUUCCUACAUUAGAUUGACGAACGGGAGCUAGUUACUUAUCUCUCCGUGUUAUAGCUAUUACAUGAUGAAUCACAUCCGGUAUAAUCAUCCAUCACCGAUCCAUUGCCUACGAUUCUUUUACUACUUGUCCUUGCUACGUUACUUUGCUGCUACUGUUGUCGCUACUGCUGUUACUCUGUUGUUACUUGCUACUGAUGUUGUUGAUGUUGCUUGCUACUGCUGUCACUACUGCUGUUACUUUGCUGCUACUUGUUGCAAGACUUUUCUGGAGCCGUUGCCGGGGAAGAAUAGUCCCCCUUCCACGUGGUAUUUACUGGCGCCAUUGAUACAACAAGUUAGGAAUAGUCUGCCGUCAACACAUCUUUUUCUGACACCGUUGCUAUCAUACCACUUUGCUACUUAUACUUUGCUUGCAAACACUAAUCUUUCAGGUGUGGUUGAAAUUGGCAAACUCAGCUGCUAAUACUUGAGAAUAUUCUUUUGCUUCCCCUUGUGUCGAAUCAAUAAAUUUGGAUUGAAUACUCUACCCUCGAAAACUGUUGCGAUCCCCUACACUUGUGGGUUAUCAAGGGCCAAUCUAUUUACUUUCAUGUUAUUUACUAUUCUUGUUGAGUUAACUUCUUAUUCCAACCUCAAAGUAUUAGUUGGCAAGCAUCAUGUGGUGGGGAAAGAUGCAAACAUAUAUAUCCAUACAAAUAUAUUUGAUCAUGAAUUAUUAUUGUUGACAAUUAUCUAUAUGGUAAAUAAAUUAGGAGGCAAAACUUUAAGCCCCUGUCUUUCUUUGUGUUCGAUGGAUGCUAUUUGUUCUAAAAAUAUGCUUUGAGUGUCAACAAUCAUGGAAGACUAUAUGAUAGUUGAGUAUGUGGAAUUUUCUAAAUAAAAUCUCUUACAUAGACCCUUCCCAAAAAUAAGAUGAAUUGCAAUUGUUUGGUGACUGAAAGCAUAAUUUGUUAGUUUUCAAGAAACUUUAUGGUCUACAUUUUAACACGUGAAUAGCUUGUUACUUCAUCAUGAGAAGUUUUAUGAGAUGAGCUACUGUGUAUGAUAUGUAAUGAUGCUAGAAAAAGUGUUUGGAUAUAUCAUUGAUCAAAUUUAUGCACUAUGCUAGCAUUCACACUUCAUAAAUGAUUUCUUUUAUUAUUUACCUACUCGAGGACGAGCAGGAAUAAAGGUCGGGGAUGCUGAUACGUAUCCAACGUAUCUAUAAUUUAUGAAGUAUUCAUGCCAUGUUUACAAUAAUUCUAUAUGGUUUUUGUAUGAUUUUAUUAUAACUAACCCGGACUGAUGCUUUUUUCAGCACAACUACCGUGUUGUUGUUUUUGUGCCCAAAUAAAAGUUCUCGGAAUGGGCUGAAAAAUUACGGAGAAUAUUGUUGGUAAAUAUGAAAAAUACUGGAGCAAAAGGAUACCAGAGAGGAGUCCCGAGGCAACCACAAGCCACCAGGGCACCCCCCUAGGGUGCGCUCCUUGGCUUGUGGGCCCCUCAAGCACUCCCCUGACGUGGUUCGAACGCCAAAUAUUCUUAUAAAAACAGAAACCCCCGAAAAGAAACUUAGAUCGGGAGUUCCUCUGCCGCAAGCCUCCAGAGCCAUGAAAACCCAGUCUUGGCCCUCUUCGGCACCCUGUCGGAGAGGGUCACCAUCACCGGAGACCAUUGAGGAGGAAGAUGGAGGGGCCAUCAUCACCAUGGAGGCCAAGGACUAGAGGAAGAACCUCUCCCCACCUUGGGGGAGGCCAUGGAGGAGGAGGAACAAGGCGGAGACCCUCUCCCCCUCUCUCCCGGUGGUGCCGGAGUGCCACCGGGGGAACCAUCGCCGCGGUGAUCGUCUUCAUCAACAUCACCUUCUUCAUCACCAACCCCAUCUUCUUUUAGCGUUCCACUCCCCCGCGCCCCGCUGUAAUCACCUACUUGAACACGGUUCUCUAUGCCACAUAUUAUGAUCCAAUGAUGUGUUGCCAUCCUAUGAUGUUUUGAGUAGAUUCCCUUUGUCUUAUGGGUUGAUUGAUGAUCUAGAUUGGUUUGACUUGCAUGCUUUAUUAUUGGUGUUGUCCUAUGGUUCUCUCCGUGUCUAGCAAGCAUGAGGGAUUCCCUUUGUAGGGUGUUGUAAUACGUUCAUGAUUCGCUUAUAGUGGGUUGUUUGAGUGACAGAAGCAUAAACCCGAGUAGGUGGGUUGUUGCGAAUGCGAUAAAGGGGACUUGAUGCUUUAAUGCUAUGGUUCGGUUUUACCUUAAUGAUCUUUAGUAGUUGCGGAUGCUUGCUAGAGUUCCAAUCAUAAGUGCAUAUGAUCGAAGUAGAGAAGGUAUGUUAGCUUAUAACUCUCCCUCAUAUAAAAUUGCAAUAAUGAUUACUGAUCUUGUUAACAAUUGCCUAGGACAAUUCCGCACACCGACCCAUCACUAUUCCACACUCGCUAUUUGUAAUAUAUUCUAACUUUAUGAUAACAACACCUAUUUUUAUAUUUUAUUUCUCCGAUGUCAUGCAAAGCUAUUCUCUUCAUACCCACAAUGUAGUUUUAUUUCUCGUUCCAAGUUGGAAGCAAACGUUCGGCGUACGUAGAGUUAUAUCAGUGGCAGAUAGAACUUGAGAGAAUAUUGCUCUUACCUUUAGCUCCUUGUGGGUUCGACGCUCCAUACUUAUCAUUUCCACCUUUUGAAAUUGCUACGAUGAUUCCUUGCACUUGGGGAUUAUCAGGGCGUCGGCAGCGUCUGGGAACAGGUGAUGGCUGAUACGUCUCCAACGUAUCUACAAUUUUUGAUGGUUCCAUGCUAUUAUCUUGUCAACUUUGGAUGUUUUAUAUGCAUGAAUAUGCUAUUUUAUAUCUUUUUUGGGACUAACCUAUUAACUCAAUGCAGAGUGCCAGUUUCUGUUGUUUCCGUGUUUUUGGCCCAUUUUCAGACGAACUCCAAAUGGAAUGAAACUUUACGAUGCUUUUUUUUGGACCGAAAGAGACCCCCGAAGCUUUGGAAGAAGGCCAGAAGAGCCACGAGGGAGUCACAAGCCCUGACGCCGCCACCACCCCCCUAGGUGGUGCCGACCAGGCUUGUAACCUCCUCGUGGGCCCAACCGACGUAAUUCCACCGCCAUAAAUUCCUAUAAAUUCAGAAACCCCCCAAAAGAAACCUAGAUCAGGAGUUGCGCCGCCGCAAGCCUCUGUAGCCACCAAAAACCAAUCUGGAGCCUGUUCUGGCACCCUGUCGGAGGGGCAAUCCAUCUUCGGUGGCCAUCUUCAUCAUCUCGGCGAUCUCCAUGACGAGGAGGGAGUAGUUCUCCCUCGGGGCUGAGGGUAUGUACCAGUAGCUAUGUGUUUGAUCUCUCUCUCUCGUGUUCUUGAGAUGUCUUGGUCUCAAUGUACCAUGGGCUUUGCUACUAUAGUUGGAUCUUAUGAUGUUCUUCCCCCUCUCCUUCUUGUAAUGAAUUGAGUUUAUCCUUUGGAGUUAUCUUNUACAAGGAGAAGGUUGCGUAGUAGACAUCAAGCUCUUUUCUGCCGCCGUUGCCGGGGAGGUUAGCGCUUGAAGGUAUAUCUUUAGAUCUUGCAAUCGAAUCUUUUUGUUUCUUGUUCUUUUGCUAGAAAACUACAAAAAAAAUGGAAUUGAGGAUGUCUCAUAUGCUCCAUCUUUUCAAUGUCUUUCGUGAGCAUGAUGGGAAGGAAAAUUGUGCUCAAGUGCUGAAAGAAGAAUUACAUAGAAUGCUUGGCAUAGAUUAUGUGAAUGAUGAGCAUGAUUGCAAUGUUCUUAGCAUGAAUUCUUUGAAUACCCAUGAUGCUAAUGAUAUGCAAAGCCACAAGCUUGGAGAUGCUAUAUUUGAUGAAGAUGAUCUUUUUAGUUCUUCCACUUUGAAUGAUCAUUGUGAGGAUACUUAUGCUCUGAAGAAGAGGGAUGAUAAAACAUCUCAUACUCUCGAGAACCCCUUUGUUAAAUCUUGCUUUUUCAUUGUGGACACAAUUUGUAGUGCUCAAGUCUUUUACGAUACUCCCACUACUAUUCUUGAGAAUAGAUUUCCUUAUGUGGAGAGUAGUAAAAUUUCUAUGCUUGUAGAUCAUGAAAAGAAUGCUUUAGGUGCUGGUUAUAUUGUUGAAUUCAUUCAUGAUGCUACUGAAAAUUACUAUGAGAGAGGAUGAUAUGCUUCUACUUAUUGCAAUAGUAUCAAGCUUCCUCUCCAUAUGUUGAAAUUUUUGAAGCUAUGCUUGUUCUGCCUUCCUAUGCUAGUUGAUUCUUGCUCCAAUAAAUUGUUUAAUCACAAAAUCCCUAUGCAUAGGAAGUGGGUUAGACUUAAAUGUGCUAGCCAUUUUCUCCAUGAUGCUCUCUUGUGUUUCAAUCCUUACCUUUUAUGUGAGCAUCAUUGAAAUCAAUGCCUAGCUAAGGGCGUUAAACGAUAGCGCUUGUUGGGAGGCAACCCAAUGAAUAAAUUUUUCUUUGCUUUUUGCUUCAUGUUUUGUUUUCUCCACACCAUCAUAAUUAUGUUAUGAUUGUGUCUUUUGUGUUUAUUUUUGUGUUUGUGCCAAGCAAAACCGUUACGAUUAGUCUUGGUGAUGAUUGUUUGAUCAUGCUGGAAAAAGACAGAAACUUUCUGCUCACGAAAAGAAUUUCCAUUUUUAUUCUGUAAGAGAUUUUGAGUUGAUUCUUUUUGCUGCAUAUUCAUAUGCAAUUUAUUCGGAAUUUAGUAAUUGUUCAGAUUUGUUGAAGUACCAGAAGUAUACAAAGUAUACAUAUUGCUACAGACUGGUCUGCUGUUAACAGAUUCUGUUUUUGUUGAGUUGGUUGCUUAUUUUGAUGAAACUAUGGAUAGUAUCGGAGGGUACUAGCCAUGUAAAAGUGAAAAUACAGCAACCCAACACCAAAAUAAGUAGAAUUUAAGUUUGCUACAGUACCUAAGGAAGUGGUGAUUUGCUUUCUUAUACUAAUGAUAUCACGAGUUUCUGUUUAAGUUUCGUGUUGUGAAGUUUUCAAGUUUUGGAUGAAGUUCUUAUGGACAAAAAGAUAAAGAGUGGCAAGAUCUCAAGCUUGGGGAUGCCCAAGGCACCCCAAGAUAUUCAAGGAUGCCGUAAAAGCCUAAGAUUGGGGAUGCCCCGGGAAGGCAUCCCCUCUUUCGUCUUCAAUCCAUCGGUAAUGUUACUUGGAGCUAUAUUUUUAUUCACCACAUGAUAUGUGUUUUGCUUGGAGCGUCUUGUAUCUUAGGAGUCUUUUAUUUUUGUUGUGUCACAAUCUUCCUUCCUUCAAACCUAGAGAGAGAGACAUGCACUCACCGUGAUUUUGUCGAGCUUCACUUAUAUCCUUUGGUAGACAAUUCAGCUCACAUGUGCUUCACUUAUAUAUUUUGAGCUAGAUACUUUUGCUCUGUGUGCUUCACUUAUAUCUUUUAGAGCGCAGCGGUGCGUGUCUUGGUAGUUGAUCUAUGCUUUGAAAGUAGUCUCAAAAUGGGUAGUUAUCCAAAGGGAUACGAAAACUUCCACCUUCAUGUGCAUUGAAUAGUUAGAGAAGUUUGAUUCAUCUCAAUUAGUUUUGAGUUGUGGUUUUGGUAAUAUUGAAGUCAUGCUAGUAAGGUGUUGUGGAUCUAGAAAUACUUGUGUUGAAGUUAGUGAUUCUCGUAGCAUGCACGUAUGGUGAACCGCUAUGUGAUGAAGUCUGAGCAUGAUUAGUCUUUUGAUUGUCAUCCUUUGCGUGGCGGUCGGGAUCGCGCGAUGGUUUAUACCUACCAACCCUUCCCCUAGGAGUAUGCGUUGAAUGCUUUGUUUCGAUUACUAAUAAAACUUUUGCAACAAGUAUAUGAGUUCUUCAUGACUAAUGUUGAGUCCAUGGUUUAGAUGCACUUUCACCUUCCACCAUCACUAUCUUCUUAGUGUCGUGCAACUAUCGCCGGUGCACAAAACUCACCAUUAGCCUCCCUCAAAACAGCCACCAUACCUACCUACUAUGGCUUUUUCAAAGUCAUUCCGAGAUAUAUUGCCAUGCAACUACCACCAUGACAUGUGCCACCACGUCUACAUUGCCAUUGCAUGAUGUUUCCAUUAAUGUCUAUGCCAUGCUAGAUCAUUGCCACGGUACACUACCGAAGGCAUUCCAUAUAGAGUCAUCGUUGCUCUAAGUUUUGAGUUGAAAGUGUGAUGAUCAUCAUUGAUGGAGCAUUGUCCCAUGUGAGGAAAUAAAAGAGGCCAAAGAAGCCCACCAAAAAAAACAAGAGGCCAAAGAGCCCACCAAAUAUAUAUAUAUAUAUAUGAGAGAGAAAAAGAGAGAAGGGACAAUGCUACCACUUUUCCACACUUGUGCAUAUUAAGCACCAUGAUCUUCAUGAUUGAGAGUCUCUCGUUUUGUCACCAUCAUAUAGCUAGUGGGAAAUUCUCAUUAUAUAACUUGGCUUGUAUAUUCCAAUAAUAGGUUUCCUCAAAAUUGCCUUAGUUCUUCGUGAGCAAGCAAGUUGGAUGCACACCCACUAGUUUUCUUUAAGAGCUUUCACAUACUCUUAGCUCUAGUGCAUCAUUUGUAUGGCAAUCCCUACUCAUUCACAUUGAUAUCUAUUGAUGAGCAUCUCCACAGCUCAUUGAUAUGCCUAGUUAAUGUGAUUAUCUUCUCCUUUUUUUGUCUUGCAACCUCCACCACACUCCACACCACUUAUAGUGCUAAAACCAUGGCUCACGCUCAUGUAUUGCGUGAGAGUUGAAAGGGUUUGAGAAAGUGAAGGUGUGAAACAAUUACUUGGCCAAUACCGGGGUUGUGCAUGAUUUAAAUUCGUUGUGCAAUGAUGAUAGAGCAUAGCCAGACUAUACGCUUUUGUAGGGAUAACUUUCUUUUGGCCUUGUUAUUUUGAAAGUUCAUGAUUACCUUGCUAGUUUGCUUGAAUUAUUAUUGUUUCCACGUCGAUAGCAAACUAUUGUUUUGAAUCUAAUGGAUCUGAACAUUCAUGUCACGUGAGAGAAGUUACAAAGUACAACUAUGCUAGGUAGCAUGCAACAUCAAAAAUUCAUUCUUUAUCACUUCCCUACUCGAGGAUGAGCAUGAGUUAAGCUUGGGGAUGCUUGAUACGUCUCCAACGUAUCUAUAAUUUUUGUUGGUUCCAUGCUAUUAUCUUGUCAACUUUGGAUGUUUUAUAUGCAUGAAUAUGCUAUUUUAUAUCUUUUUGGGACUAACCUAUUAACUUAGUGCCAAGUGCCAGUUUCUGUUUUUUCCGUGUUUUUGGCCCAUUUCCACACGGAGUCCAAAUGGAAUGAAACUUUACGAUGAUUUUUUUGGACCAAAAGAGACCCCCGAAGCUUUGGAAGAAGGCCAGAAGAGCCACGAGGGAGUCACAAGCCCCAAAGCCGCCACCACCCCCCUAGGUGGUGGCGACCAGGCUUGUGACCUCCUCGUGGGCCCAACCGACGUAAUUCCACCGCCAUAAAUUCCUAUAAAUUCAGAAACCCCCAAAAAGAAACCUAGAUCGGGAGUUCCGCCGCCGCAAGCCUCUGUAGCCACCAAAAACCAAUCUGGAGCCCGUCCUCGCACCCUGUCGGAGGGGGAAUCCAUCUCCGGUGGCCAUCUUCAUCAUCCCGGCGAUCUCCAUGACAAGGAGGGAGUAGUUCUCCCUCGGGGCUGAGGGUAUGUACCUGUAGCUAUGUGUUUGAUCUCUCUCUCUCGUGUUCUUGAGAUGUCUUGAUCUCGAUGUACCAUGGGCUUUGCUACUAUAGUUGGAUCUUAUGAUGUUCUUCCCCGUAUCCUUCUUGUAAUGAAUUGAGUUUCCCCUUUGGAGUUAUCUUNUACAAGGAGAAGGUUGUGUAGUAGACAUCAAUGGCGCGAGACACAUGACGUCGAUCUAUCCAGGUUUAGGGCCCUCCGGUGAGGUAAAACUCCUAGUCCUGCCGGUGUGACUAUAUGAGAUCACAAUUCAAUGGUUCUCCUUGAGCUGUUCGUGAGGAGGGAGACGAAGUUCUCACUGCCUCGGUGGUAUGUGUCUAAGGAUUCACUAGUUUUCUCCUCCCCUUCUCUCAGGGGACUGGGGUUGGGUUUUAUAGUGCAACCAAAUGUAUACAAUAAUGGGUAGAAACGGAGUGUGGGGUCCGGCCUUCAGCCUCUCCGGCUGGCCGUGGGGCCCGUCGGUUGUCGGGUCUUGUCCUGCGCGGGUCCCGCCGGACGUGUGACGCAGAGGAUAACGCGCCGGCCGUCAGGGAGUUGGUAGGGGUAGGCCCCAGCUACACGGCCGCCUCGCCCGGUCAGCCUAGGGCGUGACCGGUGGCGCUGUAGCCACGUCGAGCCUUGCAUCAUGACGCCUGUAGCCGCGCUAGGUCUAUCAACGCGCACUAUAGCCAUGCACGCCCCUCUGCUGAGGGUAUGCUCUUGUUCGCCGUAUGUUAGUCGGCCGGAUGGGAUGGGCGUUGACCCGUCGACUGCUGCCAGUCGGCCCGCCGUGCGCUGGCCAGGCGGGCCGCCUGUGGCUAGUCAACCAAGGGCGCCUAGCCGGACGGGUCAAACGCCGCUAGCCGAACUGUCACACAGUGGCUAGGCGAACCGCUUGUAGCCAGCCGGCCUAGGGGGGCCAGCCAGCCCGAAUGUCAAGUAGAUGGAUUCCCUCCGCUUUGGUAUACCCAGGGGCCAUAUCCCCGUCAUUAAAACUUAGCCAUUGCAACUUUGUGUACUUCGUUUAUCUCCAAUGACCAGACCAAGACCGCUUUCGGAUCCUCACCCUUAACAAUACUUCAUAUGUAUUCACAAUAUUCAGAUUGCUUUUAUCAUAUUCUUGCUUGUUCUUCGAUUGCUUGGAGGAAGAGACCUUCAUGAUGAGGUUGAUCGUGCUCCCGCGUGAUCAAUAAUCUCUUGAAGUUGGUUUAGUGAUUGCUAAGGCGCAACGUCGUGCACAUUUGUAGUCGGAUCGUCAAAGUCGUCUCCACCAAAUCGGUAGCCACCAUCUCUUUGAAAGAUCGGGACACCCUUGCCUCUAUCAUCUUCAAAUUAGAACACAUAAUGCAUUAAAAGUUGAAUGGGAGAGCUCCUUAAAAAAUUAUUGAUCCAAUCAAAAUCAAUUAACACGACUCUAAAUCAAUGAUCUCAAUUAAUUAUGAGGUCUUACAAAAUAUAAAUCAUAGUGUAUAAUAUACUAAAAAAUUUAAUUAGAGAGUUUUGAAAAAAUUGUUGACCCGUUCAAAAUCAGCUCACACAACUCCAAUUAAAAACCUCAAUAGAAUACGGCCUUCAUAAAACCUCAAUUGAAUAUUUCCGUAACAUAACACAUCACAAGGCAAAAUGAACAUAUAUCUAAAUAACAAAAAUACUUGCAUAAUAUCAUACAUAUAAUAUUAUUUAAUAUGAAGUUAUUAAUAUGGACUAAUAACAUAUGGAUGCUACUAAUGCAAGUUAUUUUCUACUAUGACGAGCCUCAUCUUGAGUGGUUUCUUUGCUUCCAGUCAAUCCCAACAAUGUCUUCACCAGUCCGGAUCCGUCGACUGGGGGGUCGUCCCGUGCAGAGUGGAGGAGGCAAUAGCGGUUCGCGUUGCACUCCGCCGCUCGCGCGAGGACAGCGCCUGACCGACAGAAGGAUUUGUCCGCCGCGACUCUGUAGCAUCUGCACAAAGGGUGCUCGGCUCCUUUGGGGAAUGGCCGGACUACCACCAAAGGUGGAGAAAGAGGUGAGCGGCGAUGAGGACAGUUGUGGCGACGAGAAGAUCCGGCUCGAUCCGUACUGCGUCUUCAACCGGUACUUCCACGACAAGACGGCAAGGGUGUCGGGAAGAACAGAGGCAGCCGUAGAUGAUCUUCACCAUAGCCAAACAUGUAAAAUUUUGAUAGUCCGAUGACAUGUUUAACAAUGAUGGAGUAACUGGACAAUGUGUGUGCGUCGACGUAGUAGUUCGUCUGCGGACGUUUGAAAGAUCGGAUUUGAGGAGUCCGGAGAUGCUCUAAGGCAGAGAAUACACCUAAGUAGCUAGUGGUACUACUUCAGAUGAGGAAGAAAAUGUUAACUAAAUUCCAAAUAUACUGCCGUGCCAUCACACUUUGACAAACACGCACGGCCUUUUUUACACAUAGCUCUAGGUGGCUGCGCCCCUUUCUACUGCAUAUCGAUCAUCUACCAAGAAGAUAUGCACCACUCGAUCUAUAGGGAUCAUGUCACGGCCUUCAAUGGCGGCAUUCGAGCGCACAUUCUUCGGCUCAAGUUGCAUUGUCUCUACGCCACCAUCGAGUGCGCCGUAGAAAACCGAGAUAUAGCGAUCUCCCUGAUAUCUCCGCUUUUGCAAUCCCCAUAAAUAAAUAAUAAUUCAUGUUUGCGAAUGAUGAAGUGCCUGCAAUUUUUACUUCCUGCAUAUCAUAAUAAUUAUAGUGCAAGAAAACUAGUAAACUAGUUCUUUCAACUAUAAUUAUUAUGUUUUUCCUUAACAAUAAUUAUUAUGAUAUACUCCCUUCGUUCUUAAAUAUAAGUUUUUUUAAAGAUUUCACUAAUAGAGUAUAUACGGAUGUAUAUAGACAUACUUUAGAGUGUACAUUGAAUCAUUUUGCUCUGUAUGUAGACCUUUAGUGAAAUCGCUUAAAAGACUUAUAUUUAGAAACGGUGAAAGUAAAUGGAGUAUAAUCAAUUCUACUUCCUCUAAGUCUGAAGGUGAGGACAACACAACCACACAACGCCGCAGUGACAAGCGUUGACUCCGGAUGAGGACCUCGUUGGAGACGGGGACGAUGUUGUGACUAUCAGUGUCUCAAUUGGAAAAAGGGCACACAUGAGAUGAAUUAACAAUACUACCUCCGUUACGGUUUAGAAGACACAUUGAUCACGGUUUAGAUUUCCAGUAUUUUACGGGCAAGAAGAGGAAAAUGAAAAAAAAAUUAAGCAUACAAAUAAAAACAAGAACAAAUGAGAAAAGAAAAAGAAAUGGUGUGUAUUAUCAUUAGAAGGCCUCGCCAUCAGUGAAAAGAAAGAAAGAAAACAGCACUAUCAGUGGGACUAGGGUUAGCUAUAAUUCACAGACUGGAGAGCUCAGACCAUGACGGCAAGUAAAAUGAAUUAAAGGGAGUAGUUUAAUUUGCGUAGAAGAAUAAGAGAUGUGAUCAGCUGAGAAAUGAUGAGAUUAAUCAAGAGGCAAAUCGAAUGAUGAUUUUUCCAACAGGUUUUAUUAGAUAAAAUGUUUGGUCAUGUCUCUAGCCAUUCCAAGAACCAAACUAAAAUAUCCUAAAAUAAAAAUAAAAUAAAAUAACAGUACUAAUAGAUUCUAGCCCAGCAUUUAUUUUUGCACCGAUCUGGACCAAGGGCAGACAGCAGGAUAGUGGUACUAGGAUACAAGGCUGGCACUAUAGAACGUGCAUGGACGUGACGCGAUGUACACAUGUACUGAUCAGGUCGGUGCAUGCAUGCGUGUGACUCAGCGCGAUGGCCCCCUCUUUACAACGCCAAAGGUACGCUUGCCCUCGUGGCCUUGCCAGCCCUCUCCCUUGGCCCUUUUCCCCAAACAUAUCAAAGAAAACCAAACCCGUAAACAUAGCAGUUUGGACCUUAGCCUCCGUGCAUGCGUGGCCACCACCCUAAUUUCGAUACAGCGAUCACCGUACGCAACUUGCUUGCAUCUACAGUACGUACCAGUACUAUAGUUUUGCAAUAGUAUAUUCCCAACCAAGAUCAGAAUGAUGCAGAUCAGUGUUUUGAUUCCUCGAUUUCAUUUUAUUUUCCUGCGUGACGCAAAAGGGCUGCUCGCUUUUGCGUCCUAGCUGUGAAUCUUGUGACCGUUUUGCCCUCCAGAGCCACUAUAUAAGCCCCUCUACCGCAGCACAUUUGCUUCACACAACACAGCCGAUCGCAUACUCUGAUCUGAUCAGUCGCACCAAACCGAGCUAUAGCAUCAGCUCGUCGGAGUUCGGACCGGUCGACUCGGAACUCGUCAUCAAUGGCCGCCGUCCAGGUAGACUGCUCAAUACUGCUUCGUUGCGUUUCGAUCAUGUAGCUUUUGACCUGCUGCCACGGUGCCAUGCCACCUCGAUCUCUUCUGGCACGAGCAACCUGAUCACACGUACGCUGCGUACUGGUACUUCUCUGACAUGAAGGCGUGCAUCAAUGUAAACGCAGGUCCACGCCGCAACCCACGCCAUGCCCGUCGAGGAGGCUCCGGCGCCGGCGGUGGUGGAGGCUGUCGAGCCGGCCGUCGUCGUUGUCGAGGAUACUACCGUGGCGGUGGAGGUCGUCGAGCCGGCCGUCGUCGCGGUCGAGGAGGCUACGGUGGCAGCAGUGGAGAUUGUCGAGCCGGCCGUCGACACAGUCGAGGUGGCAACGGCUGAGGCUGUCGAGCCGGCCGUUGUCGCUGCCGAGGAGGCCGUGAAGGAGGAAGUUGCUGCGCCGGCCGUGACCGAGCUGGCGAAAGAGCCCGAGGCAGCUCCAGCGGAGACCAAGGAGGCCGAGACAGAGGUUGUCCAGCCGGCCGCCGCCGCUGAGGAGGCCCCUGUCACGCCGACAGUGACCGAGACCAAAGAGCCGGAAGCUGCCCCUGCCGAGGGAACAGAGACCGAAGUGGUGGAGCGUGAGGCAGCACCGGCUGAGGCCGAGACCAAGGAACCAGAGAAAGAAGCUGCUCCGGCCGAGACCGAGACCAAGGAACCAGAGCAAGAAGCUGCUCCGGCCGAGACCGAGACCAAAGAGGCAGAGCCAGCCGCUGCCGAGGCCGAGGCCAAAGAGCCGGUGGCAGAGGAGACACCGGCCAAGGAGGAGGCCGCUGUGGCAGUGCAGGAGGAAGCAGCAACUACGGAGGCACCUGUGGAGGCUGCCGUGGCAGCCGAAGCAGCCGUGGAAGAGACAGAAGCACCAGCUGCUGCUGCCGACGUCGAGGCCAAAGCGCCGGUGGCGGAGGCACCGGUCCAGGAGGAGGCAGCGCCCGCAGCCACCGCCGCCGAAGCGUCUUCCGUGCAGGAGGAGGCGGCACCGGCCGAGGCACCCGUGGAUGCACCCGCUGCCGCCGAGGCGGUGCCGGCAGAGGCACCAGCUGCUCAGGCUGCCGCCGCCGCCGACAAGGCCGCCGAGUGAGUUGAUGCGCGCGGGUGCGAUCGUGCUCCUGAGCUAGCCUUUGCCUGGCUUCGCCGUGCGCGUGCCGUGGCAUUGCCAUGGCACGGUACCUUAGUUCGUUUAUUAUUGGAUCCGUAUGUGUGGGCGUAUUUCGUGAGUGGUUGAUCGUCGUCGCGUGGGUGCGCAAUGUACGUCACGUAGCUGCGUACAUGGUCUAGCUAGCAGUCGUAUGUGUGUCGUUCUCAGUUGGCUUCAAUAAUGUGUCAGUGGCGUUCCGGGUCCCACUGUCAGUGAUGUCAUGGGGUCACUGGCUUUGGAGGCUGUUUUCGUCUCUUUGUUUUUUGUUUUUUGUGUUGGUUAAUACAUGCACUAGCUAUUUAUUUGUAUACUGUAUAUGUUGGUACUCCAUCCGUAAAAGAUUUUUGAGUUUUUUUUCCUUUGAGAACCCCUCCGUAAAGAAAUACAGUAUAUGAGUGUUUAGAUCACUAAAGUAGUAAUCUAAAUGAUUUUAUAUUUUUUAGAAAGGAAUACUAAAAAGGCUUGUGAUUUGUGUAAUGCCUCAUCUAUGGGGUCCAUGAUCUGAGCUGCAAUUUAAAAUAAUUAAUUCGGACAUACAUAU